UUUUUUUUUUUUUUGGUUAAGGAUAAAACACACAUGAAACAUUAUUAUCUUUCAGAGACACCCUUGCAGCAUUAAGAAAUAAUUUAUUUAAAAGAAGAGAAGAAAAGAGCUUACUUGUGCUGUCAUCUUGGUGAUCUUUAGGAUGGUGCUCCAUGCAUUUCAGGAGAAACUUAAAGGUCUCAAUCUCGCAGGGGAGUGUGAGCCCGCCACUAUGAUCAAAUCCAAACUCUUCUUCAGCCUUUUCUAGCAAAACUUUGAACAAAGAAUGGCUCAGGUAGCUAGUGGGGAUAAUAAACCUCCGAAGCUCUGGUCCUACAUAAACCGCUAGAUACCCUUUGGGGACAUCAGGUGGCGGAUCAGGGCUGUGGCAGCUUUCCUCGUCUGAAUCACAACAAUUCUUAAUUUCCGCUAUCCUUUUAUUAAUUGCAGGCGAAAUUCCCCCAUGACUAGUACUGUUGCUCCUCCUGGGGGUUGUCGCCUUGGAGCCAAGUGUAACAGAUUGCCACUUCUGGAUAAUUUCCUUUAGCCUAACAAUCUGCCGAAUUCCUGUCACCUUGCUGCCACCAUUGUCAUCCAUUUGCUAAAGUUUUUUACCACAACAAUGAUCCAAAUCCCAGAAACGAAUUCAGGAUUUAUGAUUCCAGACAUGCAAGUCUCAUCAGAUCCUCUUCCACUAUGUUGAGGUGCAUAAUGCGAACGACGAAAUAUUUAAAAAAGAAAAUGAAUGAGUUAAAAUAUUUUAUAAAAUAGAUCUACUACUCAGUUUAAUAGAUCUAUUAGGAAAUGCAUAUUAUUAUUUUUCUCCAUCAAUUUUGAAAUUACGAAACACAGUUUUUUUUUUUUUGAAAACAAAUUACGAAACACAGUUUAUUUCAAAGACGUCAAAAACUAGUCUUUCUCGUCACAAGCCUCAUCCACGUAGUAAAAGAAAAGUUUUUUUUUAUAAAAUAUAUAUAUAUAUAAUUACAAGAUCGUCAAAGAAAAAUUCCCAAAAUGCCCUCAAGCUCAAGUUGUAUCUUUGGCCAACCAGAACCAAUUGCCAAAAGCAUCUGGCAAAACAAAAAAAAAAUUGCCAAAAGCAUCAACCAAGAACAAGAAUCAUGUGUGGCCAAAGGGAUCAAAUUAAGAUCUAUCAGAAAUAAAGAAGAUUAUCAAAUUCUCAACUACCAAAACAAAAUCAUUAAUUAACAUAGAAGAAAACGUGCAUUACACAAAUCAUCUUAGAUCCAUCCAUAAACUCACAAUGAAAAACAGAUCAUAACAUAUAAUUCCCAAAACAAAAACAAGCCCUUCAUUUUUCGUAACAAAAUACAAACAUGCAAUGGAUAAGUACCUGAAAGGGGAAAAGGAAGAGCGAAAUCAGCUGCUGCGAAGGCGAAGGGAAAACGCCAUGGUAGAAGGGUCAGAGAAAGAACAGAGGAAGCGAGCUCCUUUGAGCGAGACAACGAGAGAAAAAAAAAAACUCCAAAAAAUAAACUAAACUUUUCCUUUCAAUGGAAUCCAAAAGCAGAAGAGGUGCUUGUUUUAAAUCCUGAAUGAAGCUGGUAGGAAAUAAUUGGGGGCUGCGGUUUCGGCGAGUUCUUAUUUUGGGACGAUUCAACUAACGGUUUACAAUGCAAUGGAUAAUGCAGCAAAAAUAAAAAGAGAUUAAUGGUAGUAAUUAGCAAGUGAUUUAAAUUGAGACGGAGAGAGAGAGAGAGAGAAGAGAAAGGAAAAGGUUAAGAGUUAAUUGUACAUUUACAAAUGGUCCAGCGAUGGAUUAGCUCAAAUUUAAAUACUUGUGGUGCGGGCUGUGGCGAGUGGUGACAGUUAGAUGCAUCUUUUCAGUUGCGUUUGCGUUGUCAAUCAGUCUCCUUUUUCCUAGGUUUCUUUAUUAUUUGUCCUUCAUCUUUUUUUAAAAAAAAAAAUGAUUUUUGCCGUUUCUUUAUUAAAGCCUGCCUAAAAUGGGGACCCAAGGCCCAUCAUAAGAAAAACUUAGAUACUAUCAAAUAAGAAGCAUGUAGGCGGGUCGUGAUGCCCGAGUAAACGUCCUAGGAGCUGAAGCAUCAGUUGGAGGAAGAGUAAAUGGAAGAAGAGAGCAGCAAGAUAGCAACUUGCAUGCCUUUCAGAAGUCAAUAAAGUGAAAGAGCAAUUCUAAUCGAUUUCUAGGGACUUAGGACCCAAAGAACAGAUGUGAAAAUGGUGUUUUUUUUUUCCAAAAAUAGUCACACUGACCUGUAAGCAUGCGUAGGCAGCCAGCGACCUUGUAUUGCUUUGAUUGGGUCCAUUUAGUAUGCAACAACACAAUUUUAAAGUGUUUUUGAAGCGAAGUUAAACUUGACAAAAGUUGUACUUGAAAUGUCUCCUAUUAUAUAGUUGUUCUUCCAUGAUAUUUGGUGGGUGGUUGGUGUCUCUUUUUUUUCUCAAAAUAAAAGUAAAAAUGAAUAAAUUAAUUAAAUUGGGCUUUGUUGGAUUGCCUUGGCAGGUAAGGGAAAGGGCAGCAAGACAAAACAAGAUUGCGAUGAUAAAACGACUAUGUGCGACACUUAAUCGAAGGGGAUGUAGCUCAAACGGUAGAGCGCUCGCUUUGCAUGCGAGAGGUACGGGGUUCGAUACCCCGCAUCUCCAUUUUUUUUUUUAUUACUCUGAUCCAAAGUCUUCGGCUGAUGGAUUAGACUCUAAUCUCCUUUGCAAUUGCAGGCCCAUUCUCAGGACAUUUAGCAAACUCUCAGGCCUAUUCUCUGGCUGAUUGGCGGUGGAGUUUGAAAUGGACUGGCAUUAUUUAAAUUCAGAAUUAGAUUGCAAGGAUUAGUUGCAGCUGGCCUUGGCUACAUGUGCUUUAGGAGCCGUUGCUGUAAUGGUUUUCAUGUGGGGUUGCAGUUUGCAGAUACGGCCUGAUGAUUCCGAACAGAAAGGGGAGGUUUCCCGCAAUUCUCUUUAACAACUAAAUUUUUAAUUUUUUGCUUAAUCUGACUUAGUUCAGUGACAAAAAGCAUAUUAUUCUCCACCAAAUUCAGAAUCAACACAAAAUUAUACAUGUGUACUUUCGCGAAAGGAAUGUUCUCUCAGGGUAGCAUCAUCUUUGAUAGUUUAGAUUGUUCUUUAGUGAAUUUUGAGGAAACCCAGAAUCCUAUGUAGCAUAAUAAACACAUAAAAUAAGACAGUGGGCAUUGCCAUCUUCUACUGUUCAUCAAAGUUCCAAAUGGAAUGUCCAUGUUAGAAGCAGCUUUGUGAAGAUGAUAUGCAACUCAAUGAUUUAAUAGGAAAGAGUAGCUUUCUCACAUAGUUCCCAAAUAAUACAAUGUUCUAGGACCACAUGAAAAUAGUGCUCAGAGACUGGAUCUCAUGCGAUUGUGAGAGAGGGUGGUGUGCACUGUACAGUCUCUCCAAUAUAUAUUUAAGCUUUCACUUGAUUGCUUCCCUCACUGCCAAAGCAUCAUAAAUCAUCUAGCAAUUGGGUGAGAAGAUAAGUUUAACAUAAAAAUCAAUCCUUAGUUCACUAAUUCCUUAUUUGAAUUUCAGAAAAUUUUAUAUAUAUAUAUAUAUUUAAAAUAAAAAUUUACCUUUGUUGCUUUUUUCAAUAAGAGACUCUAUUGCCUUAAUGGCGCCUCUGGCCUUGAUACAAGGGGUGCUAGGAAUGUAAUUUGGCAGAGAGAAAUAUGUAUUAACAAUCACCGAAGGGUUACCCUUUUACGAUUACCAACAAAACUUAACAGGAGUCACCUGUCAAUGAAUAAUCUAUAGUAAUUCAAGAAUCAUGGCAUUGGCAUGACAUAAAGACAAGAGAGAACAUAACUCCAGCGAUUUCCAAGUCCUAUUUCUUCAUAUAAUAAGCUAGUGAGUUCCUCAAAUUGCAAUAUUCAAAAACAGCAGGAAAUGAAGGAUAUUUAGCAUCAAUCAUCUUUCAAUCUCUUGAGAAGCUUAGAAGCCCAUCUCCGAACACGUGUCUUCAACGUGUAACCAACUACAACUCCAGCAACAAAGAAAAUUGAACAGAGCUUCGAACAGGUCCACAGGGAAACCAUAUGUCUGCAAAUGGGAAAAUUAGCAACAAUGACCAAUGAAGAAAGCGCAGAAAAAGAGGAUGACAGGUAUGAGGGAAUAGAAUUACAAUUCAAUUUGCAAUGAAACAUUCACACAGCCUGUCAACAAGUCUUUGCAGAAAUCUCAAUGAUACCUCAUGGAACUUCAGCUUAACAGUUAAAAAUUACAACUACAAUUUAAAGAUUAGUUAGUUCAGUUAGCUUAGUUAAUCAAAUCAACAAUGGCUGGCUAGCAGCUGACAUAUAUGUGUGUUUCCGACUUGUUAUUCUUCCUUCUUGAUCUGUUGUAAAUACUUUUUGUGUCGCUUAUAUAACAAGUGCCCAGAAAUUAUCUGAAAUUUAAUCAGCAAUAACAUUUGGUUCCAAGUUCCAACACUGUUAAUUUAACUACGUAACAAUCAAACUGCUAAUAAAUUGAACCAGCCCCUUCAGGAUUGUAAUGACAGGUUGGGAAAAGGCACCAAGGCCAAAGAUUUGUAUCAAGCACAUAACCAAUUUGAGAAGUACUAUUUUCAAGAACAAUUUGGCUGUUUUGCUUGCACUAACAUUGAGGAAAAUCACAAACCCAUGCACCUUAUAUCAUGAAACUUGCCAAAUGAUUCUGAACUCUCCAAUUGUCAAAAAUAAACAAGAAAUUAGUUGAGGCAUUGCAAAAUUCAAGACCAAAUGAGCAAUGCAUUGAUUUUACCUAACUACCAACUUCCAAACAUAGCAUUUGCAUUACUUAAUCCUGCAAUACUAUGAGCUUUACCACACGCACCUAAAAAAAAUCACUGUCCAAAACCAAGCAUACAAUUCAAGAAUUACCACGAAGAGUUGAUCGAUUUAAAGGCAAAAUGGAAAAUUUCAAGGAACCCAAGUAUGGAAAUUGAAAAUACCUGUUAGGCCUAGUCAUCAGAACACGAGAUUGAUCAGAAGAAGAUAGAGCGGUAGCCAGUCCUUCUUUUCCACUGAAACUGUAUGGACUCUCAGACGAGGAAGAAGCAGACUUCAAGUCCUUUGAAAUGUUACGAAAAAAUUUAUCCACUCGCUCCAUUUGUUUCAAAGUAUAGAAUAAAUCACAGAACCAUGAGAAGCAAAACACACAAAAUAGAAAACCAAAAUCGUACAACUAUUAAAGGAAUAGACGAGAUAGAUUUCCGGGGGCUUUUAGGGGUUAGGGCUAGGGUUUCGUCACUAAGAAAUGCUUGUAGACAACUGAGCACACAGAGCAGUCGCAGACUUGCAGUCACACGAUCAGGGGAUCAACGGUUAGAUGCAGCCCAACAAAUAACGUGAAAAGAACUGAACUUUGUAAAUCUGUGAUCAUUGUGUAUCCACUCUCCAAUUUAAAUAAUUUUUGUAUUUAAAUUAUAUUCCAUUUAAAUUUAUUAAGUAUAAGACUAUUUGUAGCUUUAAUUAAUUUUAUAUUAAUAAAAUAUUUAUAAUUAUAUGAUAAUAAUUACAUUUUCAAAAAAUACGUAAUUUUUUAUUUAUUUUUAUUCGAUUCAAAUUUUAAUUUUAAAAAUUUCAAUUAUUUUAUUUUUAUUUUAAUAAAAAAAAUUAAAAAACGACAUUAAAUUUAUUAGUGAUAAUAAUAUAUUCAAUAAUAUAGAAAAAUUAAAUUAUAAAAUUAAAAUAUUUUAAUUAAAUUUUAAAAUAUUGAAAAUAAAGUAUAAAAAAUAAAAAUAUUAAAAAAUUUAACUAAUCAAAACGAAUUAAAUUAAAUUAAUUUAAUUUAAUUUUUAUAUAAAAUUAAUUUAAUAUAAUUUUUAUAAAUAUUAAAAUUAAAUUUUUAAUUUUUAAUUUAUUCGACUUGAUAGAAGUAUAGUUUGAAAUUUCGUUUUAUCAAAUAUGUAAAAAAAAAUUUUUAAUACGGAUCUUAUUUGCUUAUGCUUAUUGUUCAGACUUGAUCUUGUAGCAUCGUCUUAAUUAACUUUUAAAAAAUAAUAAAGUAAUUUUACUUUUUAUAAGCAGAUUGAUUAUUUCAUUUAAAAACAACAAUUAUUGAAAUAAAUAAUUCAAAAUUUUUUUAAAUGAUAAAUAAAGCUGAAAGUUCUAUUCUCGCUAAUAUAAUAAAUCUUUUUUCAAAAUAUUUUACUUUUAAUGUAAAUAAAAUUUAAUUUUAAUAUAGUAUUUUGAAAUACAUGUGAUUAAAUAAAAUAAAUACUCCUUUUAUUUUAUAAUUUUUAUAUUAUAUUUUUUUCAUCGUUCUAAAAUUAUUAUUUAUUUUUUUAUACUAUAAUAAUAUAUAAAUGGAUAAUUAUAAUUCUAUUUUAUUUUAUUUUAUUUUUAAAAUAUUUUUUAAAAUAUAUUUUAAUAUUUAAUAAAAUUUAAUGUAUUUAAAAUGUGUAUAAUUAAAAAAAAUUAAAAAAAUUAUAUUUUUUAAUAUAUAAAAAAAUAGACAAAAAUUAUAAAAUAUUGGAGUAUUAUAUUUAAAAGAAUAUAAAUUCAAUGAGUUAGCUAUUUAUCAAGAAAAUUUUAAUAACUAAAUAUUCACAAAUUUCACGUAAUAAAACAUACGAUUAUAAAUUUUAUACUGUAUUUUUCUCCGUCCAAAUACUUCUCCUCAUUUUCCUCUAAUAAAAUGAGGGUCAAAAUGAAAAUUAAUCAAUAGGCCUAUUGGUCAUAAUACCCAACAUCGUAGCUCUGACUUUUCAUCCCACCAUUCACAUAGCUCUAUUGACUUUUCAUCAUAACUAUGACUUUUCAAAGUGAGUAUUGGCCCUAACCAAUCUCCCGCACAUUUACAUCAUGUAAUAUUUAAAAUUAAGAUUCGUAAAUGUGACAGAGGUUGAAAGAAGCGGAGAGAGUUUUCUCCAUUUUUUAGAGUGUUUUAAGGCAGUAGACCUCGAUUUUUACUGGUAUUGUGUAUCUGCCUUUAUUUUUUUUUCAGAUAAUUCUUUUUUUCUUUCCAAACAUGGGUCAUUUGAUUAGCAAUAGUGAUGUGAGUGAGUUUUGAUGUGAUUUAUCUUUUGUGUGUUAUUGAUUAUUGUUCUUGGUUAGUUUAGUUUCUAAAUAUAUUCUCCUUAUGAGUCUAUUGCAAAACUAGUUUUAAUCACUAUAUAAAUCCUUUUAAGUCGAUUCUUUAAUAUUUAAAAAUUCCUCUAAACUUUAAAAUUGAUUGUUGAACACAAUAAAAAAAUCAUGUUGUCGAAUACAAUAAAAAAAUUAUUUUAUUUUUUUAAAAUAUUUAAUAUUAUUAUUUUUAAUCGAUUCAAUAUAUUUAUAUUUAAUUGUUAUUUAACCGUUUUUUUUAAUUUUUAAAAAAUCUGAGAUCGGUUAUAUGAUUGAUAUUUCUCAAUUAAGUUUCAACGGUUCGUUUUAAGCUCUGGUUGAAGUGGAAGAGCAAUCUCCUUUCUUGUCGCCAACGAUGGUAGCUUUUUUCCGGAUUGAGUAGUCAGGUUGGUUCAUGAAUUUGGAUCUUAGGGUUAUGUGGUUUUUAGAGUUCUUUUUUUUUUUUCUUUUGUUAUGGGCUUUAAAAUUGUUGUUUUUAGUUUUUUUGAGCUUGUAUUUUCAGGGCCUUUUGGUCCCUUUAAUGAUAUUCCUUUAACUUUAAGAAAAUAAAAAAAACGUGACAAGAUUAAAUCCCUCACAGUCCAUCACAUUUUUAACACGUGUAGCUACCGUCACCUCACAGCCACGUAUCUCCACUUCACCUGUCAGCAGCAAAACCACUUCUAUCUUUACACGUGUAAUUGAACGAGGAAAAGAAAAUACGCUCGCAGCCUUUGGGAAAUUGGUAUAUAUCUUAGGAUCUACCUCAUAAAAAAAAGCAUCUUGGUUCUUGAUUCUCGGCAUCUCUCAUCAGAUCCCACCACCCACUUGCUUCAUCCAACGGCUCUCCUUCCAUCUCAACUUCCCUUAUGUACUCAUUUUCUCUCCUCCCCUUUAACGCUCACACAAACUCAACAACCACCUUAACCAUCCACUACCUCCAAACAAACAUGAACGUCUUGCAUUCUCCUCUUGAAGCUUCGGCUUUUGAUUAUAUCAGCUUUGGGAUCUUUACCGAUAAUCUAUGGACGUGGAUCGCUGUUGUUGCGGCGGCUGUCAGCUUCUGGAGAAUCAAAAACGCUGGAUCCUCCCCAUUGUUCUCUGUGAAAUCGGAGACACUUUCUUCAGCUAAUCAUAUUGACAGGCUCCGGGACGUGAAUGAUCCUAAGCCGGUUGUAGAAACAUCGGUAUCUGAGUCGGCUACUCAGCCACUGCCACUGCUAACGGCGUCAUCUGCAAGCUCAGCUCCUUUUGAAUCGAUUUUGGAAGAUGACAGAGUUACCAGAGGGAAGUUUGUAAUGUAUUAUGAAGAUGAAAGAGAAAGUAAUGGCAACGUAGACGACGAGUUAACGGCGAUUGGAGAGUGGAGAUAUGGAAGUGGAAGUGAUGGUGGUUAUGGUGUUGGGUGUGAAGAGUGGUGGGAGAGAGUGUUAAGGAAGAGCAAGGGGGACUUGGGAUGGUACAGGUUUCAGGAUUUGACGGCGAUUAACGGCAACGUCGUUAGGUUAUGGGAUGUAAAGAAUAAGUACUCAUACGGCGGCGUAUGGUAAUAGUAGGUUGUAGCAGAAUUAGAGGCUUCAUUUAAAAUGUAAAUAUAUUAAUAGUUGGAUUGUGAAACAAAAUUAAUUGCUUAAUUUUUGCAAUAUAUAUAUAUAAUUUUAAAUAUUUAUAUUUAAUAAUUGUUAAAAUUUAUUCUGAGAUUUUUAAAUUUUAGGAUAAUGUUGUGAAUAAUUGCGUGACGAAACUACUAGCUGGUUUUUCAUCACACCAGAAAAAUAAAUUAUUUUAUUAAAUGAUUCAAAAAAUUUCCUGAGUGCAUUUUCUAUAAUAUAAUUAAACAUAAUUUUCAUUAUUAUAUUAAAAAAUUAAUAGAUAAUAUAAGUUUAUAAUUUAUUAUAAAAAUAAUUUAAAAUUUUAUUAAUUGUGUAUUUGAGUAAGUAAAUUUGAGACGUCUCAGAUUUUAUUUUUUUAAUUUUUAAUUUUUAUUUCAAAAAAAAAAUUAUAUAGCUAUUAAUUUAUAUUUUUAAUAGCAAAAAUAGAAUUUUUGCCUUUAUUAUAAAAAGGAAAGUGAGAGACUAUGGAGGAUACUUAUCUACUCUAUACUUUUAUCUUUCUUGUAUUCAUCAAAAAUGUUCUUUUGUUUUUUAAUGUAGACUUUGAAAACAAAGAAAGAUUUAGGUGGAUUUAUAUUUAGUGAAGGAUCAAAUAGAGUUGGUUGUUGGUGGAGAGGAAAAAUAAAAAAGGUUGGUGUUAUGGGUUUGAAGAAAAGUUGCAUAAUGGGUAAAAGGAUUCAAUAAAUAAAUAAAGAGGAAGCUGAGGAGAAAACCAGUGAGAAUAGUUCUAAUUUGCAAAGCCAUUGCUCAACACAGAAGAGUGAAAAGGAGAUUGCCCCUAUAGGAUACAAUUUGAUAGGCCUGGGCCACGGUCCAAACUGACUGUGAAUUGGGUUAUAUUUCCUUCGAUUCGUUUAUAUUUUUAUGUGAUUUUUACUAUUUGAUUUGAUUUAGAAUCAAACCAAUCAAAUACACGAUUAUUUUUUUUAUUCACAUAAAACUUUUCUGUGUGUUGGCCACUUCAUAAUUCAACUAAUUUAAAAACAAUUGCUCUGUUGGUUCUGUUCAAUAAUUAACACCCUUUUGUGCUAGUUAGAAACUUGGAUUUUCUGAGUUGGCUACUAUGCACAGGUAGUUCUUGAUUUUCCAGCAUGCCAAACAAAAGAUAAACAAUAAUUGGUUCCAAUUGUAGGCCAAAGUUAAAAAACAUGAAGCAGUGAGUAGCUAAUUGAAGUAACAGGAGCAUCCAUUAAUAAAUUGAAGCUGGAGGGACCCUUUUCUACUGCUGCUUCUGAAGUUUGAACCCCACUUUUCAAACAUUGCCUCCAUGAUUGCAACUCAGCUUCACAUGGGCAAUAGCUCCUUUCCACAUUCCAUCAAAUCUGCAUGGAAUCCAUCUUUUCUUCUUCUUUAUUUAUUUAUUUUCUUUUAAGAAAAGGAGUUGCCCUAAGCUUGAUUUAAAGGUUUUGGAAACCCACCUUCCAACCAUGACCCUUGUUAGCCAACACAAUUUAUGUUUUGUACGGAUGAUGUGCUUUGAGAAUUAUCAAAUUUCUUCAAUUAUGUUCUAAUUUAGCUUAUGUAUCACCAACACCCAAUCUUGAUGAUUAAUUACAUAUGAGAUUCGUGAUUUUCUACUCUACUAUUUAUAUGCAAGAAGAAUAGGCCUAUUUUGCAACCAUAUCUAUAGUAUAUGACUGAUUCAUGUUAGUGAAAGCUUUCUGAGGAAUUAGGAAUUAAUGCAAGCUAAGAUUUUCCUUAACGGGGCCAUCUGAUCUUCUUCUUAUCAAAAGUUUAAACAUCACUAUAAAGGAAAUUCGAAAAAAAAAAUCUCAUAUAAUCAAAUUUUGAGCUGGUGGGGCUCAGUUCCAUUGUAGCCCCUGCAACUCUGUCAAUGGCACAUGCCCUGCUUCUGUGUUCAGAGAACACUCGUGCCAUUUUGGAUGAAAUGGGCAAGUCAUGUAAUGACAACACGUUCUGAGAUUGCAUUCAAUAAUGUAUUUGUUUUUUAUUAGUUUUCACAGCCAUUGAUUCCAUCAGAUCAGAGGAUAAUAACAAAGCCUUAAUCUUGUGAUUAUUGUUGGAUUUUGCAUCAGCUGCUAUGCUUAUUAAAACCCAGACAAGAAGCUGAGAUUUUUUAGCUACACUUGAGUUUAUGGAGUGGAAGAUGGCUAGCUUAGCUGAAGCCCACUAUGUUGUGGAUCUAAAAAUGAUUGGUAGCAGUUCACUCUUGGGAUUGGCCCAUUGUUCAUGUUCACAAUAAUUCACAAGUGGGUGCUUUGAUGUCACUAGAUAAUGUCUUCUAUCAUUUCCUUUUAUAAUUUUUUAAAAGAAAAAGGUCAUUUGCCGAUUCUGAGUCAUUUCAUCCUUUCAAUUUUAUAGAUUGAGAUAUUUAUUAUUUAGUUUUUAAAAAUUAUUAUUAUUAAUAAAUUAAUUUUUAUAUUUUUAAAAAUUUAUUAAAAUAUUUUUAGUUUUUAUUUUUAUCAAUAAAAUAAUUCUCACUCUUUUUCAUUAAAAAUAAAUAAAGAAUAAAAAAAAAAUUUUUAAAAUCUAAUUUUACUCUCAAAUAAAAAUUUUUUAUUUAAUUUUUAAAUAUUAUUAUUAUUAAUAAGUCAGUUUUUAUAUUUUUAAAAAUUUAUUAAAAUAUUUUUAUUUUUUUUAUAUCUAUUAAAAUACUUCUAUCAUUAUUUUUUGUCAAUGAAAUAGUUUAUAAUUUAUUAAAAUAUUUUUUUUUAUAUUUAUUAAAAUAUUUUUUUCAUCAAUAAAAUAUUUUCUUUUUUUUAAAAAAAAAUGAAAAAAAAUAAAAAAAAUAAAAAUCAAAGGAAAAAAAGGAGAAAAAGGAAAAAUAAGAACUAAAAAAAGAGAAAAAAUAAAGAAAAAAAUAAUAAAAAAAGAAUAAAAUGAGAAAGAAUUAAUGAAGAAGGAGGCGGAGAAAAAAAAAUAAAAGGAUAAUUUAAUUUUUUUUAUAUUUUUAAAUGAUAAAAAUAAAUAUAAGGAAUAUUUUAUUAAUAAAAAAUAAAAAUAUUUUAAUAAAAUUUAAAAAAUAUAGAGAUUAAAUUAUUAGUAACAGUAAUAUUUAAAAAUUAAAUUAUUAAUCUCCUUGCUAAUUUUCAUGAGAAUCGGCAAAUACGGUGACUUCUACAGUUCUACUCAGCUGCGAAAGCAGAGAUAGAACAUUAAGUUGUCCUCGUGCAAAACAAACACACUCCAAAAUUUGAGUCUCAAUUUUUUUUUUUAAAAAAAAAAAAGCUAUUUUUUAAAUAAUUUAAUUUUUUAAAUUUAAAAAUAUUUUUAUUAAUUAAUUUUCACCCUCCUGUCAAAUUCAGUGUCAGUGUCAGCCAUGAUAAAAGCAUGAGUCCCAUACUCUGCACACCUACGCCUACUAACAAUGCCUCUUCCCUUCUUCUCUCUCUUCCUCCUUCUUUCUCUGAUCUCUUACCCUCCCUCCAACGCCGCUGCAAACUUCCGGCAAAAUGCACAUCAAGAUCUGGUCCGCUCAUCCUGUCGCCACGCCAGCUACCCUAACCUUUGCAUCCACACUCUCUCCUCCUACUCUGGCCCAGCCAACACCCCGCGCGAUUUAGCCCAAGCGGCCGUGAAGAUCAGCCUGGCCCGCGCCCAUAGAGUCUCCAAGUACCUAAGAAACGUUUCUGGACUUAAAAGUAAGAGAGAGCGAGGGGCAGUGAGAGACUGCGUGGAGCAGAUAUCUGAUUCAGUGGAUGAACUGAGGAGCACACUGAGUGAGUUGAAGCAUUUGAGAGGAGAAACGUUUGGAUGGCAGAUUAGCAAUGCGGAGACAUGGGUGAGUGCAGCGUUGACGAACGAGGACACUUGUCUUGAUGGAUUUGAAGGAGUGGAGAGCAAAGUGAAGAAUGAUGUGAAGAGGAAGAUGAGGAAUAUGGCUAGGGUUACUAGUAAUGCUCUGUACAUGAUUAAUCAGCUUGAUGAGAGUCGACGGAGGCCGAAGUCCGAUGAUCCUUGAAGGUUUGAAGAUGGAUGGUUGUUUGUAAGUUUGAUUUGUGAAUCUGCUCAUUAUUAGUUGCUGCUGUGUAAUGUUGAACUUUGAAACUUUUAGCCCUUUGUUUUUUGUUUUACAGCUAAUUUUAUGCCGUUCAGAUCAGUUGUAUGUAUGAUUUUACUUGUUACCUUCCAACCUUUACUCCACUUUGAAUAAGUUAUUUUACUCAAGAUUAUCUGAACUUUGAAACUUUUAGCCCUUUGUUAUUUUACCCAAUGAAAUAUUUAUGAGGGGGAGAUUUAUUUAUAUAGUUUUUUUAUAUAGGUUUUAAUUUAUUAAUUAUAUUAAAAUUUAGAGAUUAAAAUAUAAUUUAUAAUUAUUUAUUUUUUUUAUUUUUAUUUUUAUAUUUAUAUUUAAUAUUAUUGUUAUAAUUUUAUAAAUAUAUUUUAUUAAUUUCCUAUUUCUCUAUAUUAAUUAUUCUAUUUUUAUAGUGAUAGAUUAUUAGUGAAAGAAUAAUUAGUAUUAAAGGACUUGAGUGAGAUAUGAGUAUGUGGGUUUUUCUUAUUAUUAUUAUUGUCGCUAUUUGUUUUUAUAAUAAUAAUAAUAAUUGAUGUGAUCAGUUGAAAAAUAUUAGUUAAGAGAGUUGGGAUAUAGGGUUGCGCCAUAUUUGAUUUAAAUUAGAAAAAUUGAUUGAAUUAAAUUAAUUUAAAAUAUUAAUUUAAUUUUUUAUUUAAUUUUUAAUUUUAAAAAUUUUAAUUAUUUUAAUUCGGUUUAAUUUUAAUAAAAAGAAUCAAAAAAAUUAAAUUAAAUCAGUAGGUGAUAAUAAUAUAUUAUUUUUAAUACUAUAGAGAUUAGAUAUAAUAAUUUUAAAAUAUUUUAAUUAAAUUUUAAAAUAUUAAAAAUAAAGGAUAAAAAAUAAAAUAUAUAUUAAAAAUUUAAAUUGAUUAAAUCAAAAUGAAUUAAAUUAAUAUAGUUUAAUUUAAUUUUUAAUCAAAAUUAAUUUAGUUUGAUUUGUAUAAAUAUCAAAAUUUUAAUUUAUAAUUUAUAAUUUAUUUAUUUUAAUUUAAAUAAAUAUUAAAUUUUUAAUUUUUAAUUUAUUUAGUUUGAUUUGAUUUGGACACAAGUCUAACGGAAUGCCUAUUUAUAGUGAGGUGGCUGAGGUUACAUACGAACACUUUUAAUGCUAAUUUAUUAUAAAAGAAAAAUGUAAAAAUAUAAUUUAAAUUUAAAAUAAACAUGUAAAAAUGUGUAUUUUUAAUUUUAUGUAUAUUUUAUUUUUAUAUUAUAUAAAAACGAAGGACAUAUGGUAUAAAGAUGAGUAAUUUAUAUUAAUUAUUCUUAUUAUUUUGAAUAUCGAUUAAUUUUUUUUAUGAAAGAAACUUUUGUAACAGUAUCAUAAUUUAUUACUCUUUUUAUCUCAAUAUAUAACAUAUUUUAAAUAAUUAUUAUAUCAUAUCAAUUAUAAUACUAUUUGAAUAUAUAGAAGAAAGAAAAUAAUUUAAUCUUCCGUUGAGAUAUUACUUAUUAUAUAUAACCUAAAUUAAGUAAUAUCUUAAAACAUUUAUUUUUAAUAAUUAUUACUUAUUAUAUUUUUUAUUUAUAUCAUAUUUUAUUUUAUUUAAAUUAAAAUUUAAUUUUAGUUUUGCAAUAAAUAACAAUAAUAUUCAAUAUAUAAAUAAAAUAUUAAAAUAUAUAUCACAUAUAACAAAUAAUAAAUACAAAAAUAUGUAAUUGUCAAUUUUAAUGAUAAAAAUUAAUAUUAAAAUUAUAAAUAAUAUCUAUAAUAUUAUUAAUAUCAGGUGCAUAUUCACUUAGUAUUUUAUAAUUCGUAAGGAUAAUUAUUAUCCUGUACUUAUAGUUUAAUCUAAUCUAUUAAACGUUUUAGGAUUUUUGAAUUGUAUUAAAAUAUGUAUAUAGUUUGAUGAAGAGGACACCGUUACUUUUAGUCAUUUUUACCAUUAAUUUAUCCCUUUUUUCUGGUAAAUUGUAAGAAAAAUAAUUUCUAUGCUCCUUUAUUAAUAAAUAAAACUCAUCCAUUUCUCUCUCUAUUUCUCUUGUUAUGAUGUUUUCUGCAUGUGGGGAUAAUAAUUCCUUCCCUAGUCGACUUAGAGGGCUGAGAGAACUGGUGUUUAAUUUAUUGGAUCUUAUGAUUUUAGGGAACUAAAUAAUUGCAAAGAUAUUUUUUUAAAAAAAAAAAUCUGCAUAGUUUACCGUUACGACAGUUCAGAUAUCAAAUGUGAACAUGCUGAAUUCUCAACCUCCAGAAAUGUAUACCUCACUGUUCAGUUGCAUGUGAUGAAUGCUAUAACCGUAGCAACUGAAAAAUAAAAGGCAACAUAAGGAAGAAUGAUAGCCAAAAAUAAGCCUUAAAAAAUCGUUUAGAUGACAGCACUGUAAAGAAGAUACCAUCUUCGCAAUUGCAGUGGACAAAUCGCCAGACAGAAUAUAAGCAACAAAAAGAGGCGCCAGAGGAUAUGGUGCUUCAUUGCACUACCAUCCUCAGAUUAUGGUGAAAAUUUUAUGCUUAAAUAAAAACCUCCAAUUAUACGAUCCAUCAUUGCAUUACCGCAAAAAGAUUUUGAUUGAUCCAAUCUACAAACCAUGUGAUAGACUGAAUUUUACCUAAAAUUUUCACAAUAAAGAUACAGGAAUUGUACAUAAAAUGUGAAACAAAAUGGAAGUAUGCUCAUAAACCACCAUUACAUUAGUGUAACCUAGCCAACUGCCAGCUCAAAAUUCAUUACAAUUGGCUAAUUAAACACGAUCAGUAUUCUACUUGUACAUGUAAAAUUAAACAACCCUACCUAUCACUGGGGAUUUUGUGGUUCAGCAGUUGACCAAGCCCCACUGAAGAGAGAACUCCUACAACAAUUGAAGCUUAACGUAUUUCCACUUCCUUGACUCUGAAUAUUCUCCUUUCACCAUCCACUGGGGCUAGAUGGCUCAUCCCUCUCCUGAUAAUCUGUCCAACCAGUCACCUUAGUACAAUUCACCCCAUUGAUUUAGUAGAAAUCUAGAUGCAGUGGAUUUCAUCAUUUAUCCGCUUUUAUUUAUUAACGGCUUUACUAAGCCUAAGGGCAUGCCACAUAGUUAAUGUUAAAGGAAUUUUAAUCACAUCUUGCUAUUUUGUGCACAUGUUCUGCUUUUAGCUUUUAGUCUCUGCUGAAUACAGCAGAAUCAGAGUAGAAGCAAGAUAUCAACAAUUCAACACAUAAUCAUUUAGGAUACCCUUUGGCCAGGUCCUCUCAUUGCCUAUUAUCAUAGCAAAAUCAACAGAUACACAAAUUACAGAUCCACACACCUUUUGCAUUAAUACAGCAAGGUUGAGGUAGUCUUAUAUCACUUGUACGGCGCAAAAAGUAUUGAUGAGUUGUGGCCUCCGAACCCAAAUGAGUUAGACAAUGCAACCUUAACUUCCAAUCUCUCUUUCUUUGGGCCAACCAGAACACUAAUGUCCUGAAUUGAAAUGUUGGAAUCAUUAUACAUGCUAAAAAACUACUCUCCAAGAGCAUCAUAGGAACUUAGAUGAAGUAGAGUAUAGAAGGAAACAUACCACGCCUUCAUCUGGAUUUUCCAGGUUGGUGUUUGGAUGAAUCCAUCCUGUCCGUAUAGCCUGUACAAGUAACAGGAUUAGAAAAAAUAACAGGAUUAAACAUCAAGAACCACAUACAUAUUUAUUGAUCCUUUUUUGGGUGGGAAGGGAAAAGGGUGGUUUGGAUGGUUCCUUGCCAGAUAUUUUAAAUCUGUAAAGUCCACUGAUAACAUUACCUGUAUUGCUGCAAUAGCUUCCACAGCACCAGCAGCUCCCAGUAGAUGGCCAAUCAUGGACUUUGUGGAGUUCACUCUCAACUAUAAGUAAGGGGAUGAUCACAUGAACAUUAAUAAACUAGAAAUGUUUGAAAAAGGUGACUCAUGUAACAAAUAAAGAUUCAUCUUACUCACAUCAGGAUUUCGGCCAAAACAGCGCAUGAGAGCUUCAUACUCUUUAAGGUCACCAGCUGGGGUGGAUGUAGCAUGUGCAUUUAUGUAGUUUACAUCCUCCUUAGAUACCCCAGAUUGAGCUAGUGCCUUCUCUAUACAGCGAGUGAUACCAACUCCUGUUGGGUGGCAAAAAGAGAUGUUAGGUGGACUGUAUCGUUCUUCAAGGAUAGAAAAUCAUGUAAUUUGUAGAAUGGUAAAUGCCCCUGAUAAGAUUAUAUUACAGAUGUACAACAUUCAAAUAUUACAAUAACUGCAGCUGGUUAUUUCAAAUUCACUUUGAAAAUAGAUGCCUCAAACUGAUAGCUGAAUGAUUCAUCCAUUCUUGAAAUUUAUCACAAAUGCAAGUGGGACUUCAUUCACAUGUUACUCGCAUAAUUUGCAAGACUCCACUUGGUUAUAAAUCCAUACUGGUCAAUUAGGCCCCCUUUGCCAUUCAGAAUUGCAAAAAAAGGGGAAGUCAGAAACCUAUGUUAUGGUCACAGAAUAAACUAUGUUAUGGUCCUGCAAGGAGGUGGCAACAUGUCAGCUAGGUCGCAUAAUAAAAUGCUUGUAAUGUAUAACAGGCUACACAGAUAUAGCAUAUAUGUCUGUGAAUUCUAAAAUCUAUAACUGACAGUUCGCAUCAUAUGCCUUCUCAAUGUUCUUAAAUCCAACAUCUAUAAGCGAGUACCCUGAGUUUAAUACCAAGAAUAAUAUUACAAUGACAAAACACAGCUGUGGGUUCUCAAAAGCUUGCUUAUGUAAUUCAACUCAAAUGGUCAGCGUUGCCUCAUGCCAACUAUUUUAAUUGCCAAACUGAUCUCUAUGCUCAUAAAUGUCUACCCUUUUCGCCCUUAUAGAAUACGAAGCUCAACUCAGCCUAAAUUCCAAUGUAGGAAGGGUCAGCCAUAUAUCUCAUUCAUUUUCCUCCACUUUACUUCAGGUCAGCCUUGAUAGAGCAUUAGAUGAAUUUAUUUUGGAUAUGCCUUUCUUAAGAAUUAAAAAAUACAUAUAUAUAUUAUCUCCAACAAGUGCACUCUGGAUAUCAUAUAUGGGCAAUCUCUAUGGCUCUACCAUGAGAGCAGAAGCCAAUAUAAGCUACAUCAAUAUGAAUGGAACUGGAAUGGAUUCAGGAUAACAAUUAACUACUGCUAUUAUCUCACAGAUAAGCUGUACUCUAGAAACAUAAAAGGAGCAUGAAGAAGAUAGUGAAACUAUAUAUAUAUAUCUUAUAGAAUUUCCAGGUUAACAGACUUCAUAGUGUAAAACAGCAGGUAUUCUGGAAGCUGCACAUUACCAUCAGGACGUGGUUCAGUCACAUGAUAGGCAUCACAGGUGAAGCUUCCUCCAAGAAAUUCCGCAUAGAUAUUUGCACCUCUUUUCUGCAAAUCGGAAAUUAACCUACAGUUCAAUUACUUCAACCAGAAAAAAGAGUUCUCUUAAUGACUUUAUAGUUUAAUUUCACUGUGUUUUAGAAUUCAGAACUAAGAAAUUUUAGUAUAAGAAAAACAAGGCAAACACAUAAGGUAAUUGUGGAAGUGAUAGAGAAAAUGAAAAAGAAAAGAUGAAAGUGAAAAAAUAAAAAUGAGUGUCCAAGAAUGUGGUAGCAAUCCUAAUAAGACUGUAAAUAAAGGCACUAAAUACUGACACCAAUGAAAUAUAAGGCAAAUACCAGAACCUUGAUAUGGCUUCAUUGAGUUAAAUCAUUUGCAUACCUUAGCAUGUUCUAGUUCUUCUAAAAGGAGAACACCAGCUCCUUCCCCCAUCACAAAUCCAUCCCUCUCCUGUUUAUCACCAAGAAAAAUUUUGAGUUAGAUACCAUAAUUCAAGUGACCAAGUAAGUUACAGCCUUUAAGCUUUCAAUUGGUACAGAAACACAUAUUCAGAACUUCCUGACAAUGACAUUUGAAGCAUUAAUACCCAUGAUGAUAGAAUUAAGCAAUGAAUCUGUACGACACUGUUCAACUGUGAAGAUAGUAAUUAUUACCAAAAUUUAUGUGCUAUAAUUUAUCAAAUAUUCCUUUUACUGACUUCAACAAUACCAAUUUUCAAUAAAAAUUUUCCACAACUUUUGAGUUAGAACAGUGAAAAAGUGGCAGGUAGAUAGCUGAGAGCAGGGAGACAUGAAUGAACAAGGUUUACAGAAUUACCAUAUCCCAAGGUCGUGAAGCUUUUGUAGGAUCAUCAUUCCUCUGUGAGAGUGCACGGCAUGCCACAAAACCCCCCAAGCCUGCACCAAAGAUAAGAAAUGGAAUGCUGAGUGUAUGCAAUACCUAAGUAGAAGCAUGAGUUAUAUAAACUUAUGGAAGGAGUAGGAUUUACCGAUAGGUAUAAUUACUGCAUCUGAGCCACCACAAAGCAUGACAUUCUACAUGUUCAAGAGAAAUUUGAAAAGCAACAGAUACACAUAAGUUGGUGCAUACUAUAUCUUAUGCAUCAUCAACAUGUAUUAACUGCAAGAUACUCACAGCUUCGCCCCUAAUGAUGUGAUUUGCUGCAUUCAAUAUGCAAAAAUUGCUUGUAGCACAAGCAGUGGAAAUUGAAUAGUUUGGCCCCAUCCAACCCUGCAGUUCAAUUAAAAUAAAUAGAAGUCUAAAAAUCAAUUAGGUUGAGUCUUGAUAUUGCUACUCUCUUAAAGUUAUAGCUUACCAAGUCCAUUGCAAGCAUUGCAGAACCCAUAUUUGUAGUCGCAAAAGGUACACAGAAAGGAUUCAUCUUCUUGUAUGAGAUCCUUAAUGCUUCAAGUGCAUCAUUGAAAACCUAUUCAUGAUCAAACAAAGAAGCAAUCCUUAAUAAAUGGUAUAGCACAGGAUGAGUAGCCUUAUGCCUCAUUCAAGAGUAUAGUGAAUCUCAUAUAGUAUAUCGGAGCAUGGAUGGAAAUUUCUAGAAAAGAUGCGCUCCUAAAGGAAGCAAUAUGAUCCCUCAGGUCAAACACAGACAUAAGCAGGUCUACUAUAAGGAACACAUACAUAUUGAAAAUAGCAAAAGCUCCUAUUUUCCUAAAGCAUGAAAGAUAAUGCUGGCUCUAAGUUGAGAUAGGCAGCAAAUGCAAAAACAUUAUACAGAUCUUCAGGUGUCCCUUAUCAUAAGAUCAAAUUUAAAAUUUUUCAGGCAAGCUUUAGGUCGUCUUCUUAGCGGGCCAUUAUUUAAUAUCACAAGUUAAUUUGUGUAAACCAGAGCAAAGAGCACAAUUACCUUCAUACCACCCAUUGCAGAGCCAAUCAGAACUCCACAUUUAGUUUUAUCCAACUCAUCCAUUAUAUCUUCAGUGAUACCACCAUCAGCCAAGGCUUUUUUGCCAGCAGUAAGCAUGUAAAGCAUGAAUUUAUCCAUUCUCUUGGACAAUUUUGGUGCAACCCAUCCCUCAGUUGAGAAAGACUUAAUCUCACCAGCAAUCCUCUGAACAAAAGUUAUUCAAAAAAAAAAAAAAGACCAAGAGGAAAGUAAAAAAAAUUAAGAGCGAAAUUCAUGGCAAUCAGCAGAGAAAUAGAUAUUUUCAAUAAAAUUUACCGUUGGAAAUUGGGAACAGUCAAAAGCCUCUAUCUGAGAUAUGCCACUAGCUCCAUCAAGAAGAUUGUUGUAGAAUACAUCCGGAUCAUGACCAAGGGGUGUCACAACACCCAAACCUGUCACAACCACUCGCCUUUGCUUCGUAACAGGUUUAUUCUUUGUUGCAACUUCCUUUUCAGGUUGCACGGCUACUGCCAUGACUUCGCCUAAAAAUUUUUAUAGAUACAUCACAAAUUGUGUGAUAUGUCAUGAGUAUGUAGUCAAUGAUCAGUUAAACAUGCUGGAAAACUUCAAUUAUUACAUGAGAGAGAGAGGCUUGAUUCUCAGAAUUCAACUAUGAAAGCCCAUUAUUUCUUGCUUCUAUACUUUGCAAAACUACAACUUUCAUUCUAUGUGUAUGAAUGCAUAACAUGGGGGAAAUCAUGCAACUAAAAACACCUAAUUUUUGCUAACGUUGAUGGUAUAAAAUCCAGCCAUAUCUUAAUGGAAUCAUAAACCAAGCAAGUAGCAAUUGAGUUAGCUCCAAUACGUGCCAGUUUACUGGUAACUAACAAUCGGUUAAAUUGCUAACAAUAAUAAUAAUAAUUUGUCAUGAAAAUUUUAACCAAUACAAUGAAUAAAUCAAAUCACAAAUGAGCUAAACCGCUCUACUACAGCAUGCUUAAAACGUGGAGAUUAGUUUUCUUCAUGAAAAAACAUUCAGAAAACAGCUAAAGAAAGACGAAUCAAGAUUCAAUUUGCAGAAUGCAACAAAAGGAAUAUUUAAAAAAAAAAAACUAAUCGGACUUGAAAAAUACAAACUAGAACCAGCCAGAACCUAAAAUUAAACAAAAAUAAAAAGUAAAAAUAAAAUUACCAGAAUGAGGAGGGCGAUUAAGUCUUCGGUUCUUGCGAUUGAGAUUUCUGGAUCCAAAAAGGCCAUUGGAGCUGUAGUAGUGACUACAAGGCUCAAAAGCCAAGCAAGAAGUCAUCAAUCCUUGAAAGCUGGAUCCAGAGAAGGAAGAGGACAAACCUUGGGAAAUAAACUUAGAGCAGGUAGAAGCAACAGCAGAGCUACCGCAGUUAUAUUUAGAGAGAAGAGCCCUUCUUCUGCGAGCCCAGCGACUGAGUCUAUUCCCCGGUGGAGAUGAAUGAAACGCGUGUAGGCUGGUCCAAUUUUCCUUCUCGCACGUGACGGACAUGCACGCCGCCACCAGCCACGUGCACAGCGGAGAUGAGAAAGAAGCUGACGCCACCAUCUCUGGCUUUACAGAUAGUUAAAAUCGAAUAAAUAGACAAACAGAUUCACAAGAAGGAGAAGAAAGAAAUGCAAAUCUAAAAAUGAAGAAUCAGAGCAGAUUGAACAGUAGAAGAAGACGGUGGCAUUCGAUCUCAGUCUCUAUCCAGUCUCUGCAUCAGGUGUUAAAAGUGCCUUUUCUUUGUGGUACAGAGAAGAAGAAGAGUAACAAGUGCUCUUCUGAGUUCCCUGAAUACACAGAGAGAGAGAGAGAGAGAGAGAGGGGCGGGCAGCUGAAAAACAAAAAAUAUAACAGAAAUAAGGGAGGGAUCUCUAUGACCAGAAAUAUUGUUUUUAUUUAUCAGUGUUGCGAGUAUUUUAAAAGUUAUAUGCCUGGAUUCUCUUCCCCUUCCUCUUCUUCGUCCCCUCCUGCCUCCACUCUGCUUCUGCUAUGAAAUUACUUUUCUACCCAUGCCCUCCCUUCCUUUUUCACUGAAUUUCCUUUUUUAAAGAAAAAAAAUUAUUAUUUAUAUCUGUAAAUUAAUAAAAUUAAUUAUUUAAUUUUUAUUAAAUAAAUUACAUUUUAAUUUUAAAUUAAAUUCUAAAUAAUUAAGAGUUAAUGAUAAAAAAUUUAUAUUUUUUAUUUUAUUAUAAUUAUAUUUUAUAUUUUUAUCAAUUAAAAUAUCAUUUUUUAAAUUAAUUUUAAUUAUAUUUUAUUAUUAUUUGUCCCGUUAUACAUUAACAAAAUUUAACAUUAAUUACCAAAAAAAUUAUUAAUCACUAAAAAAAUUUAUAUUCAUAUUUUCAUUUUUUAUUAAUUAAAUUUUAUAUUUUUAAUAUUUAACAAAAUACAUCAUAUCAUUACUUAAUUUUACUUUAUAUUUUUAUUUUUUAUCAAUUAAAUUCUAUAUUUUUAAUAUCUAACUAAAUGCACGCUAAUUGAAAUUUUAUAAAAUUAUUAUAUAAUUUUUUAUUAUUAAAUAUAUUUAAAAAUUAUUAUUUAUAUUAUUAUUUAUUUUUUAAUUUUUAUCUAUAAUUUUUAUAAUAAUAAUUUAUUUACUAAAAUUAUUAUCGAUUAAUUUUUUUAAUUUAUUUAAUAUAUUUACUAUUUAAUAUUACUUUUAUAAAUUAUUAUAAAAAAAUAAUUUUAUUAAAUACUCGCCAUAUAUCUAUACCACGUUAAUAAAUUUUAUAGUAAAAUUAAUAAUAAUUUAAAAUUUUAAAAUAAAAUUAUAAUAAAAUUAAAAAUAUAAAAUUUUUUAAUAAUUAUUUAUUUUAUUAAUAUUUUUUUAGCAGAUAAGAAAAUAAAAAUUAAAUUUAUAAUUUUAAAUAAAUUAUAUAUUUUUUUAGUCACUUAAAUUAAGUUAGAGUUAAAUAAUUAAAUAUUUAAUUUAUAUAUUAUUACUUUUUUUAAAUUUACUUUAAUUAUUAAUAUAAUUUUAAAAAAAUAGAUUAUCAUGAUAUUUGAGAGUUAAAAAAAUAAUUUAAAAAAUAUUCUAAAAAAUUAUUUUAUUAUUUUUAAUAUUUUUAAAUGAAUUAUAUUAAAUAUUAUUUUAAAUUAUUUUUUAAUAUUUUAUUAAUUUUUAACAGUAUAAAUAAUAAUAAAUAUAAUUAAAAUAAUUUUAAAAUAUAAUAUUUUAAUUAAUAAAUAUGAUUAUAAUAAAAUUAAAAAUAUAAAAAAAUUUUAAACAUUAACUCUAUAAUUAAUUGAUUAAUUUUUUUAUUUUUAAAAUCGUGUAUAUUUAUUCCAUUGAACUUCUUAUAUCACUUUUUUAAAAGUUGUCGUUAUAUGUUUUGCGACGUAUAAUAGUGAUAAUUUAAAAUAGCAUAAAAUUCACAAUUUAAAUAUUUAUAUUUAAUAAAUUUUAAAUAUUUUAUUUUUUUAAUUAUUAUUUAUUAAUACACUUAAAUAUUUAAAAUAUAAAAUCGAUUAUUAAUUUUGACUUUGUUCUAGUUUUUUAAAUCUCCCUUGCAUCACCAUUUUUAGAUAUAUUCAUUUUUGGAAAAAAAAAUGUGAACGGAAAAUUACUUAUUAGAUGGAAUAUAUAUUAAAUAUAUAAAAUUUUAAUAUUUAAUUUUAAAAAUAUAUUGAUCAAUUAAUAAAUUAGACUAAAAUUUAAAAAUUAAUAUAUAAUUUAUCUAGCUUUAUAGAACAAUUAGAAUUUGAAAAGGAUAAAUUAUUAUAUUUUUUUUAAAUGGGAUAAAUUAUUAUAUAUAUAUAUAUAUUUUUUUUUUGAAAUGGGAUAAAUUAUUAUACUUAAAUUGUAGAAAUUAAAUAAUUAUAUUAUAAUAUUAUAAUAUUAUUUUAAGAUAAGUAAAAAUAUUAAACAAUCAAAGUUUUAAAUAAUAAUAUUAAUUAAGUUUUUAAAAAUAUAAAUAAUUAGUUAGUUAUUAAAAUAAAUAAUAAACUAUAAUUUAGUCCUUCUAAUUUAGUGAAAUAUAAUAUUUCAUCCUUCUAUUUUAAAAAAUUAUUAAUUUAAUUAUUAUAAUUUUUAAAAUUUAUGCCAUUAGUCUCUCCUGUUAAAUUUUCAGUUAAAUCACUGUUAAUUUUAAUUAAAAUAUUAAAAUAUUCACACUGCAUUGCAAUCCUUUUUUCACCAUUUUAGAGUGCUCUUGAGUCUAAAGUCAGUAUGCUAAUAUCAUAAAAAAGAGAAAUCAUUAGAUAAUUAAAAUUAUCCAUAUCAAAAUAAUCACAUAAUUCUUUUCUUAUGAACUAAAAGCCAUAAAUUUUACAGAAAAAGUAAUACUGCAAAUAAAUAAAAAUUGAAAAAGAAAACCCACAAAAAAUAUUUUAUGUCAAAACCAAAUCUUGAGAUUGCUUAGCAAUAUCCCUAAUAAAUAGGAGAAAACUACAAAUUCAGACUCAAAAAGUAAUAAACGUCAAUUAAUUUUGGGGAAAAAAGAAUAUUAAUAAAAAGAUAUGAAUUAAAUUAUAGUUUAUUUUAAAAUAAAUAAUAAUUUAUUUUUUAUAUUAAUAUUUACAUUUAAAAUUUUAUUUAAUAUUAUUUAACAUAAUAAUUAAAACUAAUCUAUUUUUAGUAGUGUUAUAUUUAUUUUGAAAAGUUUUACUCUCUAUUCUUUUUAUAUACAUCUGAUUAAUAAAAUAUUACUACUUUACAUUUAAAUAUAAAAUUUAUUGUAAUUUUUUUUAUUAAUUUCUCUAAUUUUUAAUUCAUAAAAUUACUUAAUAUUUUCAAUUAAAUUUAAAAACAAAAAAUAAAUAAAAAUUUAAUAACAACAAUGAACAACAUCCAACCGAAUUUGAGAAACGCAUAAAUUCAACAAGAAACACCCCCAGAUUCAUCCAAAAUGAAGAAAUUCAAUCGUUACAAGAACAGUAUUACGAAUCCAGCAGUAAAUAUAAUUAAAAACAAAUAAUCUAAAUCUCAAAAGACCCAAUUUCACAAAAGUUAGAUUACAACAACCCCAAAUCUCAAAAACCCUAAUCCCAAACAUGUCUCUGCAAAUCCAAUUUUCAUCACUGUGUAGCCGUUGGCGAUAAAGCCCAACUAAGAGCUGAAUAACUUCUGGUGACGGCUGGUAUAUUAAAAAAGAAGUGAAUCAGAAGAUGAAAGAAAGGAGAUGAAUGAAGAAAACAAAUUGAAGAAAGAAGAAAAAGAUAAAAUAAAAAGAAUAAAAAAAAAUAAAAAGAGGAACGACGAAAAAGAAGGAAAAGAGAAGAUGAAUGAAGAAGUAGGAGAAUUUUUUAUGCCUUUUUUAUUUUAGUUGUUUCUUUUAUUAAUAAAAUUUAUAAAGUUUAGAAUUUUUUUUAAUAGCAUAAUUUUUUAAUUAAAAAAAUAUUUUAAUUAUUUAAUUUUCUCAAAUGUUUUAAAGUGUAAAAAAUAUUUUCGUAUUUUAAAUUUUUUUUUAUAUAUCGACUACUGGUUACAUUUAAGAGGUUUGACCUGCUUUUUAAUGGCUAUGAUGGUUGAUUUUAGAUAAUAUGUGUAUAUAUAAAUAUAUACACAUUGUGUUAAUAAAAAAAAUUAUUUAGUUUUAACCGUAAAAAUAUUUAUAAAUUUAAAUCGGUGGUAAAUUAUCAUAUUUUACUUUUUUAAUUUUCGUUUUUUAAUUUUAAAAAAAUUAUAAUAAUAAAAAUAAAGGAGGUUAAUACAUUUAAGUAUAUAAAAUUUAAUGGUAUUAAAAUUUUUCUUAAAAUUUAAAAUUUUUUAAAUGGCUGAAUUUUUUUAAUUAAAAAAUAUUUUUUUAUUCAAUUUUUUGUAAUGAUCUAAAAUAUGAAAAAAAUCAAUUUUCAUAAAACAAAUCAGUAAAAAAUUGUAUAAGAAAUAAUUAUUAUACUAAAAUUAUGACAUCAUUUAGUAUGAUUCAUUUUAUAAUUAAACAAAUCAAAUAAACUCUUAUAAAAUUAUAUAAUAUUUUAAUUUUUCUUAAAUUUAAAAAAUUAAAUUAUUAUAUUUCAAAUAUAAAAAUUGUUAAAAAAAAUGAAUUGAGUUAGAAUUUUUAUAAAAUUCCUAAAUCCAAGUGUGAUAUAUGAUUUUUUUUCAACGAUAUUAAAGGCAAUAUUUUCUCAAAACAUAAAAUUUUUUCAAUUGUUUUGAACGCAACUCACAAUUUUAUUUUAAACAUAAAAAUUAUUAUAAAAAAAUUAAUUAAAUUAAAUUUUUAUAAAAUUUUUAUAAAAAAAUUUUAAUUUAAUCAUUGCAUAUUAUUAUUAAUAAAUUAAGUCAUUCUAUUUUCAAAAACUUAUUAAAACAUAAUUAUUUUUUUUCUCUAUCAAUAAAAUAAUAUUUAAAUUUAUUUUUAUUAUUAAAAAUAUAGUAAAAUAUUAUACGACCAUUCUUCUUCUUCAUCUUUCUCUUUUUCUUUCUCUUUUUUUUCUUUUUUAUUUUUUUCGAAAGAGAAACUAUUUUAUUGAUAAAAAAAAUACGUUUUAAUAAAUUUCUAUGUAGAGACUAAUUUAUUAAUAAUAGUAUUAUCCACAUACUAAAUAAAAUAUUCUAUUUAAAGUUAAAAUUGAGUUUUAAAAUUUUUUUUAUAUUUUUUAUUUAUUAAAAAAAUAAAAAAAAUUUAAUAUAUUUUUAAAAAUAUAAAAUUUAACUUACUAUUAAUAAUAAUAAUAUUUAAAUAUUAAAUAGUGAAUUUCUCUAUUCUUAUUUACAAAUAAAUGAUAUAUUUUUUGCGGCCGUUUUCAAGGCGACACUUUCUGAAACACACACAAAAAGCAUUAACUCUUGAAGGAGAAACUCAAACGCAACAUAGCUAUCGACAGUGGGUGAGGUCAAGGAUGAGAAGAGGAGGGGACACUCAAGACGUGAGAAACGUGUUGUUCUGUUGGAUGUGUAAAACUUGUGACCCAAAACAGUAGAAACAUGUCCCAAAAAAACAUGAAGCACGACCAUCAUUUAAUUUGGUAAAAAUAUUCAAUAUUUAAUUAUCUAACUUUACGUAACAUUUAAUGUUAAAAUUAAUAUAAUAAUUAUUUAUUUAUUUAUUUAAAAUUUUAAAAUUUAAAAAAUAUAGUAAUAUAUUUUUUAACACUAAUAAACUGAUUGAUGAGUUUUUCUAAUAAUACAUAAACUCCCUAAAAAUUUUCAAAAAAAAAAAAAAAAAAAAAAAAGAUAGGAAAUCUCCAAGCCGGUUUCAGCUUCUGGCGAAUAUUUUGGGUUGCCGAAGCUUUUCUAGCAAAUGUUUCUUCUUCCACACGCUUCACCAUCUAUCUGUCUACCAACCUUUCACUUGGUUGGCUUCUAAAUUAAAUUUUAUUAAAUUAAAAUCAAACCAAAAUAAUUCAUAACUGAGAAACCUUACAAUUUAAUUCUUAAUUAUCUAAAUCUUAAAGUAAAAACCCUGAAUUCCAACCGUAAUCAACCCAAUGGUUAGACCAGUUGUGAUUUGUGGGUUUUUUUUAAUAACUUAAGAAUAAUGAAAAAACACACAGAUUGCCAUAUUUAAUAAAUAGAAGUAACAAAACAUUUUUAUUUGAAAGAGUUGUUCAACCAAUUUCAAAAUACGGAGUCUCUCACUUUUCUUUUUCUGAUAAAUUUUGAAUUAUUUAUGAGUUAAUAUAAAUCCAUUCAUAAUUUAAAACAAUUCGUAAUUUAUUUCAAUGCAUACAAAAUUUAAAAUAAUUUGAAUACAAAUGAAUUACAUAAAAAUUAAUAUGAUAAUUUGAUUUGAUGUUAAUUCUUUCCAUUUCAUCAAUAAUUCAAUUUAAUUUCAAAAUUAAAAUAAUAAAAAUUAAUUUUUUUUAUUUAUUAUUAAUAAUGAAAAUUAGUUAUAUCCACUUUCAUCAGUUUUAUCGCCAUUAACAAAAUAAACAUUUAAGCGACUGACGAUAUAUUUCUUAUUUUAUAUAAUAGAAUUUGGGAUAUCAAAUGCUUUAUUUUUUUUAUGUUAUAAUUAAAUAUUGAUGCCACAUUUAAGCAUCACAUUUUUUAUUAUUAAAUUCACCUUUAUUUGAAAUAAAGAAAUUUGCAAAAUUCAAUUUAAUGAAUUCUUUUUUUUAAAUAAGAAUUCAAAAAUAUUAUAUCUUAAAAGUAUUAGAAAACAAUUUUUGCUUAUGUAAUUAUUUGAUGAAUUUAUAAUUAAUUUAUUUCGCACAAUUGAUUGUGAAUACUCUAAAUAUUGAGAGUUUAAAAAUUAUAAUCAUUGUAAUUUGAAAUUAGAUAUAUAUUUUAUGACUUUAUAUGUUGAAAUUAAUGAAAAAUUUAUAAGUAAUUGAUGUUGUGAAAUUUAAAGAAAAUAGAGUUUGUAUGUGUAUAAGUUUGGUAUGAGUCUUUUUUUUUUUUUCUUUUAUCUUCUAGUAAUAUAUAAUUAUCGUUAUGCUAGUAAUAUAUAACCGUCGUUCUGCUAUAAUAUCACUCGUUAUUGUUACGUCGACUUGUACAUAUAGACGUACCUAUAUAUUUAUUUCUAUCCGGCGGUUAUUUAAUUUUUCUUGAAUGCACAUGCUGACUGUGGAUAACUGAGCCAGCUCUCCUACUCCUCGUCACAUCGCUUGAGCUAGGUCUUUUUUUGACGGGUUCAAGUCUUGAAUCAGUCCGCUAAAUCUUUUUUUGACGGGUCCAAACCUUAAAUCAGUCCGACCUACUUUAGUCACGGGCUAAUGGGUUGGCCUGCUUAAUGAAUUAUACUUGACUUUAAGCUUGUUUCUUUUUUUAGGGUCCGGCUUCAGUCUGGAUGCUAGCUAAAACUUAUAUAUUUUUCAAAUUAAAAUGAUUUUAUAAGUUUUAUGUGGAUAUUUUUUAAUUUCAAAUUACUAUAUAGAUUAAAAUUGAUAAAGUUAAGAAAAUAAAAUAAAAUGAAAAAAAAAAAGUAUAAAGUUUGAGGGUUUUUUUAAUGUAUAUUAAGCUUAUCCAAAUCACUCUUCAUAAUAAUAUUGUAAAUAUAAAAUUAAUUGCAAUUUGAAUGCAGUUUUGGUUAAAUAAUCAUUUUUCAUAUUUUUUAUAUUUUUUAUAAGUGAAUUAUACAUUUAAAAUAACAUUUAUUUUUUAUUUUUUCAAAAAAUGCUGCACUUGUUAACCUUGACUUAUGAUAAGUGUUAUCUUUCCCUAAUGACUGAUUUUUAACUGAUUUUAAUUUGUAUAUUUUAAAUAUUUUUUAUAAUUUUAUUUAAUUAUUAUGGGCGAUAAGGAUUUAUAUUAAUUUACUAUGUUAAUGAAUAAUUAAAGGUAUAAUGUAGUUUAAAUGAAAAAUAAAGUCAAAACAACUCUUAGUUUAUAAAAAAUUAAUUUUUUUUAAGUAAAACUACUUAUUUUAUUAAUAAAAUUUUAUCAAAUAGAGAGAUAUAUUGUUCUAAAUAGAGAGAUGAUCAUACUCAAUAAAUUUUUUAGUCAAAAUAUAAACAGUUAGAAUGACAUGAUGACGAAUCCAUCUAAAAGAAAUAUCAGUUUUAAAAUCUAACAAAAAUUUACAAUUAUUUAAAAUCAAACUCAAUUCCGAAAUAUCCAAAUGUGUAGACUGAAAUACAACUGAUCAAUUUUAUAUCAGUCGUAUAUCAGUGAUCAGUUAAAUCUUUUAUAACUUACCAAAUAAUUGGAUUAGUUAUUUGGAUCUGUUAAACUAGAUAUUUUCUAAAUCAAAUUAAAUUAAAUAGGAUUCAAGAGAAAUAUAUUAGUCUAGCUGCAGUUUGGUUUAGACCGUGAGCCCAACAGGUGAAACUUGAGAUUGCAUCGUUGAAUCAGUUUCUCGGUUCCUUAAUCGGAUCAAACAUCAGUUUCUCGGUUCUUGUUCCUUAAUCGGAUCAACCAUGGAUCUCCCUCUUUUAAAUUAUAAUGAGAAUUAACUGAUUUAAACUAAAAGAUCAGUUCGAUUUUGAUUUUAUUUCAAAUUUUUAAAAUAAAAAUCAUCUAAUAAAAUUAUUGCCAAUUAAAAUUAAUAUAUAAAUUAAUUAAUUUAUCAAAUAAUUAUUUUAUUUUAUUUAUAAAAAUUAUUAAUUCCUUUUGAAUGUAAAUGGAUUCAACAUUUAGAAUUUGAUUUCAAUUGAAACUAAAAAACUUUAAUUGUAACAUCUUUAAAAUCAUAUUAAAAUUCAACUGUAAUCAUCACUAAAACCAUUUUUAAACCAUUAAAGGUUGGACGGAUUUCAAUUCAAUCCGUAAAUCAGAUAGAAUUGCUGAUUCCAAAUCGAAAUCAACCCUGAGGGUACAGACAAUAUGAGUUUAAUUUUAGUAACUUCUUUUUAUCCUUUCCAAUAUAGUAAAAAAAAACAAAGCCAGUUUUUUCUAGUAGCAAAAUAUCAAUACAUGUGUAAUAAAUUUAUACACUAUUAACAUCAAAAUAAAUUUUUAUUCCUAAAUAAAAUAUCAAAAUUUAUCACUAAAUCAUAUCAAAUUUCAGAUUUCAUUUUAAAUUUACUUUUGAAUCAUCAUUAAAAAAUUUACACUCACAAGCUUAACCGAGAGAUAUCAGAUUGUACUUUCUGGUCUUUAAUUUUCAAUUUAAAAAAAAAUUGAAUGAUAAAUUUUAGAUUUUUCUAUUUAUAAAUCAUUUUAUCACAAUUUUUAAAAGAUUUUAUAAUAUAAUUUUUGUGUAUAAUAAUUAUUAAUUGUAAUAAAUCGCAUAUAAAUUCAAUUAUGCCACAAACUAAGUUGUUCCUAAGGCUCUUUAAGGGGGAGUGACUAGUUGGCCACCAGCUGGGGUUGGGCCCAGUUGGCUACCGUAGGCCUACGAAUAUUCUGAGUUGUGCCUUCACUCCUUGUAGACCAUCCCCUGUCUACAAGGGAGGUGAUAAUUAUUGUAACGAUUGCAUUGAUGAUAAUGUAUAAUUACCAUUUUGCUCCUGGAAUAAAAUAAGUAGCAUGUUCAUGAAUUUUUAUGUUCAGUUCUUAUCUUUUGUGCCUAUUAUGAGGCUUCUGAUGGAAUAUUGUAUGUUAGCUUCGUUGUUCGUUUAUAUAACCUACUAAUCCGGGUAUUCAUGUUCACAUGAUAUUGGGAUAAUUCUUAGGACAGUUAUUUAUAAUAAUUUUUUAAGUUUCAUACCCUAAUUUAUUUCUUUGUUGAUUUGAUUGGUCAGCCACCAAGAAAAUUGUUAAUUAGCAAAAUAUUUACUGCAUCACCAUGAGAUGUGAUUGUUUAGGCAUGAGUAAGAUAUAUACAUCAUCAUUUGUUAUUGGCUGUUUUGUAAUUGACUACUGCAAUAAACUAAUAAUAUUGUGAUAAUUUAUUAAAGAAAAUUAAAUUUAACUAUUUAAAUUUUAUUUUUAUAAAAAAAUUAUUUAAUAUUAAUAUAAAUUUUUAAAAAUUAUUAUUUAAUUUUUAUUAUAUAAAAAAACUUAUUAAUUAAUCAAUCCAUUUUAAAAAAUAUAUUAAAAUAUUUUUAAUAUUUUAAAAAAUUUACUAAUUAAUUUCUCAAUUAAUUUUACUAUUUAAUUUUUAUAAUUUUUAAAAAAUUAUUAAUUAAUUUUUUAAAUUUUAAAAAAAUUUAUUGAUUAAUUCAUUCAUUAAAAAUAUAUUAAAUUUUUUUAUAAUAUUUAACCGUGAAAAUUAAUAGAUAAAAUAAGUAAUAAAUAUUUUAAAAUAUUAAAAAUAUUUUAAUAUAUUUUUUAAAAUUGAGUGAGAGUGUGAAUUUUUUUUAUACUAUAAAUAUUAAAUAAUAAUUUUUUAUAAAUUUUAUAAAUGAUUUCAAGUUUUUUAAUAAAUUGUUGCAAUACUAUUGAGUUGUGUAUCACCUGAUGGGCGGUACAGUAAAUGUUUAUGAGAUUUUUUUAAUUUUUUAAUUUUUUAAUUUUUUUAAUUUUUUAAUUUUUUAAUUUUUUUAAUUUUUUAAUUUUUUAAUUUUUUAAUUUUUUAAUCAUAUCCUUUUAAGUAGAAUUACAAAAAAACCACAAACUGCCAUAUUUAGUAAGUGGAAGUGACAACCAUUUUUGUUUGAUUAAUAUGUAACUUACUUAUAUCAAAUAUUUUUGUUUUUGAAAAAAGGUAAAUGGCUGAAUUUAGACAUGGGCUUGAUCCAGUUCCAUGGUAUAACCGAAACUGAACGAGGGUUUUCAGUUCCAUUAAGGAGACUCAAAAAUUACAGUGUUAAUAUAUUUUUUAAAAUCGAUGGAUUAAUUAAUUAAUUUCUUUAUAUUAUAAAAAUUAAGUAAUAAUUUUUUUAUUUUAUUAUUGAUAAAAAUAUUUUAAAAUUAUAUUUAAUUUAUUUUCUUUAAUCAUAUAUAAAUAAUUGACUUAAUAAAAAAUUUAUACCAAAAAACUUUAGAUUUUAAUAGAAUUAAAAUUUAAAGAUGAGAAUCUUGAUUUUAAAAAUAAAAAAAUAAAUUCAUUAAUUAUAUUAUAUUUCAAAGAUUAAAUUAUUAUUUUUUUAAUUCAAUAUAGUUGAGAAUUAGGUUGGUUGGUGAGAUAGAAAGAAAAGCCUAUGAUUUGAAAAUUUUGAUUUUGAUUUUGAAGAAGCUAAGGAUACCUUAUGGGCAACCAAAUAGAUAAUAAGUAGCUAAUUAAUAUAGUAGCAGGUUGAUGAUUGAUACUAUAAUUCAACAUGAGGAGUUAUGCAGUAGGUUAACGUCAACUUCCAUUUCUUCUUAACCAAAUUCCUAAAUUUUUUUUUUCUUUAAACAAACAAUUCUUGUAUUAAGUUGCAACCUCCUCAAACAGAAAAUGCAUCUAAGCUUAGUUUCUCCAACUAAUUUAUUUGGUUACUUUCCCAAAACCAAAAUUUAAUCCAAAUUAUUUUAUUGAAUACAAUUUAUUUCUUAAGAAUUCAUGAACUUAUAAGUUAAACAUUUAAAAAAAAAUAAUUUAUUUGUUUAAUUAUUUAAUUACAAUAUAAAAACAACAGGUAUUAAUAAAAUCAUAUAUAAAAAAUUAAGUAAUAUUUAAAAAAAUACAAAACAUUUAGGAAAUGAUUUGUAUUUUUUAAAAAGUUAGAAUUUACAGUGCUUAAGGAAGUUUAGAUGGAGAGAAAAAAGUUCCUCCCUUUUUAUUCCCUUCCCUUUAUCUGCUAGCGACGUCUAAGAGCCUUUAUUCACGCCAGAUGGCUAUUUAAUACUCUUCAGCGCGUAUGCGGCAAAUAUGCAAAGUGACUAGACCUGUUGUCCUUCCUUAUCUCAUAUGCCGAACUGAGCUUCUUUCUAUUGGAUCUGGACUUGAGAGUGAUCCGACUUGUUCCGUGUGUCUGAGUCAGUACCGAAGGUGUUAGACCAGCCAAAAUGGACUUUGGAAGUUUUGGACUUAAUUAAUUUUCUAGUCUUCUCGGUGACCGUGACCCGGCGAUCAUCAAUACUCAAAUUAAAAUCUGAAUCCAUUUAAUGUAUUCAAUAUCCACACUUUAAAAUCCAAUUAAAAUUUACAAUAAAAUAUCUAAAUUUUCCCUUCUGAAAAACAGUUAAAAAUUUUUAAUUUAAGAAUUCACAUAAAAUAAAAUAUAUUUUACAAAAUUAAUUUUAAUAGUUAUAUUAUAAAAUAUUCAAAUUGGUCACAAGCAGAUCCAACCAAACUCAAAGAAAAAUUUGGCAAGGGUGUAAAUGAAAUUUCAAUUCCCAUGUCUUUGGUUCAUUAAUUUCAACUUAUAAUAUGAUUGAUGAGUAGUUUAGUUUUCAAAUCAUUAAUUGAUUGGAUGGACAAUAAGUAUUUCUUUUACUUGUAAAAUGUAUGAUGUGCUAUUAAUUAAAUAAAAAAAUAUGCAGAAAUUGACUGCUAAUAAUAUCUUAUUAUAAUAAGAUAAAAAAUUAUAUAUCAUUAUGUAAAUUAAUGCUUAGCACAACCAUAGCAUAAUUAUUAUUACAAGAUAAGUCUUAGAAAAACAAUCGAUUCAAAUUGAAAAAAUUAAUCGAAUUAAAUUAAUUUAAAAUUUUAUUUUUAUUUAUUUCGAUUCAAUUUAAUUUUUAAUUAAAUUAACUUAAAAUUUUAAUUUAAUUUUUAUUAAUUUCGAUUUAAUUUGAUUUUUAAUUUUAAAAAUUUUAAUUAAAUUCAAUUUUGAUAAAAAAAAUUAAAAAAAUCAAACUGAAUCUAUUAGUGAUAAUAAUAUAUUAUUUUCGAUAAUAUAAAGAUAUAUUACAUCAUAUUAAAAUAUUCUAAAUAAAUUUUUAAAUAUUAAAAAUAAAAAAAUUAUUAAAAAUUUAAAUUAAUUAAACCGAAUCAAAUUAAAUCGAAUCAAACCAAUUCAAUUCAAUUUGAUUUCUAACUAAAAUCAAUUCAAUUUGAUUUUCAUAAAUAUUAAAAUUUUAAUUUUUAAUUUAUUCGGUUCAAUUUGAUUUUAAACUGAAUCGAUAAACCGAAUCGGUCACUGAAUCGAUAAACCAAAUCGAUCACUGAAUCGAUAUAAACCGAACCGACCGAUUGCUCACCCUCCGUUAUCAUAUAAACACUAAUUUUUUCGAAAAUUUGCACACGUCCCAUGUAUGAUUAUAUGAACACAUGAUUUUUUUAGUCUCACCCUUUAUCAAAUCGUUUGAUUCAAUCUUCUCCACCCAUAAGUCCAACGGUAAGUAAUCGUUUACUUCUUGAAAUUAGUAGCAUUAACUAAUUAACAUGAAAAUGAAUCCACCUAACAUAAGAGAACAAAUUUCACAUAAUAACUUGAUUAAUUGUUAGGUAUUUAUAUUGAAAUUUGCAACCACCAGUAAAUAUGUGCUUGCAAUUGGAGGAUUUUGGUAAGGUGGAUUUCAAGAGAAAUGAAUAUUGUAACUUAAGGCCAUAACAAAACAAUCAAAUGAAAUUUCUACACUUAAAAGACCAACAUACAUAUUAACCAACUGUGAUCUCCAAAAGUAAAUUCAGACGAGUGCAAAAAAUCUCACUUGAACUUGACUCUUGAUUUAUACACCAGCAGAGAAAAUUACCACUCUGAAUUAGAUAAGAUUUCCUUUUUCUUUUUAGGUUCAUAACCACUUCAGCAAAAUGGCUUGUCCUAAUACUAAGCCUUUAAGAUUGUAUCCUGCAGAACAAAUCAUAUUUGCAUUAAAAUUUGGUGGUAGCCCAUUUCAUUUGAACUGAUACAUAGCCCAUGGGCUGUUUGACACUUGAGCUUACUUGUCAAACCAGUUGAAUUUUAGUACAAGUGCCACCUUGCUAGCCAGUAGCAUGCAGAAGGCAUCAUAAAUAGGUCAAACUAGUAAAAGUACAGCUGAGGCUGAGGGAACUUAAUAUUUUGUUAACUGAUUAAAUUCUCCCAAUCUCGUUGACAGUAGAAUUUGACAAAAACUAUCACCUAAAGUAUAAAGAACCAUUCUGGGAAAUUGAAACUACAAAAUAGAUAGGAAAAUAAAACUACAAAUGCGCGAACCUUAACCAGCUGGUGCUUAUGAUUGAGAAUGUUGCUCCUCAAUGAAAGUUUGAACUUUCUGCAGGAUAACACCAGAAACCAGUGAAUAACAAGAAAGAUCCAAAACAAAUCACGCAAAAAAAUCUUCAGAUAACGUUGUUCUGUUUUACCUUCACAGCAUUUCCGACUUCCUCCAGUUUCUGCAGUAGCAUUAGGUCCCCAGUAUUAGCAAGCAGAUCAUGCCUGAGAGAUUUUGAUGGAGACAUCUACAACAAGAAGACAAAGAAGAAAUUAUACCCAAAAGCAAUAGCCCGAUAACAUUGAAGGUCAUGUCCAUAAUAAUGGAUUGCCUAUGUUGAAAUGCAAAAAUGCUUCAUUUACUCGCGCAUUACUGGCAGGGUGAUUGUAAAAACAUCCUAAUAUCAAUUCUAGAAGAUGGAAAAAAGAGUAGUUACCAAAGGGGAUGAUGGACGACCUAUCCUCAAACUUGGAAUGUCUUCAAUUGUGGAAACUCGUCUAGACCCAUGCUCACUUCCCAUGUACGAUAGCCGUGUCAAGACAGCCUAAAAAGGACACCAUGGGACAAAAGCGCUCAAAAGUCUCAUUUUUCAAGCAAUUUAUGGCAACUAAUAUUAGACAGACAGAGAGUACCUUCUUGAAAGCACCUGGAUUUGCAAUACCUUGAAUUUGAACAUCAUCACUUGGUGGCCUUCUUACACCAACAUUCUCAAUUCUCAGAGAAUAGACACCAAAAAGAGACUGCAAAUAUCCUGAAAGUAAUUGCACAGACUUAAUAAACUUUAUCUAAACAAUGGCAAAACCUAGAAAUGAACCCUCUAUCAUAAGGAAGAAUUAUCUCAUAGAAAUGCCGGGAAGUAACAGCCUUGUUUUCUUUUAGCUUGGAAGAUCUAAAAUUGUCAAGUAUACAUUUAUUCAUUGCAGUUGAGGUUAUAAAAAUUUAAAACUCAACCAGAAUUAUUAAAGAAAAGUGUAUCUUCAAAGCCAUCAUGAAUUGUAUGAGGCUUUCACAGUGUAAAUGCAUAGAAGGGAACCAUUUAUUGUGCAACCAAAUUGUGACAAACUCAAUGCCAACAAAUAUAUUUAGCAUCUAAAUUGGACUUGUGAAAAAUACUGCCAUUUAUGCUGAGAACUCUGUCUCUCUCUCUCUCUCUCUCUCUCUCUCUCUCUCUCUCUCCUUUUUUCUUUUUGGGUUUGGGGGUGGGGUUGGGGAAUAAGCAACAUAGUUUUGUAAGUAUAAAUUUAAAUAUUAAUAAGCUUUGAUAUGUGUGCAUAGGAUUAAUGUGACUAAUAUGUACUAGCAUAAGCUUAAGAUAAGUAUUCUUUAGAUAAAUGCGGAGUGUGCUUAAGAAUGUGUAACGAGUGCAUAGAGAUGUGUGUAGUAUACUUAGAUAUAUCUCUGAAGCACUAAUCAUAACUACUAUAUAUAUAUAUAUAUAUAUAUAUAAUGAUGUAGAGUGGAGUAGAAUGGAGCCAAGUAUUAUAUGAAUAUUGAGUGUUAAUACUCUCACCUCCUAGUUUUUCUCUGUUUAUCCCUUGCUUGUUAAUUCCUUUUUCCAACAUAAUGAUAUCAUAGCAAAUCAAACACAUAGAUCAACAAAAUAAUCCAAAAAUUAAUGCAAUAUUAACAAGUUUUGGUAACAUAUACCUUGCUCAAUUAUGAUGUCUGCAACUGAAGGUAAUAAAACAUGCUUCUCUUUCUUCAACACUCCAAAACAAGGAAAUGCUACAGGGUUUGUGACCUGAACUCAAGAACCAGAGCAUCAACUAUUGCAAUAACACAUGCAUAGUUAGAGUGAACCCACAUGCAUCCAUAAAAAACACGUUCUAAUUCAGGAAUAGCAAUGAACCCAUUAAUGUUUCAAUCAAAAGAAAUUGCUACACAAUUACAAUGCAACAAGAAAAAAGAAGAAACUCCAAUUUACUUUGUACACAAUGGCAUGAGGCGUGAGAUAAAGGUUUCUCGAUCGAAUAUCUUUCCGCAAGAUAUAUCUCCGCACAGGAAGAUACAGAAGCAUGAAUAAUCCAACACCCCAAGCCAAUAUUAGCAGCAAUGAGUACAUAACCCAUUGAGCAGUUUUGUACUUGACAAAUUUCUCUUCCAUGUCCUCAAAUGAUGCCUUAUAAAGCACUGUAUCAUCAUUAGAUUCAUAAUCUUCACCAGAAACACCAUCUCGCGAUUCCGUCAAUAAACCCUUUUCCAAGCUGUCAAUUUCCACCACUCCAUCUGCAGUCGCCAUCUGAAUUCACAAUUGAAAUGAAAAUGAUUACCUGACAAGUCAACUGAAAUGGAAAAACAACCUUGAAAAGCAAGUGGGUUCAAGCGAAAUCUCACGUAAUGAUCAGAAAACAGCCUUCUUUUGAUGGGAGUGGCCAUAGCUUCCAAAAUGGAAGACAGUAGAAUAAUAUACUAAAUGCUCAUAUGCAGCCCGUUUCGCUGCUGGUUUUUGCACGAUUUCCUCGAGCCCGAGCACAAAAGCAAUUGAAAGGGAGCGAUCGCAUUCGAGGGCCAAGUUGCGGACUGCAGAGCUCGGAGCCCAUUUGUAUAACUUGUGGCAAGCAUGGGCUAGAGUUGUGGCCGUGGCCAUGCCCAUGGCCAUAAGCCCAGAACAUCUUCAGUUGCUCAAGUUCUUCGCUUACCGACGAAAUGUAAUUUUUUCCCUUCUAAAUACAUUACUUAUUUUUCUAUAUAUCGUUACACUAUUUAAAAUUAAUUAAUUAAAUAUUUAAGUUAAAAUUAUAAUAUAUUAAAUAAUUUGUAAAAAUUAUAAUAAUUAAUUAAAGAAAAUCAUAAAUCAUCGCACUUAUUACUAACCAUAUUUUUAAUUUUAAUAAUCUCAUCUAAAUUUAAAUAAAACCACAAAUUUAUCUUUAAUAAUAAUAUAGUAAAUUUUAUUUUAUAAAAAAUUAAACCAUAGUCAAUAAAAUUUGAAGUAUAAUUAAUAAAUAAGUGAUUUUUUGAUAAUUUAUUGAUAAUAUGAUUAAUUUUUAUUUAAUUAUUAUUAUUAUUAUUUUAAUAAAUGCAAAUGUUGAAUUAAUUUUGAAUUAAAUUCACGUGUUCUUAAUACAAAAUAAUACAGCAAGUAAGCGAGAUAUAUAUAUAUAUAUAUAUAUAUUUUAAUUUAAAUGAGGCAUGAGAGAUCAAAUUAUAAUGAAUGAACUAUAUGACAAAAGGUUUUUAAAUAGUUACUGGAAAUGUGAUAAAUUUAAUAAUAAUUAAUAAAAAUCAACUUUCAAUUUUUUUUUAAAUGAUAAUUAGAAAUUAAGGAAGUAAAAUUUUAAAUCUAUCAAAUUUAUUUAAAUAAAUUUAUUAGCAGAAUAAAUUUAUCGGUCCGAACUUUCAAUCUCUUUAUUAAGUGAAAAAAAAUUAAUAAAAUUAAUUUUGGGCCAACAUGUAAUGUUAUUAAUGGCAAUUGGAAAGGAGAGCAGAAAACAUGGUGCUAUCUAUUUUAAGGUUUGGAUUUUUCUUUCUUUCUUUUGGGAAAAAGGUUUGGUUGGGAAUAAAGGAGUUGGUUUUGCUGUCAAGUAAUCCAACUAUUUAUCUUAACUAAUUUAUAAACUCUAAAAAUAUGUUGAUAAUUUAAUUUAUAAGUUGAAGGUGACCAGUGCUUAUAAACACUAAAAUUAUAAAUUAUUUUGAUUAAAUAAAUUAUUAUAUUAUUUUUAUUUUAUUUUAAAAUUUUAUAACAUAUUUUAUUUAAUAUCUUUUUAAUAAUUUUAGUAAUAAAUACGCUUAUAAACUAUUUAUUAUAUUAACUACUUAAUCCUUCUUUCUUUUAUUUAUGAGAGAAAAUUUUUCUGUCAUUCCUCUCUGUCAGAGAGUUUUUUUUCAGAAUUUUUUUUUUUUGUUUUCUGUCGCUCGUCAGUGGUUUUUCAGCCUUUUCAGAUUUUUCCCUACCCGAUAAGUGAAUUCCUCCUUUUCUUCUUGGUGGAUUAUAAAUAUCUUUUUAUUUUAUAUUUUUUUAGUUUGUAGAUAUGCUUUUAUAUUUUUUUACUGUAAAUCUGUGGAGUUUUGUAAGGAAGGUUUAGUUUGUAGAUACGCUCUUAUUAGGUUGUGUGGCUUAUUGCAUAUAGUAGAUCUUGGUGGUUAGGAGAUGGAGAACCUCUUUGCUUUGAUAGUAUAUAGUUUCGACGGAGGAAAGUCUUGGUCAAAACAUUAAUGAUAGUCAUUCUGUUUCGCUCCAGUCCUUAAGGCUACAACGAAAAGCUAUAUUUCUACCUAUUCUCUUUUUGUCGUUCUUGGAAAAAGCAUCUAUGGAGUAUUUUCUUUUUCAAGCAUAUAUUGCUAGUGGUAAUCUUCCAAUGAUCCAUGAAGGCCUGGAAGGUGCAAGUGAGACGAUGAGAGUCUCACCACCUUCACCUUUCGUCGACCUUUAAUAGAUCUGUGGUCUUCUUUCCAUGGUUUUAGUUCUUUUAUGGAUUUUAGGUCAAUUUUGAGUUCCUUCAACGCUGAAUUUGUACUUAUGUAUUUUUUUUUUCUCUACAUGUUGCAUGCAAGUCCCUUCUUUUGGUGGUAGAUAGUUGCUUUGUAUUGCUUUGUUUACAUCUAGGGUUUCCUUUUGAGUUUCGGUUUGGGCUAAUUUGUAGGGAUGGAUUAAAUCUGAUUCUUCUUUUAGUCAUGGCUAUUGUUGUAUAGACCUAUGUUUAGAUUAUAUUUUGUAUUGAGUUAUAUAUUUCUUUUAUCUCUAAGAAAAGUUUUAUUUUUUUAAAAAGAAAACUACUUAACCAUUUAUAAGCAAUUGAAUAAAUGUAUAAUUAAUGUUUAUAAGUUAAUUUUUAUAAGCUAAGUUAAUAUCCUUCAUGCAUUAACUAUAGAGUUUAAGCCCCACUCUCCAGAUGGCAAUAACAUUUAGAACAUAUUAAAAUAUACACUUAAUAAAUAAAAUUAAAUUUUAUUUUUUAUUAAAAUUUAAUGAGUUAAUUAUAAAAAUAUAUUAAAAUAAAUUCAUAUUCGAACUAUCCUGCUUAAAAAUAAAAAUAAAAGUUUUGGAAUUUCAUCGGCACUCAUGUUGUUAAUUAGGAAUCUUGUCUGCAAAAUAGGCUGUUUUUUUUAAAUGGAUUAUCCCUAUCCAUUAUGAAUAUGACCGUAUUAAUUAUAUUUUAUAUAUUAUAAAAUAAUAAAAAAUUUUACCGAUUAAAUUAUAAAAAAACUAUUAUUAAAAUAAAUUAUUAAUUAUUUACGGAUCAAUGUCAAUAAUAAAAUUAUUGAUUGUUUAUGAAUAAAAAUUAUAAUUAUAUUUUUAUUUUUUUAGUGUAUAAAAUACAAAACAUUAAAUAUGUCAUACAUCUAACAUACAUUAUAAAACAAAGAUAGAUUUUUUCUUCCAUAUAUAAUAAUUUUUUUAAAAAUAAAACUAUUAAUUAUAUUAAUAAAAUUCUAUCAAAUAAAAAAAAUAUCAUCCAAAUAGAAAGAUAAUUAUAUCUAAUAAAUUUUAUAGUCAAAAUAUGAGCAGUUAUAAUAUUACGACAAACUCAUCUAGUAGAAAUAUCAAUUUUAGAAUCUAAUAAAAAUUUAAUAUCAUUCAAAAUCAAAUUUCUGUAUAAGAUAAUUUGAUAAAUAUGUUCUUUAAGUACCUAUCUAAACACUGCAUAAGAUAAUUUAGCAAAAAUGAUCAUAUUUCUUACUCAUAUCUCGAGUAUAAAUAAUUAAAAUCUUCCAAACAAAAUUACGGAAUAAAAUUUUUACGAGAUAAAAUUAAAAUAAAAUUUUAAAUCUGGUAUCGUUGUUGCGAUUUCAAAAAUCCAUUAUAUUCUCUUUCAACAUUUAAAAAAAAAUAUUAUUAAAAGAGUAAUCAUGAAUCUAAAUGUUUUAAUAAGUAAUGUAUAUACAUAUUGAUAAAUAAAAAAAUAUUUUCCUUGAAAAGUUUUCUUAUGAAAGUAUUUUUUAAAAAGAUAAAUAAUAUUUUUCAAGAAUAUAGUUUUUUUAUUUAAUUUUAAUAUAAAAAUAAACUAUAUUAACAAAUUUUAUAUAAACAUCUGAAUAAAAUUUUUAAAAUUUAAAAAAUGACUAUUACUUUUAAAAAUAAAAAUUAUAUUUUUUUAAAUAACUAAUCUUUACUAAAAAAAAUAUUCUAUAAUUUGAUUUGAUAAUUCUUAAUCUUAUAUGUAUAUAUUCUAUAAUUUCUUGAAACGAGUAUAAAGUGAGAAAAAGAAGUCAAACCUAAUUUUUGGAUGUGGAGUCAAAAUCAAAAGCACAUGGGUGCACGCUGCAGCAGCAGGACCACUUCAUAAAAAGAGGGAAAGAUUCUUAUCCAAUUAUCAAUAUAUAUUUAUAUAUUUAAAAAUAUUAUUAUUUCACACUCACACUUGUAAUCUCGUGGUAAGUAUAUUCGAUAAUAAGUACAUCUGAAUAAAUUCGAGAGAUCUCAUAUUUUUUUAUCUUUUUUGUUUUUUUUUUUGUUUUUUUUGUUUUUUUAUUUUUUAAAAAAUAUUAUUCUUUUAUCUUUUUUAUAUAUUUAAAAAAAUUAAAUUUCUUUUUUCUUUUAUCUUUUUUGUUUUUUUUUUAAAAAAGUAUGCACUAACAUGUGGGCCAACUAUAAAGGCAAUAAUGAGGUAUCAUCCUCUGGUUGGGUUCUGUUUUGUGCCCACCACUAAAUACCAAACCAUGUAGGCCAACCUUCUUCUUUACACCAAUGGCCCAUCAUUCCUGUGAAUGGACCCACUUCACGUCUCCAUUUCCUUUUUUUUUUUUUUGGUUUAAUUCGAAAGUUCAACUAAAAAUUAAAUUCAAUAAUUUGACUGAAAUUUGUGAUUAUGAUAAUAUGAAUAAAUUUUACAUCUAUAUAACUGUAUGAAUUAAUUUACUAUUUUUUUAUUUACAGACACACAAAUAUUUUAUAUAUUUUUAUGAAAUAUUUUAUUAUACUUUCUAUUAAUGUAUUAUGUAUGCAAACGCCUUGAGAUUUAAAUGUUGUAUCUAUAUGACUCAGAAGUUGAAAAGUUAUAUAACACAUAAUGUGUCAUAAAUAUCAUAUUAUAUAGCCCAUUAAAAUAUAGUACUGCUAACAGUAUAUGGUAUAUCACACACAUAUAUACUUUUAAAAACUCGUUUUAUCGAAAUGUUUAUUUAUGUAUAUUUAAAUGGAUAAUUUUGAUACAAAUAAAUAUUUAACAUGUAUAUAUAUGCACACUUGGUUCUAGUAAAUCUCGGUAAGAAUUAUAGACAGAAUAAAAGCGUGACAUGCCAUAUACAGUUUAGUAAUACUGCACUCUAAUAGAUUAUAUAAUAUGAUAUUUUCGACACAUCAUGUGUCAUAUAAUUUCUCGACUUUUAAUCCAUAUAAACACAAUAUUCGGCUUUCAAAUUAUACAUUUUAAUAUUCCAUAUUAUACAUAUAUAAUUUUUCACGCAUAUAACAAGUUGAUCGUACUAAGAAUUUUAAUACUGUAAAUAUAUAUUUUACAAAAAUAUUUAUUCUCACAUAAUCAUAGGUAUGUAGGAGUAAAAAAAGAUUUCUUCCUCUGAUUGAGGCAUUGUUUUGGUCAUCAUUAGGCAUGCAUAAUCGUUAAGGAGUUGACAUUUAAUUAGCAUGAGAUUUUCUUUUUUUUUUUCUUUUAAUCUAAAGAAAGAAAUCUAAAUAAUGAUUAUUAAGCAAUGUAAUUGUCGUCCGCUGUAAGUUAAUUAAUUACAGAUUACUCAAAAAAUUUUGGUUCCUUAAUGAUGAGGAAAUGAGAAUGUCUUUACUUGAUUAAGACAAGACCCCAUUAUUAAACAUCAUUUAAAGAUUCAAUUAAUUAAGAAUAACCAAAUAUAAAAACUAAUUUUUGAAGCUUAAAUAUAAAUAUUUGCUUGAAUUAUUUCUUAAUACAAAAGCUUAAUUAAUGAACUGGCAUUUCUUUCUUCAUAUACAAAGAUGAUUUGCAGAAAUUAAUCUAAACCUGCAUGCAUUAGACUCAUGAGAGGGAAACAAAACCGAUUACUUAAUAGAAUAACACUAUCCCCGAAACACAAACGAUUACUUAAUAGAAUAACACUAUCCCUAACAUACAUUUGAAAAUUCGUCUAACUUGUUAUUUAAUAACAUAUAAAAUAUAAAACUUUUCUUUAAUUGAGAUAUGUAAUUACAUUUGAAAAUUCGUCUAACUGGUUAUUUAAUAACAUAUAAAAUAUAAAACUUUUUUUUAAUUGAGAUAUGUAAUUACGGUUUGAUAUUUUAUACUUUUCUUUAAUUGAGAUAUGUAAUUACGGUUUGCUCGAUUUUAUUAAUCAAGCAAAACUCAUUUUGAUAUAAAUUGAAUUGGUCGGAUACUAUUAGAGGAAAUCAGAGUGAAAUAUUGACUUCCUGCAGACUUAUCGUCUUAUUAGUAUAUCUUUGAAGUCAUAAGAUAAAUUAGAUUAAUGUGACACGCGUAAUAAAUAUAGUAUGUAUUAAUUGGCUCCAUAUUUAUUAACAAAUUAUUCACCGUUAAUAAAUCAUUUGACACAUUUGCAAAAAGAUAUUUUCAUCUAAUUCGAUACCAUGUGAUGCAAAAACUAGCAGAAUAAUUAAAAAUAUAUAUCUCCGAUCUAAUUCGAAUUUAAAAUAUUUUUAAUUUUCAUUAUUUCCAUUAUUUUACAAGAAAUUUUAACCUUCUCUUAAUUCAAUAUCCAAUUCAUUAACUCUUAUUUAUUUUUCUACGGUCAUUUAUCAUUAAACCGAUCCUAAUUUAUUAAUUUUAUUAUAUAAUUAAACUAUUAUUAAAAUGUACUCAUUUGAUAACCCCGAUCUUAGCUCCUACUCUCAAUUUAAAUAUAUUCUAAGAAUCUGAAUAUUAAAGUUAGGAAAGAAAAAAGAUAUAUUAAACUUUAUUUUGCAUUAAACUCAAUUAAUUUAAUUUCAUAAUUCCACGUAAAAUUAUUCUACGUCACUUACCAGGAAAGAAUGUAAUAAUGGAAGAAUUCCAUUGUAGAAAGCUGUGAAGUUAUGAAGGAUAAAAAGCAAAAAAGCCAAUAAAACGGAAUUUUUUUCAUCAAAUUUGAAAGUAAAAAGUAUUUUUAAAAUUUAAAAUAAAAAACUUUUAAAAUCUUAAUAGAAUUAUUCGAUUUAAAAUAAUCAAUAAAUUUUAAAUAUCAAAUAAAAUAAAAAAAUAAUGGGAGCACGUGAAAUGCAAUAAUGAGCGUACACAUGGCAGAGCUGAGGAAUUGAAAUAAAGAAAAAGGCGAAUAAUUAAAAAGGUUGUCGGUGUGCAAUGAUUUAAGAAAAAAUUAAUAUUUAAUUUUAUAGUACAGAGAAAUUUAAUAAUUAAUUAUGUAAUUAAAGGUAUUAAUGUAACGACCCGGAAACCGGACCGCUANNNNNNNNNNNNNNNNNNNNNNNNNNNNNNNNNNNNNNNNNNNNNNNNNNNNNNNNNNNNNNNNNNNNNNNNNNNNNNNNNNNNNNNNNNNNNNNNNNNNNNNNNNNNNNNNNNNNNNNNNNNNNNNNNNNNNNNNNNNNNNNNNNNNNNNNNNNNNNNNNNNNNNNNNNNNNNNNNNNNNNNNNNNNNNNNNNNNNNNNNNNNNNNNNNNNNNNNNNNNNNNNNNNNNNNNNNNNNNNNNNNNNNNNNNNNNNNNNNNNNNNNNNNNNNNNNNNNNNNNNNNNNNNNNNNNNNNNNNNNNNNNNNNNNNAGCGGUCCGGUUUCCGGGUCGUUACAAUUAAAAUAUUUUUAAUUAAUAAAUUAAUUAAAUAUAUUAAAAUAUUUUUAAUUUUUUAAAAAUUUAUUAAUUAAUUAUUUUAUUAAUUUUAUUAUUAAAUAUUUUACUAUUUAAUUUUAUAAUUUGAAAAAAUUUAUUAAUUAAUUUUUUAUUUUAGAUUUUUUUAUAAUAUUUAAUUAAUAAAAUUUUAAUAUAUUUAAAAUAUUGUAAUUUAUUUUUUAAAAUUAAAGAAUUAAUUAAUAAAUUUUACUGUAAUUUAGAAUAAUUUUUUUUUCAUAAUUUAAUUAUAGAGCAGAGCCAACUCUCUUUUUUUUUUAAUGUUUUUUAGGGCAUAUAAAUUAGGGAAGCGUGGGGGUGGUGGCAUCUACAGCUAGGGCUAGGGCUACAGGGGACAAAAGCAAUCAUAUAUUUAGGGUUUCAUAACUUGAGGGGACAUUUUGACUAGAGAGUUAAGAGUUUUACUUGUUACAGUCUUUUAUGCCCGUGAUUCUCGCUUCUUGCUUCCUUGUUAGGGUUUCAUUCAUGAAUCUUAAUUUCCCCAUUAUUGUCCGACUUCUAAUUAGUGAGAGUAAUGAGUUAAAAAAUCUAAAUUUUAUAUAUUUUUAUAUUUAUAGUUUAAAUUUUUAAUUUUUAAUUUAUUAUAAUUAUAAUAAUUUUUUAAAUUAAUUUUAAUCAUAUUUAAAUUAAUUCACAUAAUAUAUAAUAUAUUAUUAUUUUUAUCAUAUAAAUAAUUUAAUUAAUUUAAAUUACAUUUUAAUUAAGAUUUUAAACUCUUAAUUAUAUAAACUCUUCAAUUAAAAUUUUUAUUUAAAUAUAAAAAAAUUAAGUAUUUUAUUUAUAUAAUCUAAAAAUUUUAUAUAAUUAAAAAUUUAAGAUUUUAAUUAAAAUUUAAUUUUAAUUAAUUAAAUUGCUUAUAUAAUAAAAAAGUUAAUUUAAAAAUUUAUUAUAAUUACAUUAAAUUUAAAAAUUGAGGCUUUUUUUAAUUUAAAAUUAAGAGUUUAUAUUAUAAAUGUGAAAACUCCUAAAAUUGAAUUUUUUUAAGUCAAUAAGUCUAAUUCAAAAUAGUACUUCUUCCGUAUUAUAAUUUUUAUUUAUUUUUUUAAUUAUUUUAAAAUUAUUAUUUAUUUUUAUUUUUUAUAUUAUAAUAAUAUAUAAAUUAAUUAUUAUAAUUUUAUUUUAUUUUAUUUUUAAAAUAAUAUUUUAUUAAAUAUUUUUUAAAUAAAUAUUUAAAAUAUAUAUUAAUAUUUAAUAAAAAUCAAUAUUUUUAAAUAAGGAUAAUUAAAAGAUUAAUAAAAAAAUUAUAUUUUUUAAUAUGUGUAAAAAAAUAAAGUGAAGAAAAUUUAUGGAAUAAAGAUAAUAUUUUUCAUAUUUUUUGUAUAUUUUUAAAGAAUUUACAUCUUAAAAAAUAUACUCCCUCUAUUUUUAAUAAGUGUUUUUUUGAAAUUUUUUCAAUUUAAGUGUUUAUUUAUAAAAUUAAAGUAUUUUUUAAAAAUAUUUUUAAAUAUACUCUUAUUAAUAUUAAUCAAUAUAAUUAAUAAAUUAUAUGAUUUUUAACAUUCCAUAAAAGAUAUUUUAAGAAAAUAUUAGCUUAUUAAUUUAUUCUAAUUGUUAUUUUAAUACUAGUGAAAUUGAUAAAAAAGACACUUAUCAAGCAAUAGAAAAAAAAAUAUAAUAUUUAAUAUAUAAAUUACUUUUUCAAAAUACUAUAUAUAUAUAAUAAAAAUAUAAAUAAAAUCUAACCUUUCACAUUGGGCGGUAAAUAUUGGAACAUUAGUUAUAAGAUGAGAAAAAUCAACUCAUUCUUUGAUUACCUAAGCAGAAGGACUUUGAUGCAUGAACCAGGAGCCGUACACAGGUACAUGAGGCAGCCAGCCAGCCAGCCAGGCUGGUGGGUGGAUGUGUAUAAUCAACACAUUAAUUAAGCAGAGAGAGAGAGAGAGCUAGUGGAAAACAAAAACUCAUAAAGCCAUGGAUCCCCACCAUUUUUUUAUUAAAAAAAAAUCUGAUGGUAAUUUGUAGGGACCCACGACUCGUGCUUAACGGUGGGUGAAUCCAUCAUAAGCGAUAUGCAUGUCAUGUCAUUGUCUUUACAUAUACUAACAUCUCAUGCAUCAAUUCCUUAUAAUAUCCUCUUUUUGAUUUCUUUAAUAAUUAAAUUAAUUAUCUUAAUUAAAACGACAGCACAAUUUUAGUUUACUCAUUCAUUGUCUCCCUUCUAGCUAUCGUUUUCCUCAAUCCAUGUGCAAAUUUAUUGCUGCCUUUACAUUGCCAUGUCUGGAAUCUUACUGUUUGCUUCAUGCUCUUAAUUAAAAACCCUUUUGCUCAUUAAUAUAAAUAAAUUCAUUUUAUUUUAUUUUGUACUUGUCAUUAGAGAUCACAUAUGAGAUGAGUAUCAUGGGAUGUUGUCAUAUGAAGGAUUUUGUACUUGUCAUUAGAGACCACAUGGUAAUGGCAGACAUUUUCAACUUUGAUUUUAUUUGGUUUGGGUGAUAUAAGAAUCUAAGCUCUUCUCUCUAUAUGUCUGCCAAUGAAUAUGGUUGCCCAGUUGGGUGACUCAGCGUUAGUUAUGUCUUGUCACCUACUUACUGAAUUAACUUGGCAUCCAAAGGUGGCGCAAUUCUAUUCACACACGCACAGAGUCUACAGGGAAAUAAAGGAGAAGGAGAAGACAUGCAUGCAUGAGUAGUUUAAGGUGAUGAAUGGUUGAUGCACAAUGUGUCAGUUGAUGAGGAAAUGAAGAGAGAUGACUUUUGUGGCAAUUCAAAACCAUUCAUCCAUUAGUGAGAAAAGAUUGAUCCGUAGUCCGUACAAAUGCCCAUAUAACAAAGACAGUGGCCAACCGGAGAAUCAAGAACCACUCGAUGGGAUUUGAUGUGAACACUAAAUUUUAUUUUAGAGAACAAAUAACCCCACCAUCUAGUCGGAGCUGGUGGUGGUUGAUCCGACAAAAGCUGUGUCCUUGCACAUGCUUGAUGAGGUUUCCUUUCAUCCGUGACUUGUGCUCUCUCCCAAUGUUUUAGUUGUGCAACUCUUUUCUCUUCUUCUAUUAUCAUAAAAGAACCUUUUUCAUUUAUCUCGAAUAAUAGAGCUUUUUUUCAUUUCAUGCAGAGUUGAAGAAAAUUUUAUAAAAUAACGUGGGAUCCGAAAAUAUUUUCGAAUCCCCGUGGUCAGACCAGCGUGUUCGGUAGUCAUACUGCCGAACACGCGAGUUCGACACCCACGGUGUCGAACUCAGCAAAGUUCGACACCAUGGGUGUCGAACUCAGGAAGUUCGACACCAAGGGUGUCGAACUCCGCUUGUUCGACACCCACGGUGUCGAACAAGAGAAUUUGGCUGCCACGGGAGCAGCUUCUGCUCCCGUGGCAGCCUGNNNNNNNNNNNNNNNNNNNNNNNNNNNNNNNNNNNNNNNNNNNNNNNNNNNNNNNNNNNNNNNNNNNNNNNNNNNNNNNNNNNNNNNNNNNNNNNNNNNNNNNNNNNNNNNNNNNNNNNNNNNNNNNNNNNNNNNNNNNNNNNNNNNNNNNNNNNNNNNNNNNNNNNNNNNNNNNNNNNNNNNNNNNNNNNNNNNNNNNNNNNNNNNNNNNNNNNNNNNNNNNNNNNNNNNNNNNNNNNNNNNNNNNNNNNNNNNNNNNNNNNNNNNNNNNNNNNNNNNNNNNNNNNNNNNNNNNNNNNNNNNNNNNNNNNNNNNNNNNNNNNNNNNNNNNNNNNNNNNNNNNNNNNNNNNNNNNNNNNNNNNNNNNNNNNNNNNNNNNNNNNNNNNNNNNNNNNNNNNNNNNNNNNNNNNNNNNNNNNNNNNNNNNNNNNNNNNNNNNNNNNNNNNNNNNNNNNNNNNNNNNNNNNNNNNNNNNNNNNNNNNNNNNNNNNNNNNNNNNNNNNNNNNNNNNNNNNNNNNNNNNNNNNNNNNNNNNNNNNNNNNNNNNNNNNNNNNNNNNNNNNNNNNNNNNNNNNNNNNNNNNNNNNNNNNNNNNNNNNNNNNNNNNNNNNNNNNNNNNNNNNNNNNNNNNNNNNNNNNNNNNNNNNNNNNNNNNNNNNNNNNNNNNNNNNNNNNNNNNNNNNNNNNNNNNNNNNNNNNNNNNNNNNNNNNNNNNNNNNNNNNNNNNNNNNNNNNNNNNNNNNNNNNNNNNNNNNNNNNNNNNNNNNNNNNNNNNNNNNNNNNNNNNNNNNNNNNNNNNNNNNNNNNNNNNNNNNNNNNNNNNNNNNNNNNNNNNNNNNNNNNNNNNNNNNNNNNNNNNNNNNNNNNNNNNNNNNNNNNNNNNNNNNNNNNNNNNNNNNNNNNNNNNNNNNNNNNNNNNNNNNNNNNNNNNNNNNNNNNNNNNNNNNNNNNNNNNNNNNNNNNNNNNNNNNNNNNNNNNNNNNNNNNNNNNNNNNNNNNNNNNNNNNNNNNNNNNNNNNNNNNNNNNNNNNNNNNNNNNNNNNNNNNNNNNNNNNNNNNNNNNNNNNNNNNNNNNNNNNNNNNNNNNNNNNNNNNNNNNNNNNNNNNNNNNNNNNNNNNNNNNNNNNNNNNNNNNNNNNNNNNNNNNNNNNNNNNNNNNNNNNNNNNNNNNNNNNNNNNNNNNNNNNNNNNNNNNNNNNNNNNNNNNNNNNNNNNNNNNNNNNNNNNNNNNNNNNNNNNNNNNNNNNNNNNNNNNNNNNNNNNNNNNNNNNNNNNNNNNNNNNNNNNNNNNNNNNNNNNNNNNNNNNNNNNNNNNNNNNNNNNNNNNNNNNNNNNNNNNNNNNNNNNNNNNNNNNNNNNNNNNNNNNNNNNNNNNNNNNNNNNNNNNNNNNNNNNNNNNNNNNNNNNNNNNNNNNNNNNNNNNNNNNNNNNNNNNNNNNNNNNNNNNNNNNNNNNNNNNNNNNNNNNNNNNNNNNNNNNNNNNNNNNNNNNNNNNNNNNNNNNNNNNNNNNNNNNNNNNNNNNNNNNNNNNNNNNNNNNNNNNNNNNNNNNNNNNNNNNNNNNNNNNNNNNNNNNNNNNNNNNNNNNNNNNNNNNNNNNNNNNNNNNNNNNNNNNNNNNNNNNNNNNNNNNNNNNNNNNNNNNNNNNNNNNNNNNNNNNNNNNNNNNNNNNNNNNNNNNNNNNNNNNNNNNNNNNNNNNNNNNNNNNNNNNNNNNNNNNNNNNNNNNNNNNNNNNNNNNNNNNNNNNNNNNNNNNNNNNNNNNNNNNNNNNNNNNNNNNNNNNNNNNNNNNNNNNNNNNNNNNNNNNNNNNNNNNNNNNNNNNNNNNNNNNNNNNNNNNNNNNNNNNNNNNNUUUUGGUGGAGAAGAAGAAGAGAAAAUGAGAGAAAAUGAGGGAAGAUGACAGAAAAUGAGAAGAAGAGGAGGCUGCUGCGGAAAAUGGGAGAAGAACAGUGGGAGGCUUUAAUUCAAAUUUAAGAGGACCGCUUCACGGACCUGCAUGCAUGCAGGGCGCGUGACUAAGGACAGGGUUCGGCACUGAUAGUGCCGAACUUAAAUUUCUGUGCGUGUUCGGCACCCAAGGUGCCGAACACGCCACACAGGCUGCCACGGGAGCAGAAGCUGCUCCCGUGGCAGCCAAAUUCUCUUGUUCGACACCGUGGGUGUCGAACAAGCGGAGUUCGACACCCUUGGUGUCGAACUUCCUGAGUUCGACACCCAUGGUGUCGAACUUUGCUGAGUUCGACACCGUGGGUGUCGAACUCACGUGUUCGGCAGUAUGACUGCCGAACACGCUGGUCUGACCACGGGGAUCCGAAAAUAUUUUCGGAUCCCACGUUAUUUUAUAAAAUUUUCUUCAACUCUGCAUGAAAUGAAAAAAAGCUCCGAAUAAUAGAAAUUUAUUUUCAUAAAUUUAAAUUCAGUACAAUUAAAAAUCUCAUAAUCACACUACCCCCAAUUGCACCAUUUGCAAUAUAACUAUCAGCAGCAACUCUUUCAAAUAUUUAUGAAUUAUGCAUAUUAUUACUAUAAAAUCGUGACUAAAUAUUUUAUAAUAAAAUUGUAAUUACUGUUGAAAAAAUAAUUUUUGAAACAAAUUUUUAUUAAUGGUUACAAUUUUUAUUGUUAAUAUAUUUUUUAUAUAAUCACGAACAAUGCGUAUUAAUAUUGCUACUGUAUAUUUAUUUUUAGAUUAAUAUUAUAAAAUUAAUUUUAUUAUUAAUUUUAAUAUUUAUCAUGAUUAUAAAAAAAAUUCUUUUAUAUAUAUAUAUUAUUUAUAAAAAAAUAAAUAUAUAUAUAUAUUUUUUCUUUCUAAAUAUGAGAAUGAGAUUAUGCCAUGCCAUUGACUGCCUAUCAAAGCAUCUCUCCACCUAUAUAUAAUAUAAAGCAUAGGAACUAAAGUAUAGAAAUUAUGAUCGAGUAAUUUUCGAUUCAAAUUAAAAAAAUUAAUCGAAUUAAAUUAAUUUAAAAUUUUAAUUUAAUUUUUUUAUUUAUUUUAAUUAAAUUUUAAUUUUAAAAAUUUAAAUUAUUUCGAAUUGAUUUUAAUUAGAAAAAAAUUAAAUCGAACUGAUUAGUAAUAAUAAUAUAUUAUUUUCAAUAAUAUAGUGAGAUUAGAUCAUAUUAAAAUUAAAAUAUUUUAAUUAAAUUUUAAAAUAUUAAAAAUAAAGUAUAAAAAAUAAAAAAUUUAUUAAAAAUUUAAAUCGACUAAAUCGAACUAAAUCAAAAUAAAUCAAAUCGAUUCAGUUCAAUUCGAUUUUUUAUCAAAAUCGAUUCGAUUCAAUUUUCAUAAAUAUUAAAAUUUUAAUUUUUGAUUUAUUCUAUUAUGUUCGAUUCGAUUUUAAACUGAACCGACCGAACAUUAAUUAUACUCUUUUCCUUUAACUUCUCUCCCUCUCUUUAAUAAGCAAAAUUUAGUAAAAAGUUUAUAAACUUUUUUAAAAUUUCAAAAAAGAAAAAUUCAAUAUUCAAAAGUAGUGCAAUUAUUUAACCAAAUGUUAAUUUAACCCCAAUUUUCCUUUAAUUCUUGAGUCCUAGAAUACUGAUUGCACAACAUGAGUGGAUUUUCCUUUUUCAUCAUAGGCUUGACUGGAUUUAUAUUUUAAUAAUAUAUAUAUAUAUAUUUUUUUUUUUCCUUUAAGGAGAUGAUGGUGGCUGGGUUAUUUACUUGAGAGGAGAGGAAUAAAAUGCAAAGUUGGCAGGUCCCACAGCCACUCAAAAUCAGGAUCUCCUAAGCAUCUCAACUUAUCAACUGCUUCAAAUAAACAAAAGUUUUCCAGUUAAUUAAUAAAAUAAAAUAAUAAUAAUAAUUAUUAAUUAUCCAUGCUUAACUUUAAUUGAUGCAUAAUGAUAUUGUUCCAGGCUGAACCACCAAGCUUCUCUCAUGUGAAGAUCCUGCUUUUGCGGCUACUGGCUAUUCUUAAUCUAUAAUUUAAUUCCUCUCCCUUUAUUUACUCAACCAAUAUAUAUAAAUAUAUAUUAUUUCCUUUUUUUUUAAAUAAAUCAUAUUAGCAAUAAAUAUUAAUAAAUAAUUAGAGGUGUAUAUGAUUCAAACCGUUGAAUUAUUCGAGACUCGAUUCGAUAAAAGUUCAAUCAAGUUCGAUUCGAUUUCUAAAUGAGUCAAAUUUGAGCUUAAUUUUUAGACUCGCUUAAUUUGAACUCUAUAGUAUUCGACUCAUUAAAACUCGUGAGUUUAGUGCAUUUCUGAAUUCAUGAGCAGAUUCGCGAAUAGAUUCGUGAACAGUAUGUUAAGUAAGCUGAAAUUAUUAUUACAAGAGAAAUAAAUUCAAACUCUGCAUAUACUUUCAUAAAUCAAACCUAAAUUUUUUAAAAUUCAACUCUUACACUCUUAAAUUUACAUAUAUUUGGAUCAUUAAAAUUUAAAAGUUCAUUUUUAUAAAUUUACGAGUUAAUUUGUAGAUAUACUUAUUUAACUAAAAUUAUUUUAGUUUUAAACUUAUUAAUUUUAAAUUAAAACUCAUUAUACAUUAUACAUGUAAAUAAAUUAAACUAUUCGUGAACUAUUUGAAAUUAAACUCGAUAAAAACUCGACUUCAGCUCGAUAAAAACUCGACUCGUCUAAAUUCGUUUGCUAAGCGAGCUAAAUUUAAACUUCUUAAUAGUUUACUCAAAUUCGAAAAAAUUUUAACGAACCAAAUUUAAACUUUUCAAAAUUCGAGUCGGCUCGGUUCAUUUAUCCUCUAUACAUAAUUUAUAAACUAUAAUUUUGAUAAAUUUACUAAACAUGUAAAUUUAAUUAUUUUAAUAUUUAUCAAUUACCGAUUGCUUUAAAUUAGUAAAUAAACACGCUUGCAUUUGUGGUAAAUUUUUUUUUAAUUUUGAAGAAUUAUAUUUUUAUUCUGAAAGAAGUAGAUGUCAAAGAGACAAGAUAAUGACAAAUCUUUUUAAUUUUAUUAUUAUUAUUAUUAUUUAGGAAUAUUUAUUUGUUUUAGGAUUCAUUAUUUGCUUAGAGAUUUCUUAUCAAGCAAAGAAACUUUAACUUUGAUUACCAGAGAAGUUAAUUCAUUGCACAAGAAUUCCAUCUAAUUAUUUCAAUUAUGCACUCCACCAACUUGAUGCAGAACAGUAAUUCAUCUAUCAUAAUAAUUUUUAAAAAAAAAAAGAAAUAAAUAAAUUCAUUGAAUAAUGAUUUGAGCAGCUUCAGAUUCCACCAAAACCAAAUUGAAAAAUAAUAAUGCUAAAUAAAAUUUAAAAAAUUAGAUUUCAUUUAUUUAUAGAAAAUAAUUUAUAUUUUAAAAAAAUUACUAAAAAUAUAAAUUUUAUGCAUAUAAAAAAUAUCUUCUAGUAAAAUAAUUUAUUUUUUAUCGUUUAAUUUAAAUAAAAAAAUAAAAUAUAUUAAUAAAUUUAUAUAUAAAAAUAUUAAUAAAAUUAUCAAAAUAUGAAAAAUAAUUAAUUUUUUUAAUUAAAAAAUAUUAAACAUCUACUAUAUCAUAUAAUAUUUCUAUUUAAAAUAGAUCAAAACUCUAAAUAACCAAAUAUAAUAUAAUUUUUUUAUUACAAUUUUCAAAUUAAAAAAAAAACUUGUAAUAGAAUUUCUAAAAAUAUUAUUAUAAUAUUUCUACAAGAAAUAAACUCUAACGACACCCUUAUAAAUCUUUAAUAAUUAACCAGCCAAAACACAUAAUAAUUAUAUAUAUAAAUAUAGUUACUAAUAAUAAUUAUAAAUAUAUAUAUAUAAUUAUUUUAGUAAAUUAUAUUUUAUUAACAUAAUUUUAUUAAUAUUAAAGUAGUAUAUAUACAUAAUUUAUUUAAAUAAAACAGAACUUUAAUUAACUAAUAAAAUUAAUUAAUUUAUACUAUUAUAACUAUUUAAUAAUUGGUCAAUGACUAAAAAAUAUAACAAUUUUAUGUUGUUAUAAUUAUAAUAAUAAUAAUAUAUAUAUAAUUAUUUUAAUAAUUUAUAUUUUAAUAGUAUAAUUUUAUUAAUGUAUAUAAUAAAUUAUAAUUAAUUAAUUAAAUUGAUUAAAUAAAAUAAUAAAAAAUAUUUAAUAAUUAAAUAAUAUUAUAAUUAUAUGUGUAAUUUUAUUAAAAUUUUAGAAUAUAUAAAAUAUAUUAUUGAAAUUAUAUAUAUUAAAGUUAUAAUAUAAUUAUAAAUAAUUUAAAAAUAUAUAUAAAUUGAUUUUUCCGUAUGGAUUUAAUUUAGUCUGGUAUAGUAUGGUUAUUGCAAAAUAAUCAAAAUUAUAAUUAAAUAUUUAAUUAAAUUUAAUUUAGGGUUUGAUUUUUAUAUUAUCUAUUUUUUUUUUAUUUCGAUUUAAUUCAAUACGAUUUUUUUAUUCGGUUUGGAACUGCAAGAGAGCCCUAUUAACACGUACAAGAUAAAAGCCCACAAAUUGCAGGCAAAGCCCAACUCAAAGAAGGUCCAAACCCAUUCCAAUUCACGCCGACCCAAUCGCACUCGCACAAUCGCUCGAAACGACAGCUGAAAAACCGUCGUUCCCUUCAUGCACACCAGCAUCUCAGCCAAUCAAAGCAACCAACAGCUGCUCUGCCUUCCCCGCUUGCAUCUUAGGCAUAUCCACUCACUAUCAGACAACAAAAAGCAUAAAAGAGCCAAAGGCAGCAGAAAAUCACCAAGAAAAUAAAAAUAAGAGAAACUCAGCUAGAAACACCAAUCAACAACCCAAAACCAGAAAUCAACUUGAUCAAUUUUUCAGAUAACUUUUAUCAAUCAACAGAGACUUUAGUAUUUAAAAAAUUAAUAUUUAAGAAAUUUAUAUUAUAAAUAAAAAUUGAAUGAGAAUAUUGUUAUCUCUUAAGUUUAGAGACAACGUGAAAUUUACCUAAAAAAGAAAUGGUCCAGAGAGCUUUAUGGCAAAAUGAGAGUGACUUUAGGGAUAUUUGCAUAUGUUCAAUUCGCGCACAUUCUAAUGACAUGGAUUUAGUAGUUUUAAAUGAGAUUAGAUUUAAAAAGGGAAUUUUUUUCUAUUUACUUUCUAUAUUAUAGAAAAUUAGUUAGUUGGCACUCCGAGACUUAGUCUGGUGGAAAGUGCAUCCUGAUAGAUCUGAGAGGUCUAAGAUUCGACUCCCCCAACCCCCUAUUUCAAAAAAAAAAAGAAAAUUAGUUAGUUGAUUUUUUAAUUUUAAAAAUAUAAUAAAAUAUUUUUUAUUAAUUUUAGUCUUUUAACUGUUUUAUUAUUUAAUUUUUAUAUUUUUAAAAAAUUAUUAAUCAGUCCCUCAUUUUAUAAAAAAAUUAUUAUUAAUCUUUUUAUAUCAAAAAUAUUUUAACUUUUUUUAUAAGUAAAAUUAAUAAAAAAAUUAAUUAAUAAAUUUUUUAAAUAUUAUAAAUAUUUUAAUAUAUUUUUUAAAAUUAAAAAAUUAAUUGCUAAUUUUUUUUAUAACAUAGCGAGUAAAGUAAAUUUCCCUUUGUGGCAAAUACUAAUAAUUUUUAAAUGUUUAUUUAUUUUAAUUUAUAAUUAAAAUAUUAAUUUUUAUUAAUUAAUUAAUUAUUUAUUUUUUUAAUAAUUUUUAUUUAUUUUAUUUUUUAUACAUAUUAAAAAAAUAAUUUUUUUAUUAAUUUUAUAAUUAUAUUCAUUUUAAAGAUAUUAAAAUUUCAUUAAUUACUAAAAAUAUUUUAAGAAAAUUUUAAAAAUAAUAUAAAAUUAAAUAAAUUUAUAAUAGUAUAAAAAUAUAAUAAUUUUAAGAUAAUAAAAAAAUAUUAAUAAAAAUUAUGAGAUAAAAAAAUAUAAUUUAUUAUGAUUACCGUAAAUUUGACUUUUAAUUAACAUAUAUUAUAUUUAACUUUAUUUUGAUAUUUUUAUUUAGUAAAAAUAACGUAGCAAUAUAAUUAUUGAAUUAUUAUAAAAUUUUAAAAACUUUUGUUAUAAUUUUCUAUGUGAACAUAAGUAUAUAAAUAUAAAUAUAAAUAUUUAAUUAAUUAUUGUUAAAUUUAUUUUAAUUGAAAUUAAUUUAUAGUAAUCAUAUUAAUUAUAUUUAAUAUCUGAAAAUAAAAACUGUUAAACUCCAACUAAUUAUGUGAUUAGCUAAGUAAUUAAAUCACGCUUCGUGCAUUCUUUCUUUAUCAGUUAGUUGAAAGUUAUUAUUAUUAUUAUUAUUUAUUAUUAUUUUUAAAGAGGAGAGAGAGAGAGAGAGAGAGAGAGCUGAUUGUAUCAGUCUAUUAUAUGUCGGCUUGUUCACAUAAACAAAAAAAAAAAAAGCUGUCUUUGCUUUUGCGUUUCCUUUCUAUCGGUCUCUGAUUUCUCGCCGAUAAGUCAGUAUCGUUCUGGCUCCUUUUUGAUCCCAAGUGAAAUGAAAAAUUUCCCUCUUUCUUCUCUCUCUCUCUCUUUUUUUUUUAGAUGAAGUGGGAGUUUGGAUUCCCUUUCGCCAAACAUUCUGAUUCUCUCUCUCUUUCUCCUUUUUGUUUUGGUUGAGUUUGAUCUUUCAUGGUGAAGAUUCAUCAUUUACUGAGAUGUGGAAGAAGAAGAAAUAGCUGACAGAGGAAAAUUUUUGUGUUUUCUUAGUUUCGUUGGGAAUUUAAGUGCAAGUUAGUUAGUUACCUGUGGUUGUAUUGGAUUUUUGUUUGCUUUUCUAAGCAUUUAAGCUGAUUCCUUUAAGUGAAAUGAUCUUGCAAGUAUUGGCAAUGUUUUGGAGCUAAAGCUGGUUUUUGUAGAAGAGGAUUGAAAUAUGGUGUAGAGGUAUAUGGUUAAUUUUCUAUCUGGAAGAGAACAAGUGAUUGGAUUUGCUAAAGGAACCGUUUUUACUAUUCAUUCUCAGCAAAAAUGAAGGUUCCUCCAAAUGGGUAUAUGCCUAAUUCUGCAGAAGGUAGGCUUCAGCUGUCUUUGAUAUUUAUCAUUUCCAGCCUUUUCUUUUCUUUUUCCCUUUUUGUCUUUGUCUCUUGGGAGCUUUUCCCAGCUCAUGCUUCACUUUUUUUUUUUUCCUGGAAAAUUUGAGCUGAACCUGGUAGUUAUUACUGUUUCAUGCUCUUCUUAGCUUCUGGUGCUGAAUCAUGUAGGUAGAAGGUGGAAAAUCGAAUCUACCAGCUUAGGUUUUUUCUCUUAUUAUGAUCUCAUACCUUUUACCAAAGACUAAUAAUUUUGAAAAUCAAUGUUUGUCUGAUGCUAUAAAGUCUGGGUUUUUGCAUUUGAAUAAAAAUUUAUUGAUUUGCAUCUAAUGUAUGUUUGAGUAACCAUGUUAAGUUUGGAAAAAUCCUGUUCUGGGAAAUAAUAUGAAUAUGUAUUUAGGAUGAUAUCAUUUCCUUGUUGAAAAUUAUUUUAUUUGGAGAGUGAGAUUUGUUUUAAAUAAACUACUAAUUUAAGAACUUGAUUUGUAUUUUUCUUUAAUCGAACGGUCCUUUUCAAUAUCUUAAUCUAUUAUUUAUUUUCAUGAUUUUGUUUAGAAUAUACUUUUCAAUCACACACUACAAUUUUCAAUUUCUGAAUCUUUUAAAGUUCCGAAGGUUGAAUCUCUAUAUGUCGUUGGUAUAUCCAAAUGGCGGAUUAUCUGACCGUCUAGUGAAAUUUCCUCAAAUAACUUUACAUUCUCUCUGCUUAUAAAGUAUAAAGAAAACAAGGGAAGCUGAAAAUAUGCUUUUUCCAAAUAUUUUCAUUAUAUUUAUAGCUCUCUUAUGAUUAAUCAUAUGGUUUUCAGAGCCAGAAAUAAAUUACUCUUUUCCCCCCCUUUUUGGUUACUUGGUAAUGGCUUUAUCAGGAGUGACUUUGUUUCUCUUUGGAUAACAUGGUAUUCCUUUAGAUCUCUUGAGGGUCACAAAAAAGUUAAAUGCGUCUGAAUGUUCUUCUUUCCUUAUAUUUUUGUCAUUCAAAAGACUGAAUUAUGCAAGAAAGAUGGGGAUUUUUUUUUAAUUAUUUGAUUAAUUAUGGUUUUCUUAUUCUAUUACAUUGAUGAUAUUCUGGGUUGGUUUGGGAACAGGAGAAAGGAAGACUAUUAAUUCGGAGUUAUGGCAUGCUUGCGCGGGGCCAUUGGUUUCUCUGCCUCCAGUUGGAAGUCUUGUAGUUUACUUCCCUCAAGGCCACAGUGAGCAAGUAUGUUGCCUCGUUACAUCUAGCAGAGGUACUUUUCUGGGUUGUGGUUUCUAAUGGAACUUUCUGUGGCUACAUAACUUUCAGGUUGCAGCGUCGAUGCAAAAAGAGGCUGAUUUCGUACCAAGCUAUCCCAACCUUCCUUCCAAGUUGAUUUGCAUGCUUCAUAAUGUCACAUUGCAUGUAUGAGAACGGUCACUGCUUUGAACUUCUGCUUUAUAGUAAUUCAAUAUUUUAAGAAAAUGUUGUUUUUGAAUAAAUUUGGUAUUUAUUAUGCAUGAUUGCUGCUUCCUUGUUACUCAGGUGAAUUGGCGAUGCCUUUUUGCCUUUACUUUGUGUAAUAUAGUGCAAGAUGAUUGCUAGUCAUGAAAGUAUAGUUGUGAUAACAUAAUUUUUAAAUGGUCACUGGUCAGGAAAUGAACAAAGUGAAACAAAUAAGGGAAAAAAAUUAUGCUAUUCCAGAGCUGUGUACUUACUGAUUUAUGUACGUGUUCAAUCAGGCUGAUGCAGAAACUGAUGAGGUCUAUGCUCAGAUGACCCUUCAACCAGUCAGCAAAGUAGGUCACUCGCUCAAUUUUUAAUGAAUAAAUGACUUUACUGUUUCUUUUAUUGACGUAUAUGGAAGAUUGCUUAUAACAUCUAUUCUGUAGUAUGACAAGGAAGCAUUACUGGCUUCUGAUAUGGGCCUCAAGCAAAGCAGGCAACCUACUGAAUUCUUCUGCAAAACUCUAACAGCUAGUGACACAAGCACACAUGGUGGAUUCUCUGUCCCUCGACGAGCCGCUGAGAAGAUUUUCCCACCACUGGUGCUUACAAUAUGUCAAAUUAUGCUUCUAGUUUUUAGAAUUUUAUAGAUCUAUGUUGUGCAUUAUGUUAUAUUUUUCCUUUUUCUAAUACUUGAAAUGACUAUAUAUGAUAGGACUUUUCAAUGCAACCACCUGCGCAGGAGUUGGGAGCCAAAGAUUUACAUGACAAUGCAUGGACGUUUAGACAUAUUUAUCGCGGUAUUGACCUCUUGGCAUAUCUGCUUAUAUGCCUAAUACAUAUGUAAACAUUUGAAUACUUUUAUUAGAUGAAUACCCGAGUCUGGAAAUGCAAUUGCCUGUCUUUUAAAUUGUGGUGUAGAUGAAUGUAAUCAUCUCUUUUGGUAACUUGUUCCUUCCUCUGGUUUUGGCUUUUUCUCUUUUUCCCCCUUAAUAUUUUGACUUUUUUGGGCAAUUCUUAAGAAUAUGAAAAAUUUCAUUGUGCUUUGUUUUAUUGUGUUGAUAUACAUUGGCUUUGACCAACAUGAAAUCAGGAGAUUUUGUCUUUCGUGUUAUUAUUUUAAAUCUGCGAGGAAAGCAGAAAAGCAUGUUGAACUGUGGAUUCCAUGUCACAGGUCAGCCGAAAAGACAUCUGCUCACUACAGGCUGGAGUGUCUUUGUUAGCACAAAACGACUAUUUGCUGGUGAUUCUGUUUUAUUUAUAAGGUAUAAAAUGAGGAUUUGAUGAGAAAAAAGUUUAGCUGGAUUGUUUUUGUAUUUAGCUGAAAUAUUCUGAUUUGAUGUAGAGAUGAAAAGUCACAGCUUCUUUUGGGUGUAAGGCAUGCUAAUAAACAACAGUCAGCGCUCUCUUCAUCAGUCAUAUCCAGUGACAGCAUGCAUAUCGGAAUUCUUGCUGCUGCAGCUCAUGCUGCUGCUAAUAACAGCCCAUUUACCAUAUUUUACAAUCCAAGGUACUGAUUUAUCUUAAUCUAUCUCAUCAAUGAAUAAUAAUAAUAAUAAUUUAAAUAGUAUUUCAUGAAGGACACGGCUGAGGAAGUUUACUUGAUUUAAAUAGGGCAAGCCCUUCUGAGUUUGUUAUUCCCUUCGCCAAGUAUAGUAAAGCUAUGUAUACACAAGUUUCAGUGGGCAUGAGAUUCAGAAUGAUGUUUGAGACUGAGGACUCGGGAGUGCGUAGAUAUAUGGGCACUAUCACUGGCAUCAGUGAUUUGGAUCCAGUGCGAUGGAAAAAAUCACAGUGGCGCAAUCUUCAGGUAUUUUUAGCUGUUUAUAAUUCUGGCAUGAUUAUCAGAUAUUUUUAACCCUUUUCUUGAUGUAUAUUUAUGUAUAAAAAGAUGAGAGAAUCUAUCCACAUACAAAUUAUAUGUAGGCGUGUUGAGUCAUCGUUGCAUUAUCCCUCUUGCUAUUAUCACCGAGUCCAUUAAAUGUAUUUUUCUAUUGUAUGGUCUUAAAGAUGUGAAUCCCUUCCUGUCAUAUCUAGAUUCCAAAUUUCUGCUCAUUUUGCUUUUAACUUGAUUUUCCUUAAGAUAGUUCUCAAUCGAUGUUUAUUCAUGUCAAACCAUUGUCAUGGACUUGUGCUUUAGACUAAGUAUAUCACCUUUUUUGAUAGGUUGGCUGGGAUGAAUCAGCUGCUGGUGAACGGCCAAGCCGAGUUGGAAUUUGGGAGAUUGAGCCUGUAAUAACUCCUUUCUACAUUUGCCCCCCUCCAUUUUUCAGACCUAAGUUCCCUAAGCAGCCAGGGAUGCCAGGUAAAUCAAAUUCAUCUCUUACCCUGUUCUUGUAAUGUGCACAUAUUCGUAGGCUGCAAAUUUCUCUGUUGUAGUUAUGUUAGAACUUAGAUAUCCUAUUAUUAUUAUAUGAAAAAUAAGGUGAUCAGUGAGUUUCUUGACCAAUUUUGCUCAAGGGGAAAGCCAAAUGUUAACUGGAAAUCAGUUUCAGAAGCAAAAUUUUGACAUGUAUAUCCAGAAAAGUUAAUCAUGUGGUUUUCCAAGUGAUAUUUUAUGUUGCUGAUGUCAAAUAGCCUCAUGUGGAUAGUUUUCGUCCACAUAAUCUCUUACUCAUUUUUAGUAGUUGCUGAUUCAGUAAAUCUUUUUGUAUGACGCCCUUUCGGUAUUCAUCAUAACUUAUCUUUAGUAGUGUUUUUGCAGAUGAUGAGUCUGACAUUGAGAACGCUUUUAAAAGAGCCAUGCCUUGGCUUGGAGAUGAUUUUGGCAUGAAAGAAACCCCAAGCUCGAUUUUCCCUGGUUUGAGUUUAGUUCAGUGGAUGAGCAUGCAACAAAAUAAUCAGUUUCCAGCUGCUCAAGCAGGAUUUUUCCCACCCAUGCUUCCUUCCAAUGCCCUGCAUAGUACCCUUGGCUCUGAUGAUCCCUCAAAGUUACUGAAUUUUCAAGCCCCUGGCCUGUCUGUACCAAGUCUCCAGUUUAACAAAGCAAAUCCGCAAAACCAAGUUGGCCAGCUGCCACAGCCAUCUAUGGCAUGGACUCAACAGCAGCAGCUGCAGCAAUUCUUGCAGACCAAUAUCAGCCAACAGCAGCCAGCUCAGCCUCAACAGCUGCAGCAGCAGCCUCAUCCACAACAGCAGCAGCGUCAGGAACCACAGCAACAGCAGUUGAGCCAACAGCCGCAGCCAGAGAUUCAGCCUCGACAAAUACGACAACAGCAUCCACAAUUAGAGCAACAGCAGCAGCAACAAAUAUUCCAACCUCCUGUAAAUAGUGGUGUUACUGCUAACUCAAUUUCAAAUCAAAAUUUGCAGCAACCGAUGGUAUAUUCUCAACUUCAACAGCAGCAGCAGCAGCAGCUACUGGCAAGCAAUACCCAAUCCCAAAAUAUACCCCCUGCUAAUAAGAGUUCAUAUCAGCUGUCGUCUUUGCCACAAGAUGCUACACUCCAGCAACAAAUGGAGCAGCAAUCUACCCUCUUACAGAGGCAACAGCAGCAGACACAAUUGCAGCAGUCCCCACUUCAGCUGUUACAACAAAACCUGUCACAUAGAACACAACUACCACUGCCACAGCAGCAAGUGCAACAGCUAUCCCAGCCCAGCCUCUCUGAGCAACAGCUUCACUUGCAGUUGCUGCAGAAAAUGCAGCAACAGCAGCAGCAGCAGCAGCAGUUGCUUUCCCCUACGAGCUCACCUUUGCAGCCUCAGUUGCUACAGCAACAGCUGAACCAUCAACAAAACCAGCAGUUCCAGCAGUCACCUGUUUCGCAGAGUCAGCCACAGGGUAGCAAUAGCUUCUCAACGGCAGCACUCGGACAAUCACAAUCCUUUCCCGUUUGUCAUUCCCAUGUGCUACAGAAGCCACCUACUACAAAUAGAGCCCAUUCCACUCUUACAGAUGGAGAUGCUCCAUCUUGUUCAACCUCACCCUCCACUAAUAACUGCCAAAUCUCUCCAUCAAAUUUUAUGAACAGAAACCAAGAAUCACCGGCAAUAUUGAUGGGGGACCAAGUGGUUGAGCCUGGAACUAAUCUGGUUCAGGAGCUAAAUAACAAGUCUGAUAUUCGAGUUAAACACGAGUUUCAAAGUUCAAAAGGGUUAGAGCAACUAAAAUACAAAGGUACAGUACCUGAUCAAUUGGAAGCCUGUUCUUCAGGAACAUCAUAUUGCCUAGAAGCUGGCAACAUCCAACCAAAUUUCUCGCUCCUCACCUAUGGUUUGGAUGGUGAUAUCCAAUCACAUCCUAGGAACAGUAUGCCUUUUGCAGCUAAUAUUGAUAGCUUGGCACCUGACACUUUGUUGUCAAGGGGAUAUGACACUCAGAAGGAUAUUCAAAACCUGGUAACUAAUUAUGGUGGGACUCCAAGAGAUAUUGAGACAGAGUUGUCCACUGCUGCGAUAAGCUCUCAAACUUUUGGGGUGCCAAACAUACCCUUCAAGCCUGGAUGUUCCAAUGAUGUUGCAAUAAAUGAUUCUGGGGUUUUGAAUGGUGGAUUGUGGGCCAACCAGACUCAACGCAUGCGAACAUAUACAAAGGUUUGUUGUCUCUCUCUCUCUCUCAAAUUAUAUAUAAACUCUAGAAUCAAGGUGGAAGUAAUAAAAGAUCAAACUCACCCAUAUAGAAGGAAUGAAUUGUUACAAACAGGAGAGCCAAAAUGCUGGGAGCUUCAUUCAAGGCUUUGCAAGAGAUGCAUGCUUAUAAGCUUAACAUAUCUAACAAAAAACCUUAAGAGAUUAGGUCCAUGAUCUUUCCCAUUUAUGUGUCCCUCAUUUCACGCACCUUCCUCAAAUGUGCUACUUUCAUACUUCCCUACAUGCUAUCCGAAUAGAAUUCUUUUCCUUUCUUUUUUUUACAUAGGUGUUAGAUGCUCUAUUACUCAUCCAAAUAUGGAAAAAAGUAGUUCUAGAUAUUUGAUUAUGGCAAUUAACACUAGUUCUUGGCAUUAUACCUUCAAUUAUUUGUUUGCCUAAGUAUAGAAUUAGUUGGUUUAGUUUUUGAUUCAUGAAAUUAUAAAUGACUGACAUGUUCAAAAUUAUGAAGGUUCAAAAGCGUGGCUCUGUUGGAAGAUCUAUUGAUGUAACCCGAUAUAGAGGGUAUGAUGAACUUAGACAUGAUCUAGCUCGCAUGUUUGGUAUUGAAGGGCAACUAGAAGAUCCACAAAGUUCUGACUGGAAGUUGGUUUACGUGGAUCAUGAAAAUGACAUACUACUUGUUGGAGAUGACCCUUGGGAGUAAGUCGUGAACCUCAAAACUUUCAGAUUAGAUUGUCUCUUUUCUAAUCUGCUUGUGCUCAACUGUGUAUUUUCUGAACAUUUGCAGGGAGUUUGUAAGCUGUGUUCAGAGCAUAAAGAUAUUGUCAUCUGCUGAAGUGCAGCAAAUGAGUUUAGAUGGAGAUCUUGGUAGUGUGCCAGUUCCAAAUCAAGCCUGCAGUGGGACUGACAGUGGGAAUGCAUGGAGAGGGCACUAUGAUGAUAACUCAGCUGCCUCAUUUAAUAGAUAAGGCAUUUAAAUUGAGAUAGAAGCUGCUAAUGAACUUCACGUGACGGUUUCCUCGACCCUUGAGCAAGGGCAGUUGCCACCGUCAUGGCCUCCAUCGAUUCGAAAGAUGAAACAAGUCGAACUUCCUUCAGGUACUCUGAUGACAAAAGGGAAUGUUCGGACGGAGAUGACAUUGUAGUCUUCAUGCGAUCUCUUCACCAUGUAUGCCGCUGGAAGUUGAGCACUUUAUGAAUUAUGAACUUCUGCAUGCAAAGGACGCAGCUGUAUAUAUUUUGUCUCAACUUUUGGCUUUCUAGUGAUAGAUGUAAGCAGUUUGGUUAAAUGCAAGAGGAAGAAGGAUUUUGAUGUACAUUAGAAAGCAAGAACAAAAUGAUGAGAUGUAUAAUACGACGUUUUAUUCAAUUUGAAGUUCAAUCUAACAAAACAAUUCCUUGUAAAUGUUACGAUGGAAAACAAUAUCUCGAUCACUGAUUCUAUUCAUUGUGCUAGAGGUGCUCGGUAGUUCGUAUUUGUACUGCUUGAAACUGAUAAUGGUGUAAUGGGCAAUGAAUUAUAUAACGAAAAAUGUAUACUUACACAUCAAUAUUUUAAUUUGAUUUGCUAUACUGAAAAAAGUACUUUGACCAAAUUCAUAUUAUGUUUAAAAGUUUUUUUUUUUUAAGUAUUUUUUUAAAUUUUAAAUAUUUAUUAAAUUAUGAUUAAAAUUAACAUGUCUAAGAGAUAUGCAAUAAUGCAUUUAGCUGCACUACAACUGUUAUACUUAUCAUGGAUUUAUUCUACCGUUAUCCAUACGAGGGAGGCAUGGUGAUCCACUGCUGACGCUCAAGGUAAGAGGGUAAUUGUAAUUUUCAAGCUACACCGCUAGCCGACUUUACUGUUCAUCUUGCUCGAUUACGCCUAACAGGCAAACACAGCUUCUCACAAAAAUGACCAGAAUACGAGUCACAAAUUCAAAAAAGAAAUUUACGUUAUAAUUCCACUCAUAACAGUGGAGCAGUAAUCAAUUUAUGCUCAAGUACUAAUUUAUAAUCCACAAUGCCUUGAGGCAGCUCAACCACAAAAUUCAGAGAUACAUCAAAACGUCGAAAAUGAGAGAUGACUAUGAAAGCACUGCCAUCACAUCAGAAACCCUUAGUGCAAUGUAGUUGGUCCCAUCAUUGCCCUUGAAGUCAUUCCCUGCAUACUUUGAGUACAAAACUGUGUUCCCUGGGGAGACAGACAGGGGUUUCCCGUUGCCUUCCUCAUCAAUUGUCCCAGGCCCAACUGCUACUAUCUGUUUUACCCAAUCAAGAAAACAUGAUAAGGCAUAAAUCAACUUUUAAGUGAUGCAUCAAGAAAAAAGGUUCCAAGAUGCCUCAUCUUACGGUGCCAAUGGAAGGUUUCUCUUUGGCUGCCUCUGUCAGUAACAAGCCUCCUGCAGUUUUCUCCUCAGCCUCAGCCACCUGCAUUCAAAUCCAAACAAUCCCAAGUGUAUCCCUUAGCCCCAAAUUGUCCAAUAAUUGCAUAACUACGAAAAGUACUUAUUAUAUUUUCUCUCUCCUUAAUUAAUCAUUAAGGAUUAUACUUUUACACCAAUAAAAUAGAGGGCGUUAAACAAUCACUUGAAAAGUGAUUGUCCAUAUCAUUUCUCUAACUGUCCUUUAUCAAGCAAGCAAGCAAGCAAACAGAGAUAAUCUGAUUAUUAAAACAUACAGAAAUAAUGGAUAGUGAAAGGGUUAGCACACCUUUAUAAACACUCUAUCAUUCAAAGGCUUGAGAUCUUUGAUAUCAUCUGUCUCGAGUAUACCGACAAUAUCAUCCUCCUUCAAUAUAAGAUGACUUGAACCAUUGAACUCCACCUCAGUCCCUGCAUACUUGGAAUAAACAACCUGGGUGCCAGUCUACACAUGCAGAAGCACAUAGCAUAUGAAUGAUGCUGUAAUGUAUAAUAGACGUUUAACAAUAGGAAACAUCAAAGUCCAUAAAGAUGACCUUGAUGGAAAUGUCCAAUUUGGUGUUCCCAAUUGUCCUCCCCUCUCCAACAGCAACAACCUCACCUCCUUGAGGCUUUGUUUGUGCAGAGGUUGGAAGUAAGAUCCCACCAUCAGUCUUCUCUUCUGCAACCUUAAUCUUCACUAGCACUCUAUCACCCAAAGGCUUAAUCCCAGUGUACUACAGAAAUUCAAUACCAUUAAGUUAGACAAGCUGAAAACACCAUCAUAGGUCAAAAUCAAGCUAUGUAUCAACUCAAAAUUAUCAAAAAAGAAUGUUGACUAUGGAAUGCUACAAGGAGUUAACUUCCAUAAUAAGAUCUGACCAUUAACCAAUCAAAGACAGACGUGGGCUUCCAAAAAUAUUAGUAUCCACUUAAGCUUCCCAAUUCAAUAUAAAGCCAGAAGGCCAAGCACAAAAGCAUCUCCAACCAAAAUCCACCAAAUCCCAUUUGCCUAAAGCUAAAUAAUAAUCCAUACAAUAGAUUAAACAGACUACAGAGCUCCACAGUAGAUAAAGAAGAUACCUUAGGAGCAACCACAGUAGCAGCUUUCACGACCAAGCCCCGAAACGAUCGUUGGGGUGCGCCACCAGCCUUCAAUGUCCCGAAAGAUGCGAACUUGACUGUGGACGGUCUCAACCCCUCAAAAGAUGCCAAGCUCCGGACUGAAACUGAAAUUGAGGACGCUGUGAGCUGAGCUGUGGCCAUUUCUACACGUCAUAGCAAACAACAAUGGAUUAAAAUCGACGAAAGCCAUGAAACAGAACAAAAUACAGAUUAAGUUCAUAAAAAUUACCUCAGAUGAUGGGAUUGGGAGGAAGAAAGAGUUGAGUAACGCUGUGGUACUUGCGCUGAUUAGCAGGAGGAGUCUAGAAGAUAAAACCCUAGAGCCGUCAGAAUAGGUUUUAUCUGUUGGUAAGAGAGAGUUCUAGAAAGUUGUUGGUGUCUCACGCGCUUCUCACUCUACAGUCUACUCAGUGCUCAGCUCAUAAAACGGGUGGGUUAUUAUACCCGUAUUGAUGGAAACUGGAUAAUGGUGACCCGGAGAUUCCGAUCUGGACCGGAAACAAAUCCAAUCAACGAAAUGGGCCGUUGAGAAAAAGCUUGGGAAAACAAUAGCCCAAUAUAAUAAAUGCAAUUAAACUGGGCCCGUUGUCUGUCAAAAUUACAAAACCAUCCUUCAAUUGUUUUUCGAGUUAAAUACAACCACUCCUUUGGAUUUUUCUUUUUUCUUUUUUUUGCAAGCAAGCCUAAUGGUUUCUAUCAUUAGUAUUAUAGUUACGUUAUCUAAUUAUCCUUAAAAUUAAUAAUUAUAUUUAUUUAUAUUAAAGUUAUGUAUUAUGAUGAUAAUAAAAUUGUCAUAUAAUGUUAUCCGCAGUUUCACCGCUGAAAACUAGAAACCACACUGUAUGUUCAAAAUAAGGGUCGAGAGAUACCAAAGACGCAGCAAACUGCCAGGCACACCAAGGGCUGGAAUUGCCAAAAGAGCCAAAGUAAAACUCAAUUUAUUAGCCUGACUACGUAUAGUUAGAUUCAAUCACUAACUAUAAUUGGAGAGAAAGAUUGGCUUGUAACAUUUCAGUCUAUAAUAGUUAUAGAGCGGCUAUUGAGAGUAUGUUCAGACUCUGACAUGAAAAUCACUUACCAUUACUAUUAUAAUAGUCUCAAAACUAAAAUACUAUUAGUGUUAUGAUUUAUAUUGACUUAAAGUUGCUGGAAUUCGUAACGAGUGAAACAUACAUGUUCUAUAUUUAAUAGAAUCUCAAUCUCGGUGUAAUUUUUAUCGUGUAAAAGUUUAAAAUUCUUAUGCUAAUAUUUUUAUCAAACCUUGUGGCAUGUGUAUAACUUAUACAAAUGACAUUUGAUGGGACUCCUAAGUGUAUGUUAUGUUAUACAAAUAUAUUUUUGUAUGUGUAGAGUUCAAUUCAUAAUUCUAUUUUUAUGCAUGUUUAAGAUUAUAAUGGAAUUUCAUCUAAUACAUAAUAUUUAUGUUUAGCUUGUUAGGGUUCCAGUAAUAUUAAAUCGAUCUGAGCAUUAACAUCAAUUUUGUAGUUUAAUUUUAGAGUUGUUACUAUUUAUUUUCAACUAGUCAUUUACUCACACGUUGUAUAAAUAUUGAAAUAUAUUAUGUAGAAUAAUAUAAAAUUAUUUUAUAGAAUAAUAUAUUUUUAUAUAAAUUAACUCCACUUAUUAAGAUGAGCAAAAUAUUUUCUCUUUUUAUAUAUAAAUUUUAAAUUUAAAAUUAUUAAUUGAUGAAAAAUAGAUCAUAAUAUAUAUAUUAUUUUGUUUUUUGAAAAUUAAAAUAAUAUAAAAAAAUUAUUAAUUAAACAUAUAACCUAUUACUAUAAAAUAAAGAAAAUAAUUAUAAAAAAUAAUUAGAAAUUCAACUAACAUACAUAAUUUUUAUUUAUAAAGUAAAAAAUUUAAAAAAACUAAUAUUAAUCAUGUACAAAGGUAAAUUUAAUUAUAUUAAAUAAAUUAACAAUUUUAAUAUUCAUUAUAAUAUAUUAUUAAUAUUUAAUAACAGAUUCCAUUCAAAUAAUUAUAUUUAUAGAAAAAUAAAAUUUACUAAAUUUCAAUAGUGGUGAAUAGCGGUGGAUAACAGUGGAUAAAAUUUACUAAAUUUGAAUAGUGGUGGAUAGCGGUUUCUACCGCAGUGGUGGUGGAGGAGAAAAAUUAUUUGAAUAAAAGAAUUUCAAUAUUUAAAUGAUUCUAGUUUAAUGUCUAUUCAUCUAAAAGAGUUGAGAUGGCGGAAAAGAGUUAUGUUAGAUUCCAAGAGAAUAAUAAGAAAAUAUUUUUUAAAACAGCACCCAUUUGAAAAUAGAGAAAAUAAAAUUAUGUGAAAAAUUAUAUGGAAUGGAAUGAAGUUUGUGCCAGUGAAUUUUAUAUAUUAUGAAUAUAUUAAAGUCACAUAAUUAUUAAUAUAAUAGAUUAUAAUAAUCUAAAUUUAAUAAUUUAGUUAUUUUGCACUCCCAGACUUAGCCUGAUGGUAAGUGCAUCCGGUUAAACCUGAUAGAUCUUAGAUUCGAAUACCCAUCCCUCAUUUCAAAAAAAAAAAAAAAUUUANNNNNNNNNNNNNNNNNNNNNNNNNNNNNNNNNNNNNNNNNNNNNNNNNNNNNNNNNNNNNNNNNNNNNNNNNNNNNNNNNNNNNNNNNNNNNNNNNNNNNNNNNNNNNNNNNNNNNNNNNNNNNNNNNNNNNNNNNNNNNNNNNNNNNNNNNNNNNNNNNNNNNNNNNNNNNNNNNNNNNNNNNNNNNNNNNNNNNNNNNNNNNNNNNNAUUAUAAUAUAAUAAUAUAUUAUAUUAAAAUUAAUAAAAAAUCAAAAGAUUAGUAACAAUUAAUAUAAUAAAUUGUAAAAAUAAAAAAAAUCAUACAUUAAUAUUGAUUAUAAAAAUAAUAAAUUUUAUUUAAUAUAUAUAUAUAUUAAUUAUUAUUUUAUAUAAAAAUAAAAUUAUAAAUAUAUAAAAAAUUAUAAAUUUAUACCACAUGACAUAAUUAGUCUCUCAUAUAUUUAUUAUUAUUUACAUAAAUAAUGAAAAAUAUGUAGUAUUAAUUAAUUAAUAAUAUUUUUACUCGUUUAACUCAUCAAAUAAAAUAUAUCUUAUCUUCUACGAAUUAUUGCUAAUAUCCCUCAUUAUUAUUCGACAAAUAUUUUAUAUUUGUUUAAUUUAUACAUUUUAAUUAAUAAUCAUAAAUUUAUAUUUUACCAUUUCAGUAAUUUUCAUAAAAAAUUUAAAUUAUAUUCAUUAAAUGUAUAAUAUAUAUAAAAAUUAAAUAUUAAUUAUUUAUAUAAACAAAUUAAAAUUAUAAGUACGUAACUCAUAUAAAUCCGAAACUAAUAUAGAUGUUAUUUACUAAAAUCAGAUUCAUUUCAAAACUAAUUAUAUAACCGCCAAAUAUAAAAUUAAUUUUAAUAUAAAAUUAGAUUUUACGCUUUAAAAUAAAUUAAAUAUUUUAAAAUAAAAAGUUGAUGAGAUCAUAUAAUAUAUAUAUUUUUAUUUUUUCCUUUUAUUAAUUACCGUAAUUUAUGUUGCUUUCGAGUCCUUACCGCAGCUUUUUGGGUCAAACCCCAGGAGAUCAUCCAUGACGUAACAAACUAGCCACGGCAACUUCCUUGUUUAUUAGAAUUACGCGGCCUCUGCCACUAUCGGUCAAACUCCAACACACUAACUAGCUGACGCAUUGUUCUCCUACAUCAUCAUGACAAAUAAUUAACUUUACGUCAAAGAAUAUAUUAUUAAUAAUUUAAAAUUGUAAGAUUAUAAUUAUAAUUAUAAUUAUAAUUGAAUUUAAAUAAAUAAUUUUAUAGAACAAUUGAAAACACAAAUCACAAAUUUUAUAAUGUGCGUACGCGGGACAUUGUAACUGAAAACGUCAUCGUUUUUGUGUUCUCCUUAUUCAUUUUUAUCUGCUGUAAAUGAGCCAAAUUAUUCGUGAGCUACUCGAGACUCGACUCGAUAAAAACUUGACCGAAUUCGGCUCGUUUUUUAAAUGAGUCAAGCUCGAGCUUAAUUUUGAGACUCGUCAUUUAAACGAGCUGAGUUUGAGCUCCAUAGUAUUCGGCUCGUUAAGGCUCGCGAGCUGGCUCGUUUUUAGGCUUGCGAGCUGGCUCGUUGAGAAGGCUCGCGAGCUGCCUUGUUGAGAAUGCUCGCGAGCAGGUUCGUUGAGAAGGCUCACGAGCAGACUUGUUAAAUAGACUCGUGAGUAAUAUUGUUUAAAUAAAUUGGUGAACCAAUUCGUUAAAUAAAUUUAUGAACAAGUUCAUAUAUUAUUAAAAAAAUAAAAAUAACUAUAAAGUUAUAAAAUUUAAAUUAUUAUAAAUACUUGAAAAUUAUAGUAUUAAAAAUUACAAAUAAUUAAGAUUAAUUAUUAUAAUUAAUAUUCUUUAAAAUUAAAUUAUAAAAAUAUUUUGUAUAUAAUUAUUAUAAUAAGAUUUCAUAAAAUUAAUGUAUAAUAAAAAAUAAUUAAUACUAAUUAUUAUAAUAAGUAUUCUUUAAAAUUAUAGUACUACAUGAUAAAUUGAGUUGUAAAAAUUAUAUACAUUUUAAAAUUAAAGUAUAAUUAUAAAAAAAUUUUUGUAUAUAAUUAAGCAUACAAUAUAAAAGAUGAUAAUAAUUAUCAAAAUAUAUUAAUAAUAAUUAAUUAAGGUUAUAUGGAUGUUGANNNNNNNNNNNNNNNNNNNNNNNNNNNNNNNNNNNNNNNNNNNNNNNNNNNNNNNNNNNNNNNNNNNNNNNNNNNNNNNNNNNNNNNNNNNNNNNNNNNNNNNNNNNNNNNNNNNNNNNNNNNNNNNNNNNNNNNNNNNNNNNNNNNNNNNNNNNNNNNNNNNNNNNNNNNNNNNNNNNNNNNNNNNNNNNNNNNNNNNNNNNNNNNNNNNNNNNNNNNNNNNNNNNNNNNNNNNNNNNNNNNNNNNNNNNNAUGUUGUUGAAUUUAUAUUUAUUUGUGUUAUUUUAGUUAUAAAUUGUGUUACGUAAUUUUUUUUAUGUACACUCUCUUUUUUUUAUAUUAUUUAAAUUAAUGAUGAUUAAAAACUGAUUAAAGUGUAAUUAUUAAUUCGAGUUCGAGCCUGAACUUGAGCUCAAACCAAACUUUUUAAUUUUGAGUUCGGUCUCGAGCUUUUUUAACGAGUUUCUUAAUCGAGCUUUCCGAGUUCGAGCUUGAGUUUUAUUAACGAGUUUCUUAAUCGAGCUUUUCGAGCUCGAGCUCGAAUUAGGCUCAUUAUUAAAUCGAACGAGCCUUUCACGAGUCGAGCUCGAAUCGAGCUCGAUUAUAAUAUUUAAUUCUCGAGCCGAACUCGAAUCAAAUAUUAGAACUCAAGUCGAGCUCGAACUUCCAAACUUUUUUAAUAAAUGAGAUUGAAUUUUACAAAGUUCGGUUCGACUCGACUCGAUUACACCCCUAAUUUUAUCUAUUUUUUUAUACAUAAUUUGACACAUGAUAUAUAAAAGACACACGUGAUCCCAAUAAAAAAAUGAAAAGCAAGAAUAAUAGAAAAAAAAAAAAAAAAAAAAAACACACGUGUUUUCAAACUCCCCCACGUAACAGCAAAAGUAUUGUCCUUCUCGAACCUUUGCUUCUUUCGUUUCAACGCGGUUAAAAAUUCUGUGUUGACCUUCACAGUCAGACACCAGCGGCACCCACAAAUAUAUAUCCACAGCCGCAAAACUUCCAUUCUCAUCAGAACAUCCUCAGCUUAUACAAAAAAGAUUCAAAUCUCAUCACUUACUACUAGAAACAAACAAUAACUGAAGCACUUGUCUGAAAAUUAUGGUGAAACACAUCACCGAGAAGACCGCACAGAGGAGUGAUUCGAAGUUCAAGGGUGUCCGCAAGCGAAAAUGGGGGAAAUGGGUCUCUGAGAUCCGUCUACCAAACAGUAGAGAGAGAAUAUGGUUAGGUUCAUACGAUUCGGCGGAGAAAGCCGCACGUGCUUUUGAUGCGGCACUCUUUUGCUUACGUGGCCGUACUGCUAAAUUCAAUUUUCCAGAUAAUCCACCGGAGAUAGCUGGUGGGCGGUCGCUUUCUCCGCCUGAGAUUCAAGCAGCCGCAGCAAGGUUUGCAAAUUUGGAGCGUCCGAGAAUCCAAUCGGAUAAUUCUUCAACGGAUCAAUCUGUGAUGUCGGAAUUACAAGCGGAGUCCCCGUGUGUUUCGGAAGUGUCAAAUUUGACGACGCACAUAGAUGGCAGUGAACUGAUGCUGGAUAUGAGUUUCUUGGAUUCGCUAGCGAAUCCGGGUUCGGAUAAUUACCCGGCGGAUUACGGGUUAUUCCCGGGUUUUGAUGAUCUGCAUAGUGAUUUUAUUGAACUAUUAACACAGCCUAGCCUUGACUUUGGAGAGGAGAAUUUUGAUGGCAUUUUAACUCAAAAUUCAUUUCUCUGGAAUUUUUAAAGAUACUGAAUUCGCGUCGGGUGGUUUCUGGACAGUUUUAGCUCCCAGAAGUUACUGGCUUUUUUUUUUUUCUUUUUUCCAAUAGAAGUAAAAUGACAAAUUGGGUACUGUUUAUUUUGCUGAUGAAACCAUUUUUUGUAAAGGUGUUCUUAUUUUCUCGGAGAGUGCAGCAAAUGUUUCUUCUUUAAUUCUCUAAGUUUAAACAGGUAACAGUCAGCAACUUAAGUCUGUAAAAUUUGUAAUAAGAGAUUUAUAGGUUAAAUCAAUAUUCAUGGGGAGAAUUAUAAUUUCCUUUUCCCUUUUCUGAUAUAUUUGGUUUUGUUUUGUGCUUAUUGUAUUUUAUUUUUUUACAUGGUUGGUUUUAAUUAAAGUGAGAAUUCAAGAUCUUGCAAUCCUGAAAGCAGUUGCAAUACUAAGUGGAAUGAACUAAGGAUUGAAAGGAAAAGAGAGAACAGGAAAGCAAGCGAGAGAAUAUGAAGUGAGGGUUUUGAUAGCAGUCGAGGUUUAGAUUCUUGCUUGUGUUUUCUUCUUUUGUUAGUGGAGAGUUUCUUGUCUUGCUAGUUAGUGUGGGCUCCUUCGUCCUGGAGGGUGGAGCGAGUCUGAUGACAUUGAUAAGAUGUUUUGAAUUAGCCUUGGCAUCUCCCUCAGUAGUUGUGUAGUUUUGAUUUUGAGAUGUAGGUUUGGUGUUUCUUUGGUGAUCCUAUUACUUGGAGAUCUGCUUUUUGGUUUGGUUUACAUGUUUCAAUCCUUACAUGAACUAUGGUUGCUGGCUGUCAGAGAUGGCGGAGGUCGAUGGUGUUGGCAUCAGAGCCAAGAUAGGCUCUUAAUGGCUACUUCAUGACUAUUGCGAGAUUGAAAAUGCCAUGGAUCAAUUUUUUUCUCUAGUGGUUAUUAUCUGUGCCUGCGGUGGUUUGCUAAAGGAGCGUUUGGUUGGAUUUUAAUUUUUCUCUAUUGAUUUGAUUUUCGAUUGUAUUUUAUUUUGAGUGUGUUGGCUCUUCUACUGGACAUGCAUGGCAAAUUGGUGACUAAUUUCUCCGUGAAUCGAAUUGCUGGUUUCUUUGAUCUGCGGUUCGACUGUCUAUUUGUUUUGGGAAUGCUAGCUUGGUGAUGAAUCAUAAAAACACAGCCAUAUUACUCUAUUUGGGGUUGAGUCAGUAGAUUUUGGAUGUGCUUUUUUAUUUCUAGAUUUGGACUAGAGACUAGAUACUCAAAAAAGAAAAAUCAAACCACAAAAUAAAUUAAAAUCAAACUCAACACAGCCACUCAAAUAAAAGCAAAUAAAUCAAAUCAAAUUACAAGCAUCUACAACCCUGUCCACCGAUCACCGCUACCACCUUUUUAAGAAGCAAAAACACCACUAGAGGAGUAUAUGAUACUAGAGAUCCAAAAAAAAAAAAAUCAAAUCACAAAACAAAUUAAAAUCAAACCAAACUAAAUCCAACGCAGCCACUCAAAUAAAAGCAAAUAAACCAAAUCAAACCCCAAAUAUCCAGAAUCCUGUCCACCGAUCACCGCUACCACCUUUUCCAGAAACGAAAAUACUGCUAUAGCCAUCAACCGCUGACAUGGAAAAGAGCAAACGAACGAAAGACAACAAAGCUAAGAGCAUGCAACAACAGAAAAUUAAAGAAAGACCAACGAAGCACAAACAACAAAAACAUAGAGAACAGAUCAGAAAACCAGAAAACACAAACAACACCCAUUAACUUGCAUUUUUCCUUUUUUGACGGUUACUGAACUUUUGAGUUUUUUUAACUUCUAAAUACAAAAUCCAAGUAUGAGUUUAGGUUAAAGGUGAUUUUUUGAUAAAUAUGAAUUUAGGUUCGGGUGAUUUUUUGAUAAAUUUGGUUUUUAAUUGAUUUUUUUCUUUUUAUGUUUUUUCUUUUUGUCUUUUUCAAACGUGCUUCUACCAUUCUAAGCUUUGAUCUGGCUGCCAUUUUCAUAUAAAUAACCAUUUUCAUAUGGAUAACCUGUUUGUAGAUAUAAAAUUUUAAUUUCUGUCAAAUAGUUAUUUAAUUUUUAUUUGAGCUCAAUUUCUAUCGUUUUAAAACAUAACUUCUAUUAUUUUUGAGCCGUUAACUCUUAGCUGAUUUUACAAAUUAAAAAUAUUUUGAGCCGUUAACUCUUAGCUGAUUUUACAAAUUGAAAAUAUUUUGAGCCGCUAAUUCUUAGCUGAUUUUACAAAUUGAAUUCUCAAACUUGCAAAGACCUUUUCAAAGAUUUACAAAGGAAUUAGGCUCAAAUUCAACCCUUCUCAUGAUGACUAUUUGAUUUGAUUAUGUGUUAUUUGGAGUUCACUAUCUAUAAUAAAUUUAGCUUGGUAUUGGAUGAACUUUUAUUGACCUGAUAGGGCAUAACAUUUUAUAUCAUAAUGGAACCCAAAUCCUAUCAAAUGAAUAAAUAUUAUUCAUUUUUUAAACAUAUCUCCUAUUUAAUUUUGUUUACUAAAAAUAGGGUUAAUCAAUAAAAAGUGAGUUAUAUAAUUGUUCCAAGAUACACAAACAACGAAAUUAAGCUUCAUACACAUGGCCCACAAGACCUAGCCCAACAACCAUACUCCUUAAACAUUAAAAAGAAAUUGGAUCAUUCAAAUUCGAAACAAGAAUUCGGCGAAGGAGAAAGAAAACGACCGUUGCAACAUUGCCCAUCUGGGAAACACAAUCACUUGUAAACACUAUCAUUGGAAGCACCACGGAGAACUCCUUCAACCGCCGAUAUUUAACCAGGAAGAAGCACAAGAACAUUUCACGAAUGAAAAAUGUAAUCUCACCAUGAGCAACUUGUAUAUCAAUAAAAGAGCCAAAAUCAUAAAAGGCAAAAGACGAAACAAUGGCCAAGUUUAGAAUGCUAUAGAAAGCCACCCUCAAGAAAACAACCAAAAGAGAGCAGUGGAUAAGAGCUUUUCAGCAAUUCGAGCCUUCAGGAUAUACAAGCGCGUCCAACGCUUUACUUCUUCAGUUUUAACAAAGAAUCUAUAUAAACAAAGAGAUCGUGAAACAGAGCGGUGCCAAAGGAGAGAGAAGAUAUGGCGGAUAUAAAGGGGUGAGGAUGAGGAAAUGGGGGAAAUGGGUAGCAGAGAUACGGCAACCCAACAGUAGAGGCAGGAUAUGGCUUGGCUCCUACACUACUGCAGAGGCUUUUUUGCCUACGUGGACCUUCUGCUACUCUCAAUUUCCCAAUGAAUCCGCCGGAUAUUUCUUCGCCCAUAGACCUCUCUCCAUCGCAGAUUCGUGAGGCUGCAUUUAGGCACUCCCGGAAAGGUUCUGAGACUACGGCGUCACGGAGUUUGAGUUAUCGUGUGCCGGCAUCUGGGAUGUUGGAGGAUUCGGAAAAACUACUUGGAAAGGUUUAUUUGCCUAGUAAAGAGCAGAGAGUAGGAAGUUUGGACAGGAUUGCAAGUGGCGCAUAUUAUCAAGCAUCUGGUGUGUGGACUGUUUAAGUUUAAUAGAUUCUUUUUUUUUUAACCCCUUUUUAUCUAUCCUGAUUGAGAACCUGAUUUAAAUAAAAUACAGUGAUUUAAUUAUCCUGAAUUGGAAAUUAAACAGAGAAUCACAAUACUUUACCUAUAAAAUUCUCAUUCAUAAAAGCAUAAAGAACGUCGCCUGUAAAGUUCACACGGAAGAUCACGUUCUUCUCUGGUGUUGCAUUAUUGUCCACUCUGCAUUCCACACAUCCACACACGUGAUCAUGAAAAAGAAGAAAAGCCUUGUUCUUGUGUCGUUUUAAUCAUGAAUCAUGCCUAUAAUUUUUUUUUUGUAAGUUGAGAUUUUUAUUACAAACCAAAAUAUAAGUUUUUCGCAAACUGAAAAAGUAGGAAAUGGAAGGUGAGGUAAUUACAAACCAAAAUGGUAAGAAAUGGUUGUGGAUGGUAAUAAGAUAAGCAUGCCGAGAGAGAGAGCAUAGUGAAAUCGUUGUUCCCCUGUCUGAAGGUUUUUUAUUUCUGUUUUCUAUCUUUGAUUUUGGUGUUUGUUUGUGUUGUGAAUCGCAUGUUGUUUAGAUGGGUUAUCUUCGGAAUUUUGGAUUGUUAGUUUUCCUUCUUCUUUCGCGGCCAGUGGUUGUCGUAGCUCUGUCGUCAGAAUGAGAUGAUACUUCAUGGAUGUGGUCGGUGCUAUGCUGGAGUGAGUUCAUAGGUGAUUCAACACUGAAACUUUUCAUACAAAAAUAUGCAGUAAAAUCUCAUAUGUGCAUACCAUUUCUAUCUUGCAAAAUCUGAUAUUCAUUAUGAACCAGUAAAAAGUGGAAAUCCUGUAGACUCUAACCAAUGAUCAGCUUCGUGCAAGAAUUUGCCCACAGUAAACUGCCUUGCUUUUUCUUCACUGCAGUUCUUCUUAUAGCCUUUCCAAGUAACUCUAUGCCUUGUGUUGGAGCCUGGUCCAUAGUUCAAGUGCUCAAUAUACUCCACUGUAUCUAAACUGCUGUAAUUAUCCCAUGUGUACCAGCCCUGCGGAUGUAUCAGGUCCCCUAAAUAACUCUUCAUCACCACAGUCCUUGAGUGGUUUCCCCAAGGCCUGCCCAAGAAAGUUGAAAUAUGUUGCCUUUUAGCUGAUUUCAAAUCUGGUGCAGCAAGAAUUGUGCAAUUUUGCAAUGAAAAACCAGUGUUCUGAUUUGGGUCUCUUCUGCCUUGAGCAGUGAUCAUAUUGCUUUGACCAGGGAUUGGUUUGCGAACAAGUAUCAAACAGUUCUGGAAAAUUGCUGCUGCAUUUCCAAAAAUGAAGUCAAUUGUACCUUGGAUUGUACAUUCACGGUAGAAUUGGCGAAGUGAAUGAGCAAACAGUGCAUCUUGAUACGAGCUGAAGUUGCAUCUAUAAAAGGCAGAGUUAGAGGUCACUCUUGCAGCAACUGCUUGAUAUUUUUGUGGACCUGAUGUGUUGAUUAUUGUCAAGUCCCUGGCUAGGAAUUUGUCCCCUGCUACAGCUGAAAGAAGAAACAGCAAAGUAGAUGACUCAGAAAGCAAUAUCUAUAAACUAAUGGGAAAUUACUAUUUGAGCUAUAUAGGAUUGGAAAACUCUUGCUUUAAAAAAAAAAAAAGGAAAAUUCAUUAGUCGCUUAAUUUUGAAAAACAUAUUAAAAUAUUUCUAAUGUUAUAAAAAAAUUACUAAAUGGUUUUUAAGUACCGUAAAAAAAAAAUUUAAAAUACAUUAAAAAAUUAAUUAAUAAACCUUUUACAAAAUUUAAAGAACAACUAAAAUUUUCUAAAUUAAACGUUUAAAACGGAAGAACUACAUAUUUUUUUAAAUCAAAAGAGUAAGUAAUAAGUUUUUUUUAUAAUAUAAAAAUUAAAUAAUAAAUUUCCCUAAACAAAAAAGUUUACAAGCCAGAAAUCUCACGGAGAAGUGCAUACUUAAGGUAGCAGAAUCAAAGGUGGAGAACCCAUCAACAAAAUUUUUAGACCCUUUGAUUAUGGUUUUGGUCAUUCCAUCGCCUAUCAGCAUGAUGUUGAUCUUCUCUCUGGUAAUUUUCACAUUUUCAUUGUACACUCCAGCCUUGAUCUUGAUCACAAACCUGUUCUUGCUUCUUUCUGGUGCCAUCUUUAUGGCCUCAGCAAUCAGGCGAUAGUCACCACUUCCAUCACUAGCAACAGUAAUGUUAGGCUUCAUAUUUCGCCUUCUUUCCAUUAAAAUCCUGUCACUAGAUGAUAUCCAUGCUGGAAACCGAUUUGGUGAAAUCUUUUUAACAAACAUCUGGUGAUCAUUCAUGAUUCUACUCUCGUUUAUGGCUUCCAUGUAUGUGAUGAUGGACAAACAAUUGCUAAUCGUACGAGUUAUUGGGGCAAACAAGUGAUGAAGCUUCACUUUAAGAUCUUUACGAUUCUCAAAAGCAGAUUCAUCCAAAUCAGAGAACCCAUCAAUGCAUGUAUGCUGAUUCGUCAUGGCUGCACUAAGCAAGGUCUUGAUAUUAGCAUACAGUAAAUGGAGAUGACCAAUGGAUGCAGGGAAAGCGUGCAGAUCAUCCAUGGCUAGUCCAAGUUCAUAAAGGGUUUGAUCUAACAUUUCCACACAAUCAUUUAACGCAUUUUUUUCCUGGGAAAUCAAAUCCUGAAACGUGAAGAACCCCAAAACGUGGGUUCUUGCUCUGGCUGCAGAUUUCUCAGCUGCAUCCAUGGUGAAUUCAAGAAUAUAGCGUAAAGUAAUGAAAUUCUUGGAAAUGGGAAUGGAGGAGAGAGUAUUGAAGCACAAAGAAGGGUAGAGAGUUCUUGAACAAGCCGUUCUGAUAAUAGGAUGUGGAAUUGGAGUCGGAGUUGCAGAGGCAGCAGGGUCUGAUAAUCCUUGUUUUUCUCUGGAAUCAAGAAAGGAUUCUCUGAAGAAAGAAGCUAGGAGAAGUGUUGUCAGGGUGAAAAAGAUAAAGAGAGCAGCAAUCUUUUGAUGGGUUCUUGUUGAAUCCUUGGAAGGCGAAGAAGAGUUCUUGAAAAUGAUCGCCAUUGUUCUUUGGUGGGAAAUUGCAAACAGUCGAAAAAGGUGGUGACUUUUUAACCCUUUAUGGUUAGGACUUGAGAGUUGAGAAAAAUAUUAAGAAAAAUUUUACCAUAUGAUUAGUAUAUAUAUAUAAUAAAUUUUAUUAUAAUAAUUUUGCAUAAUAUCAAUUUAUGUAUGCAUUAGAGGGGAUAAAAUAAAAUUUAAUUCUAAAUAUUAUUUAUGUAUAAUUUAAUUUUUAAAAUUUGCAUUUUAAUUUUACUAUUUUGAAUAUAUCAUAAAAUUUUAUUAGUUAAUUUCAAAUCCAAUAUACAAGAGAUUUCCGCUCCUUUCUUGUUAAAUAAACUUAGACUAAAAAAAUUUAUGUCAAAAUAUUUUUGAAUAAACAUAGAUAAUUUAUUUUUUUAUUAUUUAAUUAUAAUAUUAAAAAAUGAAAAAUUAAGUUAAAUUUAUAUUAAAAAAUUCUGUAGCAUUAAUAAAAUUUUUAAAAUUAAAAAAAUCUGUAAUUUUAAAAUUAAAAUUUUUAAAAUUUUAAAUAUAAUAUAAAAAAUUAAUAUUUUAUAAUAUGAUUUUUAUAGAACAUUUAUGGUAAUAUCUUAAAUUUACAAUUAUUUACCAACCGAUAAUUGGUGAUACUACCCAUACUAUUUUAAUACAAAUUAAUAAAAUUGAUAUUUUUUUAACUUUCGCACUAUAGUAUUAUGGGCAAUUAGUUCCGACACAGGAUCUAACUUUUCUAUCCAAGGCUAUAAUUUCCUUAGUAAAUUACAUUUGUUUCUUAAAAUCAUUAACCCUAACUUUGAUGUAUUAAUUUUUCACAUUCAUAGAUUUGAUCCUGGAAACCCAUAAAGGAAAAAAAAAUAUAUCCAGACCAGGAAAAGUAGAGUACUAAAUUGUAGGGGAAGAGAGACAACAGAUGAAGCAAAAAACAGACAAUCUUUACUGCAAUUGAUGAAAAGGGCUCAACAGCCAAAGUUCAAACAAUGCCGCAGAAAGGUGAAGGGAAAAAAAACCAAAAAACAAAAAAAAGAAGAAAAGAGCAAAAUGAAGCAAUGGGAAUUCCUUCUUCGUCCGAUCACAACAGUAAAAUGACCAUUAUUAUGCUUCACAACUCCGAAACUUCCCGCUUGAACCUUCAGCUCUCUUGAAUUACGUAGCUCACCACUUAAUCCUCAACAGUUAGAGGAACAGAUUCAGCCUGAACAAAUUUCAUGAAACAAGAACAAAAUAUUGAGUAAACAUUUCCAGACAGAAAGUGAAAACUAAAAGCUUCAAGCAUGGAAACUGCAGGAGGAAGCUAGCUAGCUUACCAAUUUGCGGUACUUGAGAGCAUAGAACAUUUCAAGGUAGCGCCGGCUUUCGCGACGAUCAAGCUUAGAGACAUGUUUCCAGAAGCCAUAUACACCAGUGAGAGUCAAUAGCCUCUGAGAGUAGAUUUGCCAAGUAUACCUAUGAAUCAAACCAAACAAUUUAGAACACAUAUUAAGAAAACUCAGCAGAAUGAUAUUAAGUACAGAAGGUGGCAAGCGUACUUCUCUUGGAUACGUUGCAUGGCUCCCUGGGAUAUCUUGUCCCAGUGAGGUGGAUCGGCCUUGCACUUCUCGAAGAACUCAACAAGGAGUUCAGCAGCCUGAUCACCAUGGUAAGGAUCAAUGUUGAAGCCGGAUUUUCCAUGCACAAUAAUCUCAGCAGGUCCACCAUUGCAAGUAGCGAACGUUGGUAAACCACAGGUCAUGGCCUCAACAACAGUCAGACCAAAAGCUUCGUAUAGAGCUGGCUGCACGAAAACACCCUUGGUGUCGCAAAUGCAACGGUAGAGCUCUCCAUUCCUCACUCGGUUCAUCUGGGAAGAAAUCCAUCUGAACUGGCCAUUCAGAUUGUAUUUCUCAAUAAGACUAUGCAUUUUCUUCAUCUCAGCUUGCUCUUCCAAAUCUUUAGACUCUUUUCUUCUAUCACCACCAACUACUACAAGGUUAGCCAAUUCACGAAGCUUGGCAUUCUUUCCGUACCAUUCUACAAGGCCAGAUAAAUUCUUAACUCUGUCCAGUCUUGCCAUGGUGAAUAUAAUCGGCUUGUUGCGAUCCUUUAGCACACAUCUGUGGAAUGCCAAAAACAUUGGUGAUGGUUGUUACACAUAGUUUCGUUAUAUUCAUACAGUUGCUUGUAACAGGAAGUCACAAGGAUCAGUAACUCACAAGUGUUCUUCGUUUUCAACAGGGCUGUAGAGAAGCUCCUCAAUUUCUGGAUGGAAAGAGGUCAACCUACGUUUCUCCUCCGUGUAGGCAAAGUAUAUGCUCUCGUCAGCACCAGGGGAGACAAUGUUGAAUUUGGGAUCAAAGACAUCAAUACCAUGAACAACUCGGUAUAGGCCGGGAAGGGUGAAAGCUGUGUGGCUCUCAUAUUGACCAACAGUGUCCUUGCUGAAAUGGCGAAAGGAUAUCAACGCUAUAGCUUGGGCACAAGGGAAGCAUUUCGCAAGAACAAGAAUGAAGAGAGAGAACAUUACCUUCCAGCAAUUUCUUGGAAUGUGCUGGUGAUGAUGAAAUCUGUAUGAUUCAUUGCUAUAAGAUCAGCAGUAAACUGGCAUGAAAAGUGGUACUUCUCAUCGAACUUCUUCCAGUAGAUGUCUGAGUCUGGAUAUUUUGUUUUCUCGAGAGCAUGAGCAAUGGUACACUGCAAAAGAUGGCAAAAAUAAGAGAUUCUUGUAGCUCCUGUAGGAAGAUAAAAAAGAUGAAACAUGAUUUUGAUAACAAUCUUAAAGGACAAACCUCUGUAACACCUAAUUUGUGUGCUAACAAAGAGGCAACAAUGUUUCCAUCACUGUAAUUUCCAAUGAUCAGAUCAGGCUUUCCUUGUAACUCCUUGCCAAUUUCGGUGGCAACAUCCUGAAAUAGCACAGGGAAAUAUUAAGCCAUGAAGACAAUGUUAUGAAUAUAACUUGAGAGCAAAAAUAAGAAAAUGCUGUGUGUUAAAGCAAAUGUUCCACCUCAGUGUAGGUCUCUAGAUAUGGCCACACUUCAAAUCGUGAGAUCCAUUUACGAACAAUUCCCUUCUCAUUUCGGAAAGGAACACGAAGGAUAUCUGAAUGCUCUGUUCCAAAUACUUUUUCUAGACGUUGACCGCAAGUGGUUCCUACUGCAUCAGGAAGAAGUCGAGUGAUCUGCACACAAACAGAAGUUAAAGCAACAAGAUCAAAGAACAAUACAAUAAACCAAAAACACCUAUAACAGACACCUCCAAAUAAACAAACUUACAAUGAGAAUGCGGGGGGUGAUAUCAAGUCCCUGCUGCUUUAUACGUUGAAGCAUUUCUGUUUCUAAGGCACGGACUUGAUCCAAGAUAUAAACAACCUAGUGGAAAGAUUAUGCAAAAAAAUCAGUUCAAAGCUUCAAUCUAAGAGUCCUAAAAAGAAAUGGUGUUCGGCUAUGAUUGUGAGCUAACCUGGCCUCCAGUGUCAGGAUACCCCAAAACAUUGUCUUGGGCGAAGUAUCCAUGAGGAGACAUGAUCACAACAUUGAACACCAUUGGGAUUCUUCCCAAGAAUGUUUCAAGAGUGCAGGGGUCUGGUGCCUCAAGAAGAUCCAAAAGAAGCCGGAUCAUCUCUAGAACACGCUCAGCGGUAUCACCCCAACCUCUCUCCAGGCCAAUUUCCUGGAACCUGUGCUCGAACUGAGAGUAGGGAGUAUCGGGUGACAAUGCAGUGAGAUACUCCUCUGCCUUCCUCAGAACAUAUUGCAAAGAAUUCAAGUUAUGAAUUCUGUCAUUCAGCAUCAUGUUCUGUACAAGAAAACCAAAUGAUAAAGUGAGACAUAACAAUUUCUUUUAACAACAUGAAGAAACUACUUGGAUGUUAACAUAUUUUUACAAGAUCAACCUUGACAACGUCAGGAUCUAUGCAAGUAGUGUAGAAGAAUUUCUUUAUUACAACUAAUAACAAGAUCCUAACAAUUUGAGCUUCUAACUCAUGCAAAAGUCAUAUCUAUUCCAAAAAUCACAGGUUUAAGUCCUCAUAUUUCUAUAUGUUCUGAGUCAUCCUAACAAAAAUUCAACCAAAAUGCUGAAAAUUGGCUGUGUUACCAGAUCAUAUAUACCUUUCCCUUGUGGCAGUGGACUUUCAGAAAUUCAAGCAGAGGAUGCAAGCUCUCCUUGUCAUGGAACAAUUUUGCGGAAAGGUGACGAUUAAGGAACUCCACACCAUUACCAAUGUACUUUGAGAGAGUUGGGCGAGGAAAAGAUGCAUUGAAUGGUUCGAAAUCCAACUCUAGCACAAAGUUGCCAUUGACACUGCAUGAGAUCAAGCAGUAAUAUUAGGAUUAAAAGAGUUAACGAAUUGGGAGGAAUAAAGAAAUGCAGUCUCCAUCCAUCUCCAAAGUUACCUUCCAUCAACAAGUUCCUCCUUGAAGUGCAGAUACUCGGCAACACGCAGCUCCUCAACAACGAGUGCAUGCACAUUCACUCUAAUGUACUCCCAAACACCAGGCCUUGGGCGCACAGCAAGAGCAACCCAAGGAGGCAAGACAAUUGCUUCCUAAAAUUAUAGAAUCAACAAAAGUACAUCAGAAAACUCCUAACAUUUGCCAUGCAGAUCACCUGAAGAUUAGAUACAAGUAUGAUCAAGAUUACCUGUGCAGAUCUCAAAACUUCCCCAAAUGCACCAUCCAAUAGUUUCUUUCUGUUCUCUUCAGGGAUUGCUUCAAAUUCAGCAAUGAUCUGGUGAUGCUGAAGAAUUCCUUUUCCCUUGCCUUCAAUCCUGCCAUACAAGCAGUCCUAUAAGCAAUUAUUCUAUAUAAAUCUAUAUCCUUAACUACUGUGUCUUCAAUGUGCCUGAUCUUUCAAUAGUUGAAACAAAAAUAGAUCAUGGCCAUGUUUAAACCACUCUAUAUACAAAACCAUGCUGCAAAAUCUUCAUAAACAGCCAUGCAAGUUACUUCUACAUGGAAGAAAUGUGUGAAGAAACCUUGAGUGUAAAGAUCUUCAAGGGAUUACCUUGAGAGUAAGGCCACAAUUUCAUUGCGGUGAGCAGAAAGAGUCUCAUCCAAACGUUCACGGAUGCUGUGAACGCGAGUGAUAACACGUUCAGCCAUAGCUUAUGAUCAGAAAACCUCUGCAAGAGUUCAGAUGAAACAAAAACAAAUGUAAGAAUCACAAAAACGGAUAUAUUAAAACGAACUGAAAAUAUCAGUAUAUAAGCAUUUGGAUAAUCACCCUAAAGUCAAAACCCAACAAAACCAGUGAUUCUAGAAGAGUAAAAAAAAAAUCUACACCUACCACCUCGCCGACCAUUUUGAUUUUAUAUUUGAUUUAGAGACUUAAGAGUGUACUGUUGACUAAGAACACUGUCUUAAAUAAUGCAGCACAUAAAUGUUAAAGAUCUAUAGAUCACUGCACACAUAAUUAAACAAUUUAGCAAAGAGUGCCCAACAGAAUCAGAACCUUGUGCAAAAUAAAGAUCCAAUAUCAAUAAUGGGUUUAUUUUUAAAAGAGCUGUGGGAUACAGCAGAAAAAAAAAAUUCCCAUUUAAAAAAUGGGUUGAUCAAAGAAGAAAGAACUGUUUUUUUCUAUUGACCAAAGGAAAGACUUCCCUGCAAGAAGAAUAAAGCAGAGUAGAGAGAAUAAUUCUCCAAGAAACACAUAUGCAGGAACCAUCAAAAGAAGGAAGCUUGAAACUUCUUCGUGGAAAAGUUAAAUAUUUUGACCCAGAAAAUAGAUAAGAAAUUUUGACAACAAGAAAGAAAAUUUAGAGCUGAACUAUUCCGCCAUUUAAGUUGAAAAGGAACUCGGCCAUUAGAAAGAAAACUAGUAAAGUUGGCCUUAUGAGAACAACAUAGUCACCAAGAAAAAGCAUCAUGACGUUGUAAGUUGAGUACAAACUUUUAAACCACAGAUCAAGCCGCUUAUUACAUGAUAAUCAAAUUUUGAACACUAAUAGUGCCAUGAUAUGCAAAUUUUCUCUAGGCCAGCCUGAGCAAGUUAUUAUAUAAGCAGCAAGAGUAAAACGCCAUGAUCAAGGGAAACAACUACAGUCCUUAGCAGAUCUCCAGAGCCUUGUAGGCUUGUAUGCAAGCCAACUAAAGCAGAACACUCAAAAACCAAAAAUCUUGGGAAAAAUAAGAAGCAAACAGAAAAUAAAAGAGAAAAUAAAAGAGAAAAUAGACUAACCAAACGCAAAAAAGGAGAAUAAAGAAGGGAAACGCAAUGAAGUGGGGUGAUUGAAAGAGAAGAAUUGGUGAAAAUUUAUAGAGAAAAAAGUGUAAGAAACAAGGGGAAAAUUGAAAAAAGUCAUUGCAACAACCCUGCAAUAAAAAAAAAAUUAAAAAAAAAAAAAGAAACAAAUAGCUGGGCACGCAGUAAAUAUUUUAAUAAUUUUUUCAUUGUCUUAUAAUAUCUUUAAUAAAGAUUAAGAAUUUAAUAAGAGAGAUUUGCGGGCUAAGGGUAUUAUGGUAAUUUAAAAGAUUUCUAGUAUAUUCUACUAGAAAAUGAUAAUUUCAAACAAGCAACGAGAGGAAAGUUAAGCAGCACUCAUAUUUUAAAAACACUUUUUAAAAUAUUAUUUAAAAAAUAUUUAAAUUUAAUUUUGUCAAGAACACAUAUUGCUUUUUUUUUUAAACAUGAUAUUUUUUUCUGAAAAAUACUUUUUUAACCUUUAAACUCAAUGCGAAACAGACUCUUCUGACGGACUUAAUCUCCAACUAGUUACUUGUGUGAAAUGAACUGUGCACAAAUAACUUAAAAAUCAAGCUAAAAAAGGAUGAAAACAAAGAUCUUUCAAAGAAAUGGAAACGGGGAACUGCCAGAGCCGGUGGUGCUGGUGGUGGUAGGUAAUGUUGUGUAGGGACAGUGAUGAAGUUGCAGGCAGAAGUGGGUCCAAUCAUGGGAAUGAACGGAUAAAGAUGCUUGAUCGACAAAGCCAGCCAUUUUAAUUCAUUUUCUGCUGCCUAGCCAGCCAACCAGCUCGUUAUUAUUAAUGCACACAAAUCUAAUCCAUUGGUACAUACAAGAAAUAAUACGGUUGGUCAUCCAACUCUGUUGAAACAAGAAUCGUAGAGGAAUAUCCUGAAAGAGUAAAACAACUGAUGCAAUGCCACUGAUAACAGCCAAUUUCUCACCAAACUACAACCAUGAAACAAUCUCAGCUCAAGAAUGAGAGAUGGAAUUAAGGAUAAUAUUACCUUGAAACGACGAACGCAGAUCUCGAAGAAACGCACAAAAAGCAAGAAUGCAGAGAAAGGAGACGAAUGAGGAUGAAGAAAUGGGGGAAGCAAGAAACCCUUAAAUACACAACGAAUUGAGGUAGACGAGAUCAUUCUUGUACAGCUUCGUAGAAGAAGGAGAAUAAAGAAUUUGCUUAAACAGUGACUGUGUAAUAAUCCCUGCGGUUUCAUUGUUCCUUUCAAAAACCGCUUCCUCUCUCCUUUCUCAUGGCCCAUUUGCUCUAAUAAUUAUUUUUUAAUUCAUUUCUUUAUAUAUUUUCUUGCUUUUUAUUGGUUGAAAUAUUUUUUUUAAAUCAUUUGUUCAUUUGAAUUUUAUUUAUUAAGUUGGAUUUUCCUUUUUCCUCUUGUUUUUGAUUGAAAAGGUGGUUUCUUGUUUCAGCUGUUUUUUUUUUUAAUGUUAAAAUGCUAUUUUCUAUUUUCCAUCGUUACAAACGGGGAAGGUGAUGGGUACCAUUUUUCGCGGGUGUUGGAAGCUCUUCGUGAUAUGGGUAACUUGGUAAUUUCAUUCAAGAGAAAUUUUUUAAUUAAGUUAUUCCAAUUAAAUAAAAUUUAAUAAAAAUUAGAAAUAAAGCUAAAUUUAAUAAUUAAAUUGAAUUAAUCAAAUUAACUAAAAUCUAUUUAUAGUUUUAAUUUAAUUUUUAUGUUUUACAUGUUAAUUUUCGGACUAAUUUGAUUUAUAAUACAAUCAACUCAGGCCUCCACACGUCAGUUACGAAGCAAAAAAAACAAAAGAUAGAAAGAGAAGAUCUUCUUGUAUGGCGUGGCAAUAGCUAAUUGGAUGGUCUUAAAGCAUGAGGUGACCGCCAGGGCAGUUUUAGAUCGUUCGUAUCAAAAAUAAGAAAAUAAACGGAUGAAGGGUACGGACCCACUUGUGAAGUUUAUGACAAAAGUGCGAGACAGCGUAGUCUGCAGUCAUUGGCUAAGAUUUCACGUCUGACGUGGCGACACCGACAACUUGCUUAAUUUCACAUUAAAAAAAAAGAGAGAGGAAGACUUAUCCAUUGGUUAAAUUAAAUUAAAUUACAUUACCCAAUUUUUAAUAGUAAUUGACAAAUGUAAAAUAAGAUGAGCAAACAAAAGCUGUUUCAGAAACCCAGUGGCUAACCCAUUUCUGGUUUUGAACCCAAGCCAAAGGUAUUUUAAUUUCAAUGGCAUGCUAAACUUACAUCAUAUGCUUUUUUUUAAGCUUAAAUUUUGGCUUUGGUAUUGGAGAAUUUUUGCCUUUUUUAUUGUAAUUUUUAAAUUCAAUUUGCUGAUUUAGAAGGCUGAAUAUUCAGUCGAUUGAAUUAAAUUAAAUUAAAUUAAAAAUAAAAAUAAAAUUAAAAAAAUAAAAUUAAACUAUAAUUUUAAAUUUAUUUAAUUUAAUUCGUUAUUUUAAUUUAAACAGAAUAUUAUUAGUGCGUGAGUUUGGUGAGAGACGCGAAGUGGAUGGUGGAGAUUUGAGCCCACAGGCAGAGCAACGUGAAGCUAUAAGGAAAAAAGCUGACAUAGAAAAUUGAGGUUUUUAAAUUUUUGCAAGCUUUGAACAGGUUCAUCAGUAGUUUUGUAUUGGACAGAAGUUACAGGACAGAUAUUUUGGUGUUGCUGCCUAUGAAAUUGGCCAUCCAUCAAAUGGAAGAGUCAAAUUUUUUUCUUACAGGUAGGUCCUUCAAUUUCUCCAUUAAUUAUAGUGGUGGCCCAUAACCCAAUUGAAUAUUUUGCUCAUAACCCAAUUCAAGGAUGGGCAUGACUAUGGAGGUGGAGUGUGGAAUUACAUAAUUGGUGUGGUUUGUCUCUGGUUGUAAAUUGGCAUGUGAGGACAAGUGUCUGUGUAUCUAUCUAAAAUACAAAGGGAAAUCCAAUUCUUUAAAUUUGUGUCAGCUCUCAGCAAUAGUGAUGGUGCUGUAACAAUAACAUACUUUUGUAACUUUAAAUUGAUUGUACGGUUAGAAAUUAUUCAUAGCACAGGAUCUCUUUUUGUUUCUUAAUCAGACGUAUUGCGUUCAACAAAAGUGAUAGCAGGAAUGAUUUCCAUAUCAACAAGAUUAGUAUAAAAUAUAAUAAUUAAUUUAAAAUUAUUAAAUAAAUUAUUUUAAUUAUUUUAACGGUAUUCAAGUAAUCGAAUUUUAUAAGAAAUAAUUUUUAAUAAUGUAAUUUGAAUAGAUUAAAAUACUAAAUAUUAUUUUUAAAAUUAUUUUAAAUAAAAUUAAUAAAUAAUUAUUUAUAAUCAACUGCAUUAAAUUAUUUUCGUUAAAAUAUUAAACACUACUUUUAAAAUGAAAGAUUUAUUAUUUAGUCUCUAAAUAUUAUCAUUAUUAAUAAAUUAAUUUUUAUAUUUUUAAAAAUUUAUUAAAAUAUUUUUAUAUUUUAUCUUCGUUAAUAAAAUAGUCAUUUUAUUUAUUUUUACAAUUAAAAAUAUAAUAAAAGACUAAAUUAUCUUUCUUCGUCUUAUUUUUCUUUUCUCAGCCGUUAAAAUUCUCUUCUAAUGGUAGCUUUCUUGCUUCCUCAAAACCCUCAGGACCUAUUCCCUGUCCCCCACCAAUCCUCCUACUUCUCCUCUUACUCCUCUCCAUGAAUUUCAAGGCCACGAGCAAGGCGUCUCCGAUGUUGCCUUAUCUUCUGACUCGUGUUUUCUUAUCUCUGCUUCCGACGAUAAGACCAUUCGCCUCUGGGACGUCACUACCGGCUCUCAAAUCAAAACUCUCUAAGGCCAUACUAAAUAUGUCUUCUGUGUCAACUUGAAUCCGCAAUCCAACAUGAUCAUCUCGAGUUCUUUUGACGAGAUGAUUAGAAUCUGGGAUGUGAAGAGCGACAAGUGUUUGAAGGUACUUUCGGCGCAUUCUGAUCUUGUUACAGCUAUGGAAUUAUCCCUCUUCUCCUUCUUCGAUUUUGAUUUUUCUUCUUCUUCUAGACGCCUCUUUCUCUUCUUCUUCUUCUUCUUCUUCUUUUUUGGAGAGGAGGAGGAGAAGGAGGAUGAAUGACUAUUUUCAUUGACGAAAAAAAAGACAAUGAUAUUUUAAUAGAUUUGAAAAAAAAAUUUAAUAGAUUUCUGAAAAUAUAGAAAUUAACUUGUUAAUAAUGAAAAUACUCAUGGACUAAAUAAAAUAUUUUAUUUAAGAGCGAAAUUGGAUUUUAAAAAUUCUAUAUCUCAUUUUUCAUUUAUUUUUAACAGAAAAAAUAAUGAAAUGACUAUUGACGGAAAAAAAAAAUAAGAAUAUUUUAAUAGAUUUCUGAAAAUAUAAAAACUGACAUUCUAAUAGUUAUAAUAUUUAAAGACUAAAUAGUAAAUCUCCACUUUAAAAUUAACGUUUGAGUUACUUCAUAUAGAUGCAUGCAAGUCCAAACACAAAUACACAUGUUUAAUGAGCUCAUAUUAUGCCCUUCUAAUUAGGUCACAACUACAUCCCACCAAUCUUGGCACUAGAGAACAACUAUGAAGCAAGUUUUUCACACUCCUAUAAUUAAAUAUGACUUAGUUUUUUUAAAUUUAAUUUAUUAAAAAAUUCAUAUUACUUCUCUUAUUUUUAAUUCAAAAAAUAAUCACAUUUCUUAAAUUUUCUUUAAAAUUUAAUUUAUUUCGCAUAUAAUAUUUUUGAAGAAAAUAUUUUUAAUAUUUUCUAACGUUCGAAUGCUUAAAAUAAUUGAAGUCACCGCAUACGCAUAUGUAGAUAUAUAAUAACUUUCCAUUGUAGAUGAGAGUGGAAUUGGUAGGAAAAGUUAAAAAGCUUGAAAGUGAUAUAUAUGGAUAGGACCUGUUUGGCUUUAAUACAAUUUAGAGAGGCUGUCUCCUUUUGUAAAUGAAGAUAGUUUUCCUCCUCCUAGUUUGGUCCGCCUAACAACUAUUACUUGAAAGUCAAGCCUGUUGCUCAAUCACACUAAACUUAGAUUGCUUAGAGGUUGCUAAUUACUUAAUAAUGCAAUUUUUAGUUAAUUAAAUUAUUAACUUUACAUAAAAAUUAUGUUCAAAACAUCACAUUCUAUCAAAUUAUUACUCCAAUUCAUAAUUUCUUUAUAUGUUCUUUAUGUUAUGCCUUGAAAAUUUUAAUAAUUAGGAUAAUCCUUUUUGAUAAUAUUAAUUAUUUUAGUAAUCGAUAAUUAAAAUAUAAAAAAUAUAAAAAAAAUCUUAAAAUUUAUUUUUUAAAAAAUAGAAUACUGAAAUUCAAAAUUUUAAAUGUUAAAGUUUUAAUAGGAUUAUGUUAGAUGAGUAGAUUAGAUUAUGUUAAUUUUAACGUGAUUAAAUUAAUUAAACUUAAUUAAAAAAAUAAUUAAAAAAUUAAAACUUAAUUUAAAAAUUUAAUUUUAUCUUUUAUUUUUUUAGUUCAAUUCAAUUUUUAAUUUUAAAAAUUUUAAUUAUUUUAGUUCCGUUUGAUUUUAAUAAAAAAAUUAAAAAAUUAAAUCAAAUCAAUUAGUGAUAAUAACAUAUUAAUUUUUAAAUAAUAUAAAGAAAUUAGAUUAUAUUAAAAUUAAAAUAUUUUAAUUAAACUUUAAAAUAUUAAAAAUAAAAUAUAAAAAAUAAAAAAAUUUAUUAAAAAUUUAAAUAGAUAAAAUUAAAUUAAAUUAAUUUAAUUUAAUUUUUAAUUAAAAUUAAUUUAAUUUAAUUUUUAUAAAUAUUAAAAUUUUAAUUUUUAAUUUAUUCAAUUCAAUAAUCCGCGCUCAGUACCUCCAUAGGUUUUUCUUGAGAUUUUGUUUUAUUUUUUUCAUAGAAAGUUGAGUGGGGACACCAAUUUGAAUGAUGGGUUUGUAAUUAAUUAGUUAGUGUUGUAUGAUUAGAUGACUUUUCUUAUACUCCAAGACUUUCCAAUCCCCACUUUUUAUACCUUUUUUCCUUAGCUUUUUUGUUGGGAGUUGAUUGCUAAACUAACUAUAGUUAGGAUGCAAUUUCUUCUAAAUAUGGUAAUAAUAAUUACAAAUAAAUUAAAUUUUACAUAUAAAUAUAAUCAUUGAAAUUAAAUGAUAAGUUCUAUGCGUCUUUAAUAAGUAGUUCAAGUUUAAAUCUUAUACGUGUGAUAACAUAUAAAAAUCAUAAUAUUAUUUUAUUUAAAAAUUAAAUUUCACUUUAAAAUAUAUUAAAAUUAUUUAUAUAAAAGAUAUUUUUAUUAUUACAAAAUAAUAUUAUAUUAAAUAAAAUUUUAUUUAACUCUUAAUAAAAGUACAUAAAUUUAAUAAAUAAACAAAUUAAAUUGAAUUUAUUUGAUCAUUAAGUAAAAAUAUAUAAAUUUAAUUAGAUAUAUAUCUAUAUAUAUAAUCUCUCACCAGAAAAAUUGGGAUUUUAUUUAAAAAAAAUAGUUUGCAAAAUGUAUUUUUGAUGGGUUCCGUAAUUAAAUUUGGCAGAUAUAGCAAAAUAUAAUAAAUAUAAUUUUUUUUUUUUUUUUUCAAAUAGGGGUUUGGGGGCGUCGAAUCUUAAACGUUUCAAGACUAUAAGAAUGCACUUUCCACCAUACUAAGGCUUAGAGUGUAAAUAUACUUACUUUUAAACCUAUAAAUUUUUUAUCAAUUUAAUAAAUUAAUUAUUGCAUUCUUAAAUUUAAUUUAAUAAUAAAUAUAUUUAAAUAAAUAUAAAAAAUUUUAAAUUUUAUUCUCUUAUUUCUAUUUAAAAAAAAAAACCGGAUAAAUAUUUGCUGCUGUCCUGGCAAGGAGAAAAAAAGAAAAAGAAAAAGAAAAGAGAUUUGGUGAUGGGUUUUGCCUCGUCAUAUAGGAUAAGACUUUAAGGUAACAGUAAGAAUUGGGACACCUGCUUGGUUAAAAAGUUUCCGCAUGCAGCUUUAUUUAUACAACUAGCGGACUAUGAUUCUGAAAGGUUGGCAGACAAUGUAGGGGUGAGCAUUCGGUCGGUUCGGUUUUGAAUUGAAUCGAAUUGAAUAAAUCAAAAAUUGAAAUUUUAGUGUCUAUAAAAAUCGAAUCGAACCGAUUUUGAUCAAAACCCGAAUCGAACCGGUCUGAUUCGGUUCGAUUCGAUUUGAUCAGUUUCGAUUUUUAAUAAUAUUUUUAUUUUUUACACUUUAUUUUUAAUAUUUUAAAAUUUAAUUAAAAUAUUUUAAUUUUAAUAUGAUUUAAUUUCUCUAUAUUAUUGAAAAAAUAUAUUAUUAUCACUAAUCGGUUCGGUUCGAUUUUUUCGAUUUUUUUCAAUCAAAAUCGAACCGAAUCGAAAUAAGUGAAAAUUUUGAAAUUAAAAACCGAACCGAACUAAAAUGUAUAAAAAAUCGAACCAAAAUUUUAAAUCAGUUCGAUUCGAUCGGUUUUUUCGAUUUAAACCGAAUAUUGCUCACCCCUAAUCGUAUUCAUAAUAUAUAUAUAUUUUUUUAUCUCAUAAUUUUUAUUUUUUUAUAUAUAUUAAAAAAUAUAAUAUUUUUUAUUAAUUUUUUAAUUAUAUUAUUUUAAAUAUAUUAAAUUUAUUAAAUAUUAAAUAUUUUAUUUUAAAUAAAAUAAAAUUAAGUUAUUUAAUUUUUGUGUUUUAAUUACGUUAUGAAUGUCAUCCUGCAAAUUUGCUGUGAAUUUAGAUUAGAUAACAUGUUUUGUGAUUUUGAUGAAAUUAAAAUAAAGGAUUAAAUAAUCUAAAUUUUAAAAUUAAGGAAACAAAUAUCAGAUUAAAUAGUAAAUUUCUUUUUUCUUUUCAUUAAAUUAACAUAAAAUUUUUAUUUAGAAUGAAAAAUUUUAAUUAUUUUUAAAAAAUUAAAAUUAUAUAAUUUUAUAAAAUUUUAUUUAGACUUUUUCAAAUGGAAAAUAAAAAUAAAUUAUGGGAUUUAAUAUUUUUUCAAUAAAAGAUGGUUAAUUGUGCUCACACCAUUGUCUCCAUUGUUUUACAAGUCCACCUAGGAGGUAGGAUAAUAAUCCACAGCUGAGUGAUGAAAUGGAGAGGAUCUAUGGUAGGGAUUGAAUUAAUUUAAAAUUCAGUUUGAUUUUUUAUUUAUUUUGUUUCGAUUUAAUUUUUAAUUUAAAAAAUUUUAAUUAUUUUAAUUCGGUUCAAUUUUAAUUAUAAAAAAUUAAAAAAAUUGAAUCAAAUCAAUUAGUGAUAAUAAUAUAUUAUUUUUAAUAAUAUAGAGAGAUUAAUUCAUAUUAAAAUUAAAAUAUUUUAAUUAAAUUUUAAAAUAUUAAAAAUAAAAUAUAAAAAAUAAAAAAAUUAUUAAAAAUUGAAAUCGAUCAAACUAAAUCGAAUCGAAUCAAAUCAGAUUGAUUCGAUUCGAUUUCUGACUAAAAUUGAUUUGAUUCGAUUUUUUUAAAUAUUAAAAUUUUGAUUUUUGAUUUAUUCAGUUCGAUUCAAUUUAACUGACCGAAUUAUCAUGUCUGAGAAAUUUAAAAAAAAUAACUUUAUAAUUAUUAUUUAUUUAAAUUAAUAUUUAAAAUAUUUUUUAAUAUUUAAAAUUUUAUUUAGACUUUUUCAAAUGGAAAAUAAAAAUAAGUUAUGGGAUUUAAUAUUUUUUCAAUAAAAGAUGGUUAAUUGUGCUCACACCACUGUCUCCAUUGUUUUACAAGUCCACCUAGGAGGUAGGAUAAUAAUCCACAGCUGAGUGAUGAAAUGGAGAGGAUCUAAGGUAGGGAUUGAAUUAAUUUAAAAUUCAGUUUGAUUUUUUAUUUAUUUUAUUUCGGUUUAAUUUUUAAUUUAAAAAGUUUUAAUUAUUUCAGCUCGGUUCAAUUUUAAUUAUAAAAAAUUAAAAAAAUUAAAUCAAAUCGAUUAGUGAUAAUAAUAUAUUAUUUUUAAUACGAUGGAGAGAUUAAUUCAUAUUAAAAUUAAAAUAUUUUAAUUAAAUUUUAAAAUAUUAAAAAUAAAGUGUAAAAAAUAAAAAAAUUAUUAAAAAUUUAAAUCGAUCAAACUAAAUCGAAUCGAAUCAAAUCAGAUUGAUUCGAUUCGAUUUCUGAUUAAAAUUGAUUUGAUUCGAUUUUUUAAAUAUCAAAAUUUUAAUUUUUGAUUUAUUCAGUUCGAUUCAAUUUUGAGCCGAACCGAUCGAAUUAUCACGUCUGAGAAAUUUAAAAAAAAUAACUUUAUAAUUAUUAUUUAUUUAAAUUAAUAUUUAAAAUAUUUCUUAAUAUUUAAAAUAUUUAAAAUAAAUAUAAUUAAAAAAUGAAUAAAAAAUUAUUUUUUUGUAUAAAAAAAUAAAAUAAAUAAAAUUUAUGAGAUAAAAGAGUAUUAAAAAUACAAUUUUCUCCAUAUUACUAAUUAGUUAUCAAUUUUUUAAAUAAUGGAUUUAAUUAAUAUUAAAGUAAAAAAAAUUAUUUAAUCCAAUUAAUCACGCCAAUAAAUGAAAUAUUUCAAAAAGAAAUUCUAACAUUAUUUAUAAAACAUUCAACUAUUACUAUAAAAAAUAUUAAGUAAUUUUAUUUUUACAAAAUAUUUAAUAAUUUGUUUUAACUCAAUUCUAAUUUCUAAUUUUUAAUUUUAAGAUAAUUUAUUAUUGACACGUUAAUUACAUAUAUAAAUUAUAUUGUUCAAGAAGAAAAUACAAUGAAUGUGAAUAAUUAAAUUUUAAUUAUAACUAAUAUAAAUUUUUAAUUUUUAUUUUGACGGGAACGACUUUUAAAAAAUUGAAGUUAAUGUAAAUAAUCAAAUUUAAUAACAAAGUUAUCAUAUAAUUAUUUAUGGAAUUUGAUAAAUAAAAAAUUAUUAAAAAUAAAUAACUUCACUAAUAAGUAAUUAUCAAUUAAUUUAAAUAUAAAUAAUAUAAAAUUAAAAAGAAAGAGAUAAUGGAGACAUGAGUUAGUAACAAGAAAAUCUAAAAUGGUUAGAAUGAAAUUUUUUAAAAUAAAGUUAAAGUUUAAUGAUUUGAUUAUAUAAAGGAAUGAGAAUGAAAUAAAUCUUAAAAUUUUAUAAUAAAAUAGUAUUUUAUGACAAAUGAAAAAGAAAAAGAAAUUAGGAUUGUCAGUUUUGUCCUUUUCUUUUUAUAUUAUUUAUCAUUUUUAUUUAAUUUUUAAUUUAAUAUAAAAAAAUAAAUGUUAAAUUUAUUUAAUAUUCUAUUUAAUUUAAUAUAUAAAGAAUAAAAUUAAAUGUUAAAAAAAAUUUAAACAUGGUGAUAGAAUAUUUUUUAAAUAUUAAUUUAAAAUUUUCUAAAUAUUGAUUUAAAACUUCUUAAAAUUAUAAAGAUUCAUUUAUAAUUUUAAAAUUUUCAAUGUUGGUUUGUAAUUAUUUAAAAUAGAAAAUUAAUAGCGCAGGCAAGUUGUGAUUAAUUAUAAUUCUAAAUAGAAAGAUUAAUAUUUUAGCUAAUAUUAAUUCGGCAUAAUUUAUUUUUAUAAUUAUUUUUUUUCUAAAAUAAUGAUAAUAAAUUAAUUUUAGCUAAAAUUUACUCUUGUAAUUUUAAUAUUUAUGAAUAGCGUGGUUACUCAAUUGAUAGCGAAACGACUUAUACUAUAAUCAAUUGAUAGCGAAAAGAUUAAUAUUUGAAAUUUCAUUUGAUAGCGAAAAGACUUAUACUAUAAUCAAUAGCGUGGUUAAAAAAAUUAAUACUGCUUAUUUUCAUAUUCAUGAAAAAUUAAAAAUAUUGCUUACUCAAUUUACUCUUAUUAAAGAGUGUACCAUUGUAAUUCCCCAAAUAAUGUUGAGAUUUUAUUUUGAUGAUUUAAAAAAUGAUGCUAGUGAAAAUAAAAUUAUAGAUUUAUUUUUUUUCUUUAUUAAAUAGAUUGUAUUUCGUACUAAAUUAUUAAUUAUUAUAUUUUCAUAUGUAGACUUUUAAGUAUUGAUGACCGCUGGAUUUUCUCGCUCCGGUCUAAGGUCAGGUCCAUUAAGACAGCCCAUAAUCUGAAGGUUCUUAAAUCUCCCCCAAGAUCCAGGUCCAACCCGCUCAGUUCAAAAACCGGGCUCCAGUCAGAUUACUCAGUCAGGCCGGUCCAGCUCUUUCGGCCCAAUGAACAUAUUCCCUCUGGACCUAGUCUUAACCUUAUCUUCCGGCUCAGCUCGGAACCAGGAAAGAAUGCAGCCAAUUCGACUUGUGGGAUCAUCUGCAUGCGUGUGCGGGAAGAAUCAGAGACCGUUACGCAUGGGGCAGUGAUUUGAUUUCCUUGUACGUCCAUAUCAACGUGAUAGGGACAGGUGGUCCAAUGACGUCACUAGUAGAUAAAAGAAAACAUAUAAAAGGAGAAAUACUCUCCUCUAAAUUUAAGCUUUUUUCCAGUUUUACUGAAAUUUUAUAAAAUCUUAUUUUCUGGAAAUCAACAUACAGAGUGGAGGAAAAAGAGAGAUUAUAAUUGUCACUAAAAAAUAACUAUAAUUUUUUUUUAAUUUUUAUAUAUAUAUUGAAUAAUUUUUUUAUAUUAAUUAAAUUUAUAUUUUUAUUUAAUUAUUUUAUUUUGUUUAGUUUUAAAUUGAAGAAUUUAUCCUUAAUUUUGUAAAAAAAAAUAUUACUGAUUAUAAUGGUCACAUUCUAAAAAAUCUUAUCAAAAAUAAAAACUUUCUAAUCAUAACAUUAUGAAAUGCUUGUGCCACUUAUUAUGAAGAUAAUAUUAAUAUUAAAUUAUGUGAUAUAUUAUACAAAUUAUUAUUAUUAUUUUAAAAAAAUAAAUAUUAUUAUCAUAAAUUAUUAAUUUUUUAAUAUACAGAUAAAUUAUAACAGUAAACUAUCUCAACUUGAAACAGAUAAAUCGUUAAUUUUUAUAAUAAUUAUAUUAUAGAUAGAACUAUUUUUAAUAAUAUUUUAUUUUUUUUAUAGUUAUAAAUAUAAUAAAGUAGAUAAAAGAUUGAAGAAAAGAUCAAAAUUGAAAAAAAAAUAAAUAGUUUUUUUUAUUUGAUUUUUAUAUAAAGAUUAAAGUUGUCUUAAUUAUUAUAUAAAGAUUUCUUUUUUUUAUUAUUAUUAAAUUUAAGUUACUUUACAUGUUGAUUAUUUAAAUUGAUUUAUGUGUUUACAUAUGUGUAAGUAUUACUCAUAAUAAACUAAUUUAAUAAAAAAAUAUUUUAUUAAAUGCAAUAAAUUAAUGUGUAAUUUUAAGUUAGAUGGUCGAGUCAUCCUCAAUUUUUAAAAUGUUUAUAAUUUCACAAAUUUUAUAAAUAAGGUUAAAAAGAUAUUUUUUUAUAUAUUAUAUUUUAUUCCACUACAUGAAACGAUGGUUGCGAAAAUAAGUAUAAGCCGAUGAUUAAAAAAUAUGUUUGCAAAUCUAAGUCAUAAGACGGAUAAUCGAGACAUAACCGUGUGUUAAUCUAAAUGUAUUCAAAAUUUCUUUGUAAAAUUAGACUUCUAUGAACUUAAAGGGGAACGCUUGUUACCACCCAUUUUGAGAGAACGAGUUUCAUUUCUCUCACUUAUAUUUCCUUGUUUGUCUUCAAACCUGGUCUCAAUUUCCUUCCUAGUCCGUAGCCUUUCAAACCCCUGUAAUUUUGUCUCUGCAAGUUAUAAUUAGAAGUUUAUGUUUGUAUUUCUUUGAAAGUACACUUUGCAUUUAUAUUUUGAUCUUCUAUAUUUUAUUCCACAUCUCUGAUUUUUAAUAUUUAAUCUGUAACCUUAUUUUACUUGUUUCUUCUAUAUUCCUACCCUAGACCCCUGUAUCUUCUCCCCCUGAUGCCGUUUCUCUUUUCUUUCCCAACCCAUACAAACCGCACUCCUCCCUUUUCUCUUCCCUCGUGCCUAGCCAAGCUCUUGUCAAACAAAACAUCGAACUACUACCAGCUUGAACUAGCUACAUCUUGCACUUCUAGAGACUGACGACCACAACCUGAGGGUCACAGACCAGCACCGUCCAACACCAUCCUCUAGCGCAUCGCCACCCUAACCCCUAUUCUAAAGGCAACCGCGACCCAAGUUCCUUAACCACUAUUGUUUUUGCGUCGCCAUCAAACCCCUUAACCACUCCAUGCUCAAGAUUUCAUCUUUAUCAUUUGUGUAAUUUGUGACCAUCCCCUUAUGGAGUAUGGAGAAUAGAUGUGAGGUAGAAGGCUUAUUAUUGCCAUCAUAGAACAUUUUGGUUUUAAUGCAGCAACACAUGGAUUUCAGCUUGUGGCUGACGAUGACCGCAUAGAUUUAGGUAUCUGCCAGUUUAUGUAAUUAUGUGCUAAAGGACUAGAUAGAGUAUUGCACCGCUGACAAGAGUUUCUUUGUCCUUUUAUUCUUAUUUUUUAGUAUGUUUUUUCUGUUCAUUUUGUUCUUUUUUGCUUUUAUUUUUCUUUAUUGUUGUUUUCAUUUCAUCUUCCUGGCAUGUACAUAAUUAUUUUCACCUUGUUCGCCAAUUAAAAUGACUUUUAUUAGCUGUAGAUAUCUUUUGUGAUUAAUUAUUGUUUUUAAGUAAGUAUUCAUAAAUGAAUUGCAUAGUUUUUUUCUUGUGUAUCCAAUGAAUAUUCAUUUAUGAACAUGAUUUUUAGACUACCUCGCCAAUAUUAGAAUAAAUUUGUUAAAUUUACUUAGCAGUAAUUGCAUUAAAAAUAUAUAUAUAUAUAGAUAUUUUUUUGUUUUUAAUUUAUUAUUAAUUAAACCUUUAACCACUCUUUUCAAUCUUUGUGAAUAGUGAUUGAAUAAUUAAAAUAAAAAGAAUAAAAUAUAAUAAAUAAGUAAUAUUUUUACAAUAAUAUUUUGAAUUGUUUAAUAACUAAAAAUAAGUAUAAGUUGUAUUGUAUUUCAAUUGGUAGUUCAAUUCUUGUCUUUAAUACUUUAAGUAUUUUGUAGAUACUUGAAUUAUUUUAUCUCUAAAUUAAUUUUGAGAGAAAUAUUUUAGGAUCAAAUUGAGAAUUCAACAUCACAUUAAUAUUAAUCGGACUAUAGAUGAAAAAUGACCAAUGGAGCCUUAAAGAAUAAUAAUUGAGUUUGUAAAGCUAAUUAAAUGUUGCUAGAUUAUUGGAAAAUAUGCAAUAUAUAUUAUUUAAUUAAUAUGAUUUUAUUCGGGGAGAGGAUCAAUUAUUUUAGAAUUAUUUAUUCUAAUUUUAAGUAACUAAAUUUAAAUUAUUAAUCAAAUGAAUUAAUUAAAAUUAUUUAAUAUUAAUUGUCUUUAUAUUUUUGCUUAGUAUGAGUAAUUUAGUUCUCAUUUUAAUUAUUUUUAUUUAAUCUAACAUUUAUAGUCAAUAGAUUCAAGAAUUUGAAUAAUAAUUAGAUUAUAAUUCAUUUUAAUAUUUAAUUUCUAAUUUACGCGGAUACGAUAUUUUUUUCUUAUACGUGUCCCGCACAAUUCACAAACCACUUAUCAAAAGUAUAACAAAGGGAAAAAUACAGACUUUAAAACACUGGAUUUGUGCAACUCCAAACAAAAGAAACCAAAGAUGAAAUUUAAAAGCAAGAACAAAAAGGAAAAAGAUCACUCGGAGGUGGGAAGAAAACUUACUCUCUGAGUAGUCGGGAGAAGAAUCCCUUGUGCCCAAAGAGGGUAGAGGAACCAACUGUGCGAUAGUAGGACGAGAUUGAGUUCAAAGAAGGGAGAAGAGAGAAAAUAACUCUUUUAUCAAGCCAUUUUAGUAGGAGCCAAAUUUUUUUUCUUAAAGUGAAAUUAGCAUUCAUUAAAAGGCCAUCAAUCCAGAUAGUACAAAAAACAGGCCUACCCUACAAAUACAUUAAAAGGAAAAAGAUCUAGAGCACAAGGCUAAGAAAAAGAUUCCAAAGAAACACAAACCCUAGCCCAAACAACAACUUGACCCAACACUCCAUACUUGACGCCUUAAAUGAACAUGCCACUCAUCUAUCUAGCACCGACUAUCAUUGUCGAACGAUGGCAGAGAGAGAUUACUUCACCAAAACCAAAGCCAUAUCUGACAAACUGAAAAGAAGCAGAGGAGAACCACACAACUAAGACAAUCAUGGCCAAAGCCAGUAGGGAGAGGCACCCAACAAAAUAAAGACCAUGCAACAUCGGAAGAGGUGGUGAUAGAGAAUACUAAACGCUAGAGAAGGAGAGACUUUAUACUCUCACUAUCCCAUAAUUUUUAUUUAAUUUAUUUUUUUA
rnacentral:lncRNA from 1 species